ACACGACACCUACUGGUUGUCCUCGUUUGUUGUACCCACUCAUGGUAGGCAAGAAAACCCUAAUGGAGGUGGAUGCAUUGGAUGGAAUCAAGAUAAAUUCCAUGUAUCGCCCUUAAUCUCGCUCAACAGGGUGAAUGCUUCUUUGCUACUGAAUCAACUAUUUCUAUUCAUAGUGACAAAUCUGUUAUGAGGAUAGGUGCAUGAGGGACAAAGCAUGCACCUAUGCGAGACGAACCUGGUUGCAAAAACAUACUCCAACUUAAACACAACAGGAUGCCGUCAGGAGGGAAGGAAUAACACGGACACAUAAAAUGCAUCCAUGAUCCAUCCAUUAAUAAUCAUCAAAAUAGCAUAAUAAAUACAUAAAUGCAUGCAUCCAUCCAUCUUUCAUCAAAAGAGCGUAAAAACUAUACUCCCUCCGUCAUGGUUUAGAAGGCACAGUUAAAUUUGCGUGCGUUUCCGCAAUAGACAAAGUUUAAGGCGCAUUGCAUUUAUUUCUAGUAGCUAAUUAGUGCCUAUUUCUAUAUGCAUGCGUAGUGUGAAUGCUAUUUUUUAGCCCAUCUCAUAACCAAUAGAUAACCACCUAGGUCCCAGAGAAUUUUCAACCGCACCUUCUAAACCGUGACGGAGGUAGUACAUCAAUUCAUUAAUCAUCGAAGGAGCAUUAAAAUAUAUAAAUGCGUCCAUCUAUCCAUAAUAAAUCAGAAGAGCAUAAAACUACAUGAAUGCUUACAUUUCCAUUCAUAAACCAAAAAUAGUUCCAGCAGAGUGCAUAAAUUCAUCCACAACAAUUUCCCGCAAUAAAUAAAUAAAUUCAUCCACAACAGUACAUCAAGCUUUAAAUUAUGGUUGAACUCUCGUUGUGGAAAUGGAAUCUAGUUGUGGUUGUCUGGCUGAAUUCUGCCGAAAGAUCCUUGAGUUGCUCCAUGAGCGUUGGAGUUCCACAAUAGAAAACACCUAGAGAUUCGAGUACAUAGUAUUAACUACUGUACGUUCUCGUAAAAGAAGAACUAUUGUACUUCAUGACAGAGUGUUUAUAGAGAAUUUAACCUAUACGAGAGUUCUUGUGGGCAUUGGCCAAGCGAGAGAACACCAUUCUCCAAUUAGGUCUUGCAAAAUGCGUCCAAAUCUACAAGAGAUGUAUAUUUUUUAUUAGAAAAGGAGGAUGAUCCCGGCCUCUGCAUCUGGGCGAUGCAUACGGCCACCAAGAGAUGUAUAUGAAGGAAAUACCAGAAAAAUUAGCAAGCAAAGCCGUGCGGGAUGCAUGGGAUGAGAAGUCAUAGGUGAGAAAAUACCUCGCUUCCAGAGAUGACAUCAACGCCAGUUUUGGCGUGUUGGAGUGACUGAAGCACGGAGAUCAUCGCUGACCUUGGAUCGCCUUCUUCAUACACGCUGGUGAGGUAAUUGUACAUCUCUAUUACAUUCUGCAGUUGCCAUAUUCUUAGCCCACUCCCUGAUUAAUCAUGCGACUGAACAUCUUGGUAAAAUGGAAGGAAGCUUAAGAUCUUGAGUGAGAUAAGUACACUGCGGUCGAGGUAGACAACGUCAUUCAUGAUUCCUUUGAACCAGUCGAAGGAUUCUUGCUCUCCGGUGAACCAGUAGAAGUAAGCCCUUUCCGGCCAGUUGUUCUUGACCUCAGAACCACGUGUGCUUUCCACCUCCUAUUUCAACAACUCAUUUUGUCAGUGAUAUCCUUCUCUCCUGAAGGUAUAUAUACUAUGAGCGUAAUGUUGGGAAUACUCUACUGUGAAAGAAAUUUACAUCGGUGGGAUAAACAUUGUUCACGAUAUCUAUUAGUACGCUGAUAAAAGCAGUGACGCUGAACCCAAGACCGAUGAACAAGACAAUAUCGUAUUUCUUGUAAUUCUGGCCCGGUGCACCAUAAGGACCGUCAAUAAAGACCGUGGGAAACCCGAAUGAGACACAUCAAUGAUGAUUUGUUGGUAAAAGUCUAUACUCAAAAUUUGCUGAAUUUGCAUAUUGAAAGGACUGAGCUCGAAAUAGGCUUUCGUCCUACUUAUAUAAAGCCCCAAUGGCCAAAGUGAUACUAAGUGGUGAGAAAAUCGGACAUGGAGUUUUGGCUCUGGGGAGCAUUUGCUCUUGUGAUGAACAGUAAAUUCAAAAAAAAGGCUAAACAAGUUAAAAAAAAUUCUGUUUUUUUUUCUGUGUACAUGUUCAUGUUAAUGUCCAAGGCAUGCAUGACAAUUUUCAAGCGAAAUGGAACAGUACUAUUUCAUCAAUGAAAAAACAAAGUUAAUUAGCAGAGAAAAUUUGUUGUCCAACUUGCCUUUUUGCAUAGAUCAAAAUGCUCGGCCAUGGCAUCUAAACAUUUGCAGAUAACAUUUAGACAUGAAUAUGUGCAUGUCUAAGUUUUUACACAUUUUUUUGACUUUUAGAAAGCUAUUUUUGAUGGGUAUUUGGAGAGCCAAAUGCUCCCGAGAGCCAAAUUGAGUAUUUGGAGAAACCCCCCCAUAAAAGGCGGUGGUGAAAGAAAUGAGCUUACCGGGCGAUUUCGUUCCGGGCAGGUGGCUGGCAGCACUGUAUGAAUAUGAAAUUUAGUUCUUCAAAUUUGGAUAAUCCACAUUAAUCUCGCUCUCUCUAUUAUAAUUGAAUGCCCAAACUUAUUGCUCUUGUAUGUAUAUUGGCUGAACUGACCUUUGCGAAAAUGUUCAGGAGUUGAGAUGCCCAGUCACCAUUACCAACGGCGCGGAUAUGCACGUUUAGAUUGCCAUCUCCAGGUGCAGAGGUGAUGGGGAAGGGAUGCCUGCAAGAUCAUCAACUGUAAGCAAGAAGCCCAGGUAAAAUUAUACAAGUAUCCUGAUAGUAUAAGUUAGUAUAAGUGGGUAAGGGGUAAAGUGGCAGUAGUACCAUUCAGAAGUGGAGACUUCAUUACAUUUGAUAAACAGGUGCAUCCCACUUGUACUUGAAACCCCGUGGCUUAUGCAUGCCAAGACAAAGCACAUUUCCUGGAUAGAUUGCAAUCUGUAUAUAUAGGAGUAAGAAAGAGGCAAACCAUGGUGUUCAUGCAUAUUACUUUUUUUGACAAAGGACGUUUUUUAUUGACUCAUGAUGUAGCAUCGAAGGAUACAAUCAUAAUGAGCAUACACCUGGCCUCUGCAUAACUAGGAUGCACACAACCAACACACAUGAUUACACCGGCAAAAAGCAAAGUCAUACAAGAUCAAAGCUAUGCCUAGGCGAAGGGAAAAAUAAAAAGGGAAAACACGGAUCGAGUGGCCUCCCGAGUCGCCCACGCGGACGACACGGGGGCAGUUUCCUUCCAAGUGCUCCAUCCAUGCAUGUUACUAGUAAGAAUGAAAUAAACUAGAGCCAUGUGAAUCGAGUAGACACCUAACCUUUUGAAAUUUCAUCUGCUCAUUGUUCCAGCGAACCUUUCUGAUAAUUCCCUGGCAGGCAGACAAGAGGACAGGGACUAUCAGGUGCAUCCAGUUCCCGCAGGCCGUCAUCGACCGGACCAGCCGUGACCUCCUCUCCAACUGCACCUCGUCCUCCGGCGCCCGCGCGCUCACCGCCCCACGCAACAGCGUCUCCAGCUGCGACAUCUGCAAUGGAGCAAGCACGUACGCGCAAACCUUGAGCUAAUCUAUGUAUGCAUCGCUUCAUGUCGUUGAUUAGAUGGAAUGGAAAUGCUUGCUAGUUACUACAAGCCUAUGACCUCGAUGUAGCCACGGUGGUCGGGGUCGAGCUCUUCCAUGACCAGUGGCGCGUAGGCGGCGGCGUCGAUCUUCAGCUUGUUCGCCGACGCGCUCAAUAUAAUAGCCUACAUUAAUAUAUAUACUAAGUAGGUAGCAGGGUUAAAUUAAACGAUCCAUGGUGGACUAACUAACGGCCAUGCUUCUGCAUCGAGUUAUUCAACUGUUAGGAGCGGACUACUUUGCAGGAAUUAUUCAACUGUUACUAGUAUCAGUGGAUACUUUGGUGAUCUAAAAACCUUUAUAUUUUUUUUACAGAGGGAGUACUUUACUUUUUUUGAGUAACUACAGAGGGAGUACUUGAUUUCAGUGUUCCUGACCAGGGAACGUUUGGGAUAACAGGCACUAUUUCGAGGUAAUUCUUGUGGGCCAAAUACUGGGUCUGGGUUAGUUAAGCCAUCUCUCUGGGCAGACUAAUAGGCACAGGUCGUGAGAACAAGCAAACAGCAGCAGUCGCAUGCAAAUUAAGCAUAAAAACGGUGGAUUCGAUUCCAGUAACCUACGAUCCCCAUACUUGCUGCCACUUUGUCCGAAUAAUUCUUGCAAAGUUCUUGCUAAGAACCACCUGCUAUGCUGCCUACAGAUUUGCCUCUCAUUGCCAAACAUAACAUGAUUAGCACAGCAGCUUGGCACUCACCGAUGCACUUGCCGAAGCUCUCCUUUGGGAUGCGCCCGGCCUUGUUCAUCUCGUCGAAGCGGCGCUCCACAUCCUUCCAGCCUUCCCUGCCUUCCGAGCUACCGUCGACAAAGUGAGACCCCAUUUUCACGGUAACUACACUGCAUCUGCCUCCACUCCCUGUUGGGAUAUACUCCUACUUCUCAUGUGGGCCAUGAGUUGCUGAAAUUUAAACUCUUUUAGGCCGCCAAAGCAUGUGCAAGAGCUCACUGUUUAGCAGGGCUAUUAGUUUAUUAUCUAGGAGCGCUCUGAACUUUACACAUGAGAAAUGAGAUGUUUAAACCUCCCAUCCAGUGGAAGUAGUCGCCGAGAGGCGAUAGGUGCGAGGAAAAUACCAGGUUAGCUUCCACUGUAGAAAAGAAAAACCGAAAAGAAAAGAAAGGGGAGAAGAUUGGACCUAUCCAUCUCAUCGUAUCUUUUCAGUUGUGGUUGCACCAUCUUUGAAUCUUUGAUGAGAUUGCUCUCAUCUUAGCUUCUACGGAAGUGUUGCUUUUGCAAUGGAGAGCAAGCCAUUCAACAUUGGUUCAUCUCUUGCCCGUUAGCACCACUGGUGUGGUGGGUGGUUUUUAUAGCCUUCAACUGGCCACUCCAAAUAGUCAAAUCAGGGUGGGAGCAUGUGCUAUAUGAAAAGAUCGUAAUGAUAUUAUUUUUAACAAAUAACAAAGGGUUUCCGAUUCUUUUGCACGUUACCCACUGACUACUGUUCACACACGAACACGUCACCGUGUACCCUCGACGCCGGGGGUGAUGCACCAGAACUCACGUCGAAGGAGACCCACCGGAAGCGCGGUACGCAAGCAAUCCGGCGGGUGCUUUUGAGGACCCGAAACCCCACACGCCCGGGAGGGACCCCGUCAGGGUGCGCGGCGGCUAUGGGCUGCCCUAGGUCGACCUGAUUGCCCCUAGGGCCUCGUGGAUCGCCGCCCUGCAACUAGAAGAACAGACGAAGAAUGAGAAAGAAGAAGAACAAGGAAGAGAGAUAAAGGUAAAGGUAAAAAGUGAUAUGUUGAUAGAUCGAUUGUGUGUUGUUCAAUCGGGCGCCCCUUAUAUAUAUAUAUGAGGCGGCUGGAUUUUCCGUACAAAAAAAGGUCUCAAAUCCCGUCCAAAACAUCAAAAGUUAACCUAAUUCAGAAUACGAGGGCCGGAACUUCCGGGCUAAAACUACAUUAAGUAGCGCUCUUGUACAGCUCCUGUAGGUCGCACAUGGCCUCAGAUUGUGAUGGUCCAAAAAGCAAAGUUGUAGAUCUUGCAAUGGAUCACUUUUUCAUCCGAGGUCAUCUUGAGAUUGAAUUCUGGCCCACAAAUCUGCAAAUAAUGUUGAAAUUCUAGCUUUCGGGGCGAACCGUGUGUGAACUUUCUGUUUAGCCCGGAACAUCCCCGAAAGUUUUGCCCGGAACUUCCGGGCUAAAAUUUUGCAGCACACUGUUUUGGCUCUAACUUUUGCAUACGAACUCCGAUUUAGACUUUUUUAUAUUAAAAUCGAUCGUUUCGACGAGGCGAAGACAAUCCUUGUAGAAACUAUUCUCAUAUAAGGCCAUUUUGGGGGUCUAAUCAGCCGAAUAGUGUUUUGAAUGCAAAAUCCGAGUACUUCAAACACAACUUCGCCUUAGAGAUGAGACCACAUGGCUAUGGCCCAAAUAUCAAAGUUUCUCCUUUUGACGAUAUGGAACUUUCUCACUUUGAAUACUUCUCCAUAUGAGGCCAUCUUAAUUAAGUUCUUGGUCGUGCCAAAAUCUGAUGUCAACAACUACGUUUUAGAUUUGUACAUGAUUCUCGUUUCAACGUGUAGAUGUGCAAGAUUCUCAAGUACUCCCUCCGCAAAGAAAUGUAAGAGCGUUUAGAUUACUAGGUGCAACCACUUAAAGACAAGUAUAGCGACCACUAUGUUCCGCCUAUUUGGAUGGUAGUCUAGCCGAUUUGUUUCCGCACUUUCCACCCUAUUGUAAGACCUUAUACUUCACAAUAAGAGAUGAUCGUGUGCAUAACUUGACAUGGGUUAAUUAUCCUCUUAAAAAAUGACUUCUUGUUGGUGCUAUCCAAGAGCAUCUCUAGCUGAAUCUUCAAAAUUUAACUCCUCAAUCACCUUCUCAAACCCUAGAGCAUCUCCAACUGCUCCCUUUUAGGUCUUUGUAUGGGAUCCUAUCCUUUAACUCCUUAUAUUUGCUUUUCUAAAGAAGUGUGGUUCCUGACCGACCCCCUAACCUUAACUCCCUAUAUUUUUUUAACACAAAUUUAUUUAUUUUUGGGCCAUCUAGUUAAACUUCACUACCAAAUUAUUUCACUAAACGACUUCUUGGCCACAUACUUCACCAGUUCUUCUCUAAAGAACUGAUCCAAAAUAAACUACUCCCUCUGAUUCAUAUUACUUGUCUUAGAUUUGCCUAGAUAUAGAUGUAUCUAACACUAACACGUGUCUACAUACAUCUAUAUCUAGACAAAUCAAAGACAAGUAAUAUGGAUCGGAGGGAGUAUAAAAUAAUUACACACUUUAAUAGAAACACCACUUUCUUAACUACUACUACUAGUUCGAUCAAAAGUUUCUUAAUCUCUUCAUUGCCUAAAUUGUUGCUUUACUGUUGGAUUCUUAAGCUUGCACACUUCUUUCUUCUCUGCCACCUCAUACCUGGACAUUGUGUCUUAUGUGGUCCCAUCUUUAGCAACCAGUGCACCAACAUCUAUCAUAUUUAUCUCUAUCAAUAGAUUAAUGUACUCUUUUUCCCAAUACUACAACUUGCAUCCUUCCUACAUACAACUUUAAGCAAAAAAUGAGUUUCAAAUAGUGACAAAACCAAAUAAUCGAACAACCAUACAAAUUUACACUCACUCCGUCCUUUUCACAGUUGUAGAAAAUUCAUCCAAGAUGUUUGGGUGUGCUCAAGACGAGCCGCACCACCAGCCGUCUACAAUCAUCACACUUGACGAUCAGUUGAGGCUUAGUGAUGAGUUGCCGGACGAGGGCUGAGCCGGGACGAUGGACGGACAUGGCUAUGUUGGCGGUCAUUCAAAAAGUGAGAGGCAAGCAUCGAGGGGAGGACAUACCACGGGGAGCGGUCGAGGUGGGAAGGGAAAUUUUAGGCGUCGGGGCCUUGGUGCAUCGAAUCCGGUGACAUUUUUAGGCGCCAACGACGUGAAGGGACCGAAUAGAAGUGGGGAAGGAGCGCGAUUAGUGCUACUGGGCCUCGGCGAUGGCCAGUGGCGCAUGGUGGCUGGCGGAGGCAAGUAGGGCGGCGCCUUAGUGGAUGCGGCACCGAGUGGGGAGGGUGCGGCCGAGAGGGUGUACUCUGGCGGUGGUGGUUGGCUAUAUUUAAGAGUCAGGGCUGUCGUGCAGUAAAAGAUUACUCCUCUAAAGGUUAUAAGGGGUCGGCCAAGUGCGAUUUGGGGGAGGAAACCAGUUUUUUUCUCCUCUAAAUCUUUAUAGGGGGUCGGUUAGAGAUUCCCUAAACUCCUCAAAUUGAGGAGUUUAGAAAAACACAAACCUAACCGAAGUCUCAAAGUUAACUCAAACAAAUUAGACCCCACAUGGAAGCCUCUUUCUCUCUUCUUCUUCCUUCUUCUUUCUUUCACGCCACCAACGAUGACCUUUCGGCACUAGAUGAGUUCCAUGAGCUAGCUAGCAUCUAUGAUAGGUGCUCCGCAAAAAAAAUUGAUAGAGGCUCANNNNNNNNNNNNNNNNNNNNNNNNNNNNNNNNNNNNNNNNNNNNNNNNNNNNNNNNNNNNNNNNNNNNNNNNNNNNNNNNNNNNNNNNNNNNNNNNNNNNNNNNNNNNNNNNNNNNNNNNNNNNNNNNNNNNNNNNNNNNNNNNNNNNNNNNNNNNNNNNNNNNNNNNNNNNNNNNNNNNNNNNNNNNNNNNNNNNNNNNNNNNNNNNNNNNNNNNNNNNNNNNNNNNNNNNNNNNNNNNNNNNNNNNNNNNNNNNNNNNNNNNNNNNNNNNNNNNNNNNNNNNNNNNNNNNNNNNNNNNNNNNNNNNNNNNNNNNNNNNNNNUGAUUAUGAGACUACAAAUUUGAAGCUUAAGUUGCAAUUUUAGGGCAAUGCAGAUAAAGUAGUAAGUUCUCUAGAUAUGCAACUAUGUGAGAACAACAUAUAUGGCAAGGAAGCUCAAAACAAGGUAUGAUGGGUAAUAAUAUAAUUAGCAAACCAACAAACAUACAAAGCAAGUAUGUACAAAAAAGCAUCCGUUCAGCAUACAAAUAUACAAAACAAGUACGGUGCGAGAACGGAUUAACCACUGAGAUUAGAUAACAGAACAACAACCAAAAAGCAUAUGUUCAACAAAAAGCAAAAUAAGAGCAUCUCCAACAGGCAUGCUAAAAAACCGUUUACAGUGCUGGAAUCGUGAGUUUUUGCGCACCGCGGAGCGCUGGCUCCAGUGGCCGCUGUAACAUAUAGCACGCGCGAGCUGCUCCAGCAAGCGCUGCAAAAAACGGCGCGUGCGCUCAUCACAAACAACAUAUGCACUCCAAACAAAACCAAGAAGAUCAAACAAAAAAAAAUCAACAAUAAAUAGUUCAAUUUUAUUACAACUCAAACAAAUAGUUUAUCUUCCAAUACAACAAAUAGUUCAACAAUACAACAUCAACAUACAACAUCAAACAUACAAAUCAUCAUGCUUUUUGUCGGCUAUUACAUGCCCAUCACUCCUCGAUGAGAUCCUUUUGAAGAUCAUCAUGCGCUUCGACACGUCAAAUGGCAUGAUAGGAGGCAACAAAUCGGGCCACUCACGCAGCCCUCCGCCGCACUCGCACGGGAUGUCCCAAGAGCUCAUACUGAGAGUAGUCUAAAUCUUGGCCACGCUCAUUCUUGAUGAUCAUGUUGUGCAUGAUCAUACAAGCGUGCAUGAUGUACGAAAGCAUCUUUUGAUCUCAAAAGCUAGCCGGUCCUCUCACAAUGGAAAAUUGGGCUUGCAAAAUCCCAAAAGCUCUUUCCACGCUUGCAAAAUCCCAAAAGCUCUCUCCACAUAUUUCCUAGCCGCCGCCUGAGCAUUGUGGAAAUCUAGAUUUUUCUUACCUUCCGGUUUUUUCAUCGGCUUCACAAAUAUUUACCACUUUGGGUAGAUGUCAUCCACAAGAUAGUAGCCAUAGUUGUAUGUAUGUAUGUCCAUUUGCUACAAACUGCACCGGUGACAUUUCACCAUUUGCAAUCUUAUUCAUGAGUGGUGACCGAUUAACAACGUUAAUGUCAUUCAAAGAUCCAAGCAUUUCAAAAAAGCAUGCCAAAUCCAAAUCUCUUGAUCGGCCACCGCUUCAAGGAUUAUAGUUGAACCCUUUUUUUGGCCGUGGAAUUUCCCAUGCCAUGCCUUAGGACAGUUCUUCCAACUCCAAUGCAUGCAAUAUAUUGAGCCAAACAUACCUGGGAACCGCAAGCUUUGUUCAUCUCCAAAAGCCCUGCAACGUCUUCAGCAUUGGGAGAUCUCAAAUACUCCGGGCCAAACACUUGCACAAUUCCGACUGCGAAGCGCUUGACACACAUGAUGGCUUGACUCUCACCCAUGGCCAGGUGGUCAUCAACUAGAUCAGUCGGAAUACCGUAUGUCAACAUACGCAAAGCGGCUGUCACCUUCUGAAAGGUGCUAUGCCCGAGUUCUCUGGCGGCAUUCCUCCUUUGCUGAAAAAACCAAUCAUGGCUCGCCAGUUUCUCUACAAUGUGCCUGAACAACUCGGUGCUCAUCCUAAACUGGCGCCGGAAGUACGACUCGGGGUAUGUGUGAUUCUCCACAAAAUAGUGCCUCAUCAAUCUGUUGUCGGCAUUGAUCUUGUCCCUCCAAAUUUUCCGCCAAACCACCGUGCUUCGGUUUUUUUAUUGAUGUGCAUAGUUAUAGGAUCAUUGCAAGGUCCUCCUCGUCAUCUUCAAUAUCAAAUUAGUCUUCGGAAGAAUCAUAUGACGAACUCAUCUAUAAUGUUGAAUUUUAACUAGUCUAUAAAAAUUACAAACAACAUGCACCAAAUUCAUGUAAACAAAUGUGAAGUUGAAGCAAUACAUACCUUGCAAGCGUUUUGUGGAACACCUUGUGGGCGCCGAGUGGCAGUGGGCGGCCUGGCGCUGUUCGUCGGAGGAAUGGUGCACGCGAGGGGCGGCGGCGACUAAAGGGAGACGGAGGAAGCAGCGGCGGUGCGGAGAUAGGCCCGGGAAGCGCCGUCAGGUCACCGGAGCAAAUGGGAUGGUGCGGCCGGAGGCGCCAGUGCCUGGAUUGGGGGUAGGUGGAAGUCAUGGCAUGGGCGCUCGACUGUGCAGCGCGUGGGAGCGGGCGCACGAAAUAAGUGGCACGCGAUGCCGUUUCAUCCCACGCGCUGAACCACUUAUGCCACGCACGCGUUUUUUUGCGCCUCCGCUGGAGCGCCCGGAGCGACUGUGCGCGUGCAAAAAAACAGAAUUUUUCCAGCGCGGCGCUUAUAUCGCGCAGCUGUUGGAGAUGCUCUAACAAGGUUCCCUUUGCCGCCUACUGCUAGCUGGCGAAACACUGACUUGAGAGUAGAUACAACCUUUUAAUUAAACUGAAGGUGAGAAAUCGAUGCCACAUAUCUCACUAUGAUUCUGCAUUCUGCGUGCGUUUAUUGCUGUGAGGAAGAAAGACAGGAGAGAGGCUGAACUCAUGUAUAUUCAUCCAUCGGGAGUGUACAUAUAUACAGGUACAUGCACACAGCAGGUGCGGCCACUACUCCAACGAACCACGUAAUAAACUCCACUAAGCUAGUACAUGCACCAAGACUAGGUAGAUUAGUUACAGGGAGAGGCUACGUGAUAGAGAAUCACGUAGGGGCACCCUGCGUGAUAGGAGGUUUCCAACAAUUGCCGCCAGCCGGAGCCGGGGACAUGGCAGCUGGUAGAGCUUUUAUCACCGCAGGGGUGUCGAUCAAUCAGUUUGUUGUUGAGUUGGUUAUGGUAUGCAUGAACCCGACGUAGUAAGACUAGUCACAGUGGGAGUAACUUUAGCAGUAACAUCGAGUCCGACUCAGCAAAUUUGCUUAUGUGGCAAUGAGUUAAUGAGGAAAGAGGUAGUUGUAGUAACUUAGCUAGUUACUGUAACAUCACAUGUCCCAAUGCAAUAUGAGUCCAUAACCUAAUAAAUGAAUCUUUGCAUGUUACCACAGUUAAGUUACUACCCACUAUGAAAAUAGUAACAUAGUCUAGGGAUAUGUGUAUGUUACUCUCCAUUGUGGCUAGUCUAAUAACUUGAUCAUGUGGCAAUAAAUCGCACGUCGCUGAUGGACGAGCUGGCCUCUCGCCUUCUUUCUAUCCCUCUCCUCUCAGCUCCUACGUCGACUUAACGUGUGUCUGCGGUCCGAACUAAACUGCUCACGUCAUGAUCCGGAGCCUCUCGGAAGACUCGAUCGGUAAACGAAACGUGUGCGCUGCUAGUAGCAUUAAUUAACAAAGUGCUGCUUGCCGGCUCAAUGGAAUGCAUGGGAGAAGGCCGACACGAAAGAAGGGAGAAAAUUUCAGGCGCGCGUGGGUCGUCGGAGAGGAAGAACGGAAGAAGGAGCUUCGGGAGGUUGGCAUGGUCAGGGUGAGAUGAGACUGACGAGAACACGGAACCAUUCAUGCAAUGCAAUCCCGUGUUACCGUCGCAUAUGCUCUGGUUGCUUUGACGUCUCAACGGUCCAGGCUCGGUUUAUCUCGAGUCAGGAUGCGAAAGAGGCAGCUGAUUUCAACAGGGCCGUAAAGGCUGAGGUACACGGCUGGCUGGGGAGGGUCAGCUUGAGCUGAUCGUCGAGGAAAAACAGGACGACCAAGAACCAGCCGACGCUGCAAUCGAGUUGAAGUUCACGUUCACGUACGUGUGGUCGUACCAACUCGGAUGUAUCUGAUGCGUGUAAGAAUAUACACAGUCGCUUGUGUUGUUUGUAUUGACAUGGCAAUGGCUCUCGCACCUUUUCUUUUUUCUUUGCACCUGAAAUGAAUCAAAGUCACCUGAAAAAAAAUGAAACAAAGAAAAAGGAUUCUGCCUUUGGUGCCAGGGACAUGGCAGCUAGAGCUUUAUCACAUGAGUGUCAAUCAGGUUUGUUGAGUCGGUUAUGAAUAUCAUGGCAAAUAAUAAAAAAGAAAAGGUUUGUUGUGUGUUGUGCAUUAAUAAUUGAGACUAACUUCUUCAUGCAGCAACUACGGGAAAUUAAUGCACACCAUGGCUAUCAACGACUGCUUCAAGAUUGUAUAUUAGAUGUGUCAGACCCUAUAAUUAGGCCUUGCCGAUGUAUCCCAUUGGGAAAACAAAAUUUGAUGUCUGUACCAAUCAAAGUAGAACACAAAAUUAACCCUUCCUACAUGAUUACUCCCUCUUGGUCUUGGACCCCUCCCACGGGUGCCGUCGACCCUAAAAAAGGCGCUAAGCGUCACCGUUGUCAAGUCUGAAAUGGACACGGGUUACUUGGAAACUAGUUAAGCACGUUUUCUCAAACUUAAUUAGCACUUCACUUUUUCGUACUGAUCCUCUCAGACAGAGAUUCUAAUAAAGUCAACCAAGAUCAGCUUAUGUUCAUUAAUACCCUAUGAGCCAGCAUGUGUACCAAAAACUCGAUUCAGACUAAGAACAAACUAUUAGCUGCAACAGUUUCAGCUUUUUUUUUUGAAAAGGGGGGUUUCCCUGGCCUCCGCAUCAGAAAGAUGCAUACGGCCAUCUUAUUAACCAAAUGAAGUAGUGCCAACAUGGUUCCAAAGGUCUUCAAAAGUAAUAAAAAAGCACAGAAAGCUCACACAGAGCCAAUAAGGGCUAGAAACACCAACUAGCCAAGAAAAGACGCCACAACCGGCUGGCUAAAACUAGAUAGGGAAACUAAUUGCCUAUCCUAUUACAUGACCGCCAUCCAAACCGGUUGAAGAUAUCCCGAGCUACCAUCUCCCAGCGGAAAGACCCAGUAACCAAAUGCUCCCUGGCCUCCGUCUGGGUGAGUAGCGACCACGGACGGAUCAGAGCCGUAGUUCGGAAUAUGACCUGCAAAAAAUGUAUACAUGAUAUUCUGUUAAAAACUAAAUCAUUUCUGCAAGUCCAGAUAGUCCACAGCAAAGCACAAACUCCAACCCGAAUAUGUCUCGCUAAGUCAGGCUCAAUCCCAUUAAGCCAUGUCCCAAAUAACGCAUUAACAGAAUUCGGUGGAUUGAUAUUAAAAGCAAUGUGGACCGUCUGCCAAAGUACCUUGGCCAACGGGCAAUCAAAAAAGAGGUGUUUGAUAGUCUCAUCCCGAUCGCAGAAACUACACCUAGUAGGUCCUGUCCAAUUACGCUUUAUCAAGUUGUCCUUAGUUAAAAUAACUUGUUUAUGGACAAACCACAUAAAUACUUUUAUUUUCAAAGGAACUUUGACAUCCGAAACAUGCUUGGACGUAGGAAUGUAGUUCGAAUUAAUAACAUCAAUAUACAUUGAUUUAACCGUGAAUACUUCAGACUUAGUCAAUUUCCAGCGUAAUUCAUCGGGUUGUUGUGAAAGCUGAACCUUCAUCAGUCUCCUAACUAGACGGAGCCAUUCUUUCCAACGAUUGCCCGCUAGCGUUCGACGGAACUGAAUAUUAAGGGGGGUAGAUUGAAAGACGAUGCUACGAACACCUCACGUCGUUGAACAAUGCGGUAUAAAGACGGAUAUUGGAUGGCCAAGGGUGUCUCGCCGAGCCAAGUAUCCUCCCAGAAAUGUGUACUCGUGCCGUUUCCAAUAACAAACUUCGUCCUAUUAAAUAAGGACUGUUUGACUUUCAUCAGGCCUUUCCAGAAAGGUGAAUCGGUCGGCCUGACUGUAAUAUGGGACAAAGUUUUUGUCUGGAGGUACUUGUUGCGAAGGAUUUGAGCCCACAUAACAUCAUUCUCCGAUGAGAGCUUCCACAGCCACUUGCUAAGAAGGCAUUUAUUCUUAACUUCUAGAUUCUCAAUACCUAGACCCCCUUGAUCUUUCGGUCUACAGAUGAUAUCCCAUUUGGCAAGCCGAUAUUUUCUUUUAAGCUCAUCACCCUGCCAAAAGAAACGCGAUCGAUAGAAGUCCAGUCUCUUCCUAACACCAACUGGGACCUCAAAGAACGAUAGGAGAAACAUUGGCAUAUUCGUGAGCACCGAAUUAAUCAGGAUUAAUCGGCCUCCGUAUGACAUGAGCUUACCCUUCCAACAACUCAUUUUCUUCUCAAAUCGGUCCUCGAUGCACUUCCACUCUCUGUUUGUCAGCCUACGAUGGUGGAUUGGAAUCCCCAGGUAAGAGAAGGGUAACUCUCCCAACUCACACCCAAACAAUUUCCUAUAAGCAUCCUGUUCAUCUUUGGCCCUACCAAAACAGAACAGCUCGCUCUUAUGAAAGUUAAUCUUUAACCCGGUCAAUUGUUCAAAUAGGCAUAACACAAGCUUUAUAUUUCUCGCCUUGGCCAAGUCAUGCUCCAUAAAGAUGAUUGUAUCAUCAGCGUACUGAAGGAUGGAUACACCUCCAUCAAUAAGAUGAGGUACCAAUCCACCUACUUGACCAUUUUCCUUAGCCCUUCCCAGCAAAAUUGCUAACAUAUCCACCACAAUAUUAAACAGUAUAGGGGACAUCGGAUCUCCUUGUCUUAGGCCUUUAUGUGUCUGGAAGUAAUGACCUAUGUCAUCAUUAACUUUAAUUCUCACACUACCUUUUUGCGUAAAUGAUUCAACCUGUCGGUGCCAGGCUUCAUCAAAACCUUUCAUACGCAAUGACUGUUGGAGGAAUGGCCAUUUGACCUUAUCGUACGCUUUCUCGAAAUCCACCUUAAAAAUUACUCCAUCUAAUUUUUUGGAAUGGAUUUCAUGGAGUGUUUAAUGCAGGACGACCACCCCUUCAAGGAUAUUUCUGUCCGGCAUGAAAGCAGUUUGGGACUGUUGCACCACAGAAUGCGCAAUCUGUGUGAGCCUGUUAGUCCCGACCUUGGUGAAAUUUUUGAAACUAACAUUGAGGAGACAGAUCGGCCUGAAUUGCUCAAUUCUCACAGCAUCCGUUUUCUUGGGAAGCAGUGUGAUAGUCCCAAAAUUCAAGUGCAAUAAUUGAAGCUGUCCAGAGAACAGAUCAUGGAACAUAGGUAGUAAAUCCCCCUUAAUAAUGUGCCAGCACUUUUUAUAGAACUCUGCCGGGAAUCCAUCCGGUCCGGGAGCCUUAUUAUUUUUCAUCUGUGCAAUAGCAUCAAACACCUCCUUCUUCGAGAACGGGGCAACCAGAAUAUCAUUAUCGUCAGCCGAUAGCUGGGGCACAUCCUCAGUCCUGGACUCAUCGAGGGACACACAAUUAUCUUCCGGAGGUCCAAAUAACUGCUUAUAAUAGUCGGUAAUAUAUGUUUUUAGGUUAUCCUGACCUAAAAUAGUGCCCUCGUCUUGCUCAAGCUGAAAGAUACGCUUCUUUCUGUGCUUGUCAUUAGCUAUCAAAUGGAAGAAUUGAGUAUUCGCGUCCCCUUGGACCACUUUGCGGACUUUAGCAUGCAAAGCCCACUUCAAUUCUUCUUCGCGGAGCAGUUCUUUCAACCUUUUCUCCGCCUCAUUUUUAACCUGAAGCUCAGCUGGCGGUAAAAUAGUGUAUUCGGCCUGUAUGUCCAGGGCCUGUAUAAGAGUAAGGAGUCUAUCCUUUUCAAUCUUAUACACACCACUGAGGUGCUUAGCCCAACCCCGUAAGAAACUUCUCAAAUGCCUACUCUUAUACGGUUUCAGCUAUCUGUGAGCUUAUACGGUUUAUAUAUUCUUCUCAGGCCCUUACGCCUCAUAUGUUUCAUUGGCCAGCUCAACCAAUGAUUUCAGUAGUUCUUUUUUUGAGGUCUUAACUUCAUGAGCUUCGACCAUAUCUUUGUAGACUCUCAAGCAAGAAUGUUUAUUCUUAUGAACGCCAUAUAUAUAUGAAUGAGCGACCAACCUUGACACAUCAUCUUCUGAAACCUGAAAGAAGCAUGAUUUGGAGUGAGUGACAAGUUUGCUGAAAAUGGGAUAGCAUGCAGCUUGGCACACUUCACAAAAUAGUAUGUACAGUUUUACCUCACAGGAGUCGCCAAAUUCAGGCCACCAUAUCAUCUUCAGAGCUGUUGCAAUUUUCAGUAACGUCCAACCCUCGCAGUUGAUGCCAGAGACAUCCUUAAUGAGGUCACCUGCACGGCGCAAGGCUCCAGAAUAUUUCUUCUCAACAGAAUCACAGUGAAACAACGCAGAAGCUGUCGCAGCAAUUUGCUCAUUGACCUGGAUACAAAGAAGAUUGCUUCAUCACUAAAGCAAGGAUGCAGAGCAUAUAAUUUUUUUUCUGUAGAAGUUGCAUCCAAAACUUUGGUCCAUGAAGAUGAAGUGCAACACCAAAUGACAGGGAACUAUGAAGCAAAGAGCAUGGCAACUAGUUAGCUCACCAUAUCUGUUUUGACAUCACAACAAUAACGAUUCAAUACACGUCCUAGACUCAUUGGGAGACGGUCCGCUGCAGCCAGCUGUGAUUUUUCUUGAGGCAGCAAACUUCGCAUGCAAUGCUGUAUGCCCCACAUUACCUCCAUUACAGCUGUAGUAUACAGCCAGUCUAUAUUCUGGAAGAAGAAGAUGAAAAAGUCUAUAAUAGGAAAACUCCAUAGAAGGGAGAUGGGUGGGAGCUCUCGCGACUCGCCUGGCGAGUCGCCUGGCGACUCAUCGGCCGGCGCCGCCGGGCCAAUCCCCUCCGUCCCCGCCGUCCCGCUCCCAGCAGGAGCCACCCUGCAUCCUCCAACCGUCCACCGCUCGUCUGCUCCGCUGCUUGGCCGCCGACCGGGUUCACCUGCGUGCUCCCGGGCUGCUACCCGCCGCGAAGACGUCAUCGCCGCCGUGCCUCGUCCAGGUAUCUCCUUCCAUGCCCGUGUCCUUGCUACCUUCCUCUCGGGCGUCGCCUUCGACCCUGUCACCUUUCCAUCGCUCUCCCAGCCCGGCGCUCUGUGGGUUUCCGCCCCGUUCGCUGCCGGGUGCUUCUCGCGCUCCGGGAUAGCGCGUUUGCUGGAGUACUUCUUCUGCGCCCCCCACGAACGUUUGGUAGCCACGCGCGCUUCGCGCCUUGUCUUCCAUGUCCGCGUCGCGAGCCCCGCCAUUGCCAGGUUCCUCGUCGAGGUUGGGCCGGGACUCAUGGUUGCCAUCAACCUCGGCUUGCAUGCUUCCCUGCAUGCUGCGCGCGGGCGGGUCUCCCACCAGCCCAGCCUUGAUGGCCCCAUUACUCCGUUCCGGAUUGGUGGCCGACGCCUGGCAAUCAAUUGCCCUGUUCCCCCCAUCCCAUCGCUCCCGCCCCUACUCCCCCUACCUCCGACACAGGGUGAGGUUUCGCCCUCUGAUUCGCUGGAAACAAACCCCACACAUGCUGCCGCCCCCCUGCUCCCCAAAACGCGCCAUGCGCGGGCUCGCCCGUCCGCGACAAUGCGUCGGUGGGGAGAGACCGGUCAAGCGUUCAAUGCGCCGAGGUUGACACUCGCGCGGCGCCGGGCCCCGCUGCGCCACCCACCGCCUUCAUGGCUCCCCGGGGAGGGUGCAGCUCGUUCUUGGCUGCCGUUCUCUCCGUGCCCUCACCUCCUCCUCAACCUAACCCUAAAAAGCCCCUCCCUCCCCUCUCGCUGGACGGCUGCUUUCGUUGCCUCUCCACGCGCCACUUUGUGAAGGACUGCAGAGAUCCCGUUCGGUGCCGCCGGUGUCGGUUGUCCGGGCACCGCGCCGCCUCCCCUCGCUGCCCCAUGGCUCCUCCGCGCCGCGCUGCUGCGUCCCCCCUUGCUCGCGCUGCCUCGCUUCCCAACCGCCCGCCCACGCCGCCGCCACCCCCCCACCACGCCGCCAGUCCACCCCGUACCCCCACGCCCGCAUUGCCGCUCUCUCCCCCGUCGGAGGGCUCCCAACCCCGCGCCGUCUCGAGAUCGGCGGCUCUAGCAACCGUGCACCCGCCUCCACUCCCGCAGGGAGUGGCGAUCCGCCCUCCCAGCCAUGCAACCGUGAUGUGUUCCUCUCUGGGGUCAUUCGCUCUCCACCACCCUCUCCUCCGGCCGCCUCCCCUGACAUUGGCCAUCCUGAGCCGGUGUUGGCCCUUGCGACCCCCUCCAUGCAGCAUGCUCACCCUGAGCUGCUUGCGGUUCGGGAGCGGGGCUCGUCGUCCAGUGGAUCACGCCAAUCCUCGCGCUCGCCAUCCUCCCUCUCCUCGGGAAACUCGAUCCCCUCCGCCGUAGCUGACUCCGAGCGUCCUGAUGUGCUCGAGGUGUUUAUGCCGGAGGGAGACUACACCGCGGCCCAGAGGUUUGCCGUGGUGAGCAUCGAGCCCCCGGGCGCUUUCAUCAACCCCACCACUGCGGUGCAAGCCGUCGUCAUGGACCGCAUAGGGCACUUGCUGCCUGAGGUGGUGCCGUCGUCGGUGGGCGCCAUGUAUCUCCGGUUCGCGUCUGUGGCGGAUCGCGACGAGGCCUUGGCCAUGCAGCCCUUCCCCCAUGAAGGCGCGCGCAUCGACCUGAUCGCGGAAGAACUCUUCGAUCGUGUGGCGCCGCGCCUCGACGUGUGCGCCGUCCUCGCCGCCACAGGCUUCCCCGCCGAGUUCAUCAACCCGCGCGGCGUCUCCGCCAUGUUCUCUGGGUUUGGGAAGGUCCUUGAGAUCGAUCCACUCGUCCUGGCGGGCAGUGAGCUCGCCACCGUGCGUGCGGUCGUCCUCCUCAAAAAUCCUCGCGACGUCCCUUGUGACGUGUGGCCUCUGGGAGGACGCUGGGGCGCUCGUGUUGUCUCAGUCCGACCCGUCCGGGCCUGGGCGCGCGCUGACUCCUUCACGGCCAACGGAGAGUAUCUCCCGUUCUUCUACCCGCCACCACCGCCUUUCGCCCACAACCAUGUCGUCUUCCCGGGUCAGCCGCUGGGGAGAGGGAGCGUGCAGCCUCGUGCUCCCUUCCACUCUGGAGGCGGGGCGCGCGGAGGAGACGCUGGUCAACUCGACUCCGUGCUGCGCGUCCUCGGCGCGCCUCCCCUUCCAGCUUGGCUGCGGCACGGCCCUCUACGGCUGGGAGGCGUGCACCCGCCCCGCUCUCCUCUCCCGGCAGGGCUGCCCCCUUCGGGCUCGCCGUCCCGCUCCGUGUCCUCCUCGGUCGGGAGUGCCGGGUCCGGAAUAACAAUCGUCGACGUCACCGAGCAGCAGAUGGAGGGCCGUGACGGGCGCGCCGUUGGCGAUGCCCCUGGGCCUCGCCGUAGCGCUCGGGUGGCCGGCUCCGAGCCUGCGGAGUACGUCAGCAUGGAGGCGAAGGCGGUCAAGCUGCGUGCUCUCCGGGACGCGCUCUCCGGGUGCUCACCCCGCCUCAAAUCCAAAGUCCUGAAGGACAAGAUGCUCGAUGGUGUGCACAAGCCCAUGACGGCCAAGGCGGUGGCUGAGCUGCGCUGUGCCGCGUCCAUCCGGGCUGUUCCGGCGGCCGACGAUGCCGAUGUCUAGUCUUAUCUCCUCCUUUCUUUCGUCUACCGCUGCAUGCGCCUACCCUCGCUUAAGCUUCCCUCCCUGUUGCCCGCUCGGGGCUGUUUGUGGUUCCGCUCCUAGUUGGGCGACCGGCCGUCUGUACCUCGGUGUGUGUUUGUGUAAUGGAUAAUCUCUCCUUUGUUGAUCUCUCUAUUCUCUCUUGGAAUGUUCAAGGGCUGGGGGACCCGGAUAAGUGCGAUAUCGUGCGUAACCUUAUAGCUUCCACUGAUCCCGUCAUCGCUUGCGUUCAGGAGACCAAACUGGCCACCCUCCCCGCGUGCAAAGCCCGCUCGUUCCUCCCUGGGCGCCUUGCUUCGUUUGUCUCCAAGGAUGCCGAUGGGAGUCGGGGUGGCAUCACCACCGCUUGGGAUGCCCGCCUGUUCUCCUUAGUCUCCUCCUUCGCUUCGGCUUUCACGCUGUCCACGUCCUUCUCCUCCACUACCACCCCACUCUCUUUCACCGUUACGAACGUCUACGCGCCCUCGGAUCAUGCUCUCACUAUGGAAUUUGUUGAGGACCUCUCCGCGGUCUCCUCGGAUAUUCCCGGGCCUUGGAUUGCUAUUGGGGAUUUCAAUCUGAUUAGGGCUCCCCGUGAGAAGAAUAACAAUAACUUUGAUGCGUCGAGAGCCGCUGUCUUCAACUCUCUCAUCAACUCCCUGGCCUUGCAUGAGCUGGCCCUGACGGAUCGCCGUUUCACAUGGACGAACCGAAGGGAUCCGCCGACUCUUGCCCGCCUAGACAGGGCCUUCUUUGACAAUGAUUGGGGGGAGUCUUUCCCGGACUCGGCUCUUUCCUCACGCCCUCGGCCUACCUCUGAUCACGUCCCCCUGGUUGUCACUGCGUCCACCCGAAUUCCCAAACCGGCUCGCUUCUUCUUCGAGAACUCCUGGCUGCUCAACCCUCGCUUCCUCCCCACUACCAUCCCUUCUUGGACGGGCGCGGCGCCCGGGCGCUGCGCGGUGGGGCGGCUCGCUGCACGUAAGAAGAAGUUUCGGUCUGCGGCCAAGGUUUGGAAACGGCAACACAAAUACAUCCCUACCUAUGAUAAUGAUUGCAAAUUUGUGGUUGACCUCCUGGAUUUCUUGGAAGAGUCCAGAUGUCUGUCUACAGAUGAAGCGCUGCUGCGGAGUGAUGCUCGUAGCUGCCUUGCCGCGUCCAUCAAGAGGCAGAGUGCGCACUGGAAGCAGCGGGGGAAGUGUCGUGCGGUUCGAGAAGGCGAUGAGAAUACCAAGUUCUUCCACGCCAGUGCAUCCCAGCGCCGUCGCGGGAACUGGAUCCGCGCGCUUGAUGUUGAUGGGCUGGAGGUGGUCGAUCACCUUGGCAAGGCGGCUGCGCUGCGGGGCUUCUUUGCCAACCUCCUCGGGCGUUGCUGCCUCCCCGACUGGCGCUUCGACCUUGAGGCGCUGUACUAGGGUGUCCCAGGCGUCGACGGGGGCGCCCUUGUGAGCCCCUUCACCCUGGCCGAGAUCAAGAAGGCGGCGGGCCUCCUCGACCGCUCGAGCGCCCCCGGCCCGGAUGGCCUGGGGCCUGCCUUCUACCAAGCUGCGUGGGAGGCGGUGUCGGGCGAUAUGCUGCAGCUCUUCGACGCCUUCUUUGACGGCUCGGUGGACCUGGAGCCGAUCAACCGGGCGUACAUUGCCCUCUUGCCGAAAGGGGGUGGGGCGACCCCAACUCCAAGUUCGUUCCGCCCCGUCUCCCUGCAGAACUGCGAUGUCAAGAUCCUCUGCCGGGCGCUCACCACGCGGUUGCAGCAGCAGNNNNNNNNNNNNNNNNNNNNNNNNNNNNNNNNNNNNNNNNNNNNNNNNNNNNNNNNNNNNNNNNNNNNNNNNNNNNNNNNNNNNNNNNNNNNNNNNNNNNNNNNNNNNNNNNNNNNNNNNNNNNNNNNNNNNNNNNNNNNNNNNNNNNNNNNNNNNNNNNNNNNNNNNNNNNNNNNNNNNNNNNNNNNNNNNNNNNNNNNNNNNNNNNNNNNNNNNNNNNNNNNNNNNNNNNNNCAGUCCGGAUUCGUCUCCGGGCGAAGCAUUUCCGAGAACUUCGUCUAUGCGACCGAAGUGGUGCAAUGCUGCCGCGCGAGGAAAGCCCCCGCCCUCGUCCUCAAGCUGGACUUCGCUAAAGCCUUCGACUCUGUUAAUUGGGCGUGUCUUCGUCGCGUCAUGGAGGUGCGCGGCUUCCCUGAGCAAUGGUGCGCGUGGGUGGACGCCAUCCUCCGUUCAUCACGCUCCGCGGUGCUGCUCAACGGAGUGCCGAGGGCGUGGUUCCCCGUCAGGUGUGGGCUUCGCCAAGGAGACCCGAUGUCGCCCUACCUCUUCCUCUUGGUGGCGGAUGUCCUGCAACGGAUGGUGCGGCGCGACCCCCUGCUCCAACAUCCGCUGGUGGAGGGGGGGAGCACCGAUUGUGCUUCAAUACGCCGAUGACACACUUAUCAUCGCCCGCGCGUCGGGGGAGGCGGCGGCGCGGCUACGACGCAUCCUGGACGACUUCGCCGCGGCCACCGGGCUGGGGAUCAACUACGGCAAAAGCACCCUGGUGCCGAUCCACGUCGCGGACGAGGUGGUGGCUGGGGCUGCGGGGGCCCUCUCCUGCUCUGUACAGGGGUUCCCGCAACCCUACUUGGGCCUGCCGUUGUCGUGGGACAAGCUGACGGCGGCCGAUUUCGCGCCGAUGCUUGCUAAGGUCGAUGCCUACCUGGCCGGGUGGCGGGCGCGUCUACUCUCCCCCGCCGGGCGCCUGGUCCUGAUCAAUGCGGUGCUGGACUCGCUCCCCACAUAUGCCAUGGCCGCCGUCGUCCUUCCCCCGGCCGUGGUUAAAGCCAUGGAUACGCUGCGCCGGGCAUUCCUAUGGGCGGCGGCCGACCGCGCCACGGGAGCUCAGUGCCUGAUUGCUUGGAGCCAGGUCUGCAUGGCGAAGUGCGAGGGGGGGCUCGGGGUGCGGGACCUUACCACCCAGAACAUGUGCCUGCUGCUCAAGAUGUUGCAUCGUCUACACUCAUCGGAGUCGAGGUGGGCGUCGUGGGUUUGGGCGGAGCUGAAUGGCCAAUCCCUUCUCCAACCCGGUAGCUGUCGUCAUGCCGGGCCGCAUGGGCGCUCUCUGCGCGGCAUGCUGCCGCUCUACCGCGCCAUGUCGCGAGUGCGUGUGCAGGAUGGGCGGCGAACCUCCUUCUGGCUCGACUGGUGGCUGCCGUGCGGUCCUCUGAGUGUGGCCUUCCCCGCUCUAUACUCGCAUACCACAAGCGUCGAGGCCACUGUGUCCUACGUCUGGAACGGUGGGCUCGACCGCAUCUUGGUCCCAAGACACACCCGGGCGGGGGCUCGGGAGCGAGAAGCCCUCCUUGCCAUUCUCCCUGAUGCACUUGUGGCGUCGGGCGUAGAUGAGAGGAUGCUGCCGCUUUGUGGGCACCCCCGGUCGGGAGGCCUUGUCGCGCGCCGCGCCUACGCCCUCCUGCGCUAUGGCGGGCGGCUCUCGCCUCAUGCAGCGUUCGUCUGGGGGGCGCGCGCGCCGUCGCGGGUGAAGUUCUUCUGCUGGCUGCUGGUUCAUCGUCGAGUCAACACUCGGGAUGUCCUUCUUCGGAAGACCAUUGUUGAUCGCGCGGGGGCCGGCUGCCCCGUCUACUUGGCGGAGCUGGAAACCGCGGACCAUCUGAUGUUUGUCUGCCCGUUCGCGCGCGAGUUCUGGCGCGCCGUGGGGGUGUGGUGAUCGCGGCCGGGGCGUCGGUAGAGCGACUCUUCGCCCUAGACGUAAGAGUUGCCGUAGGAGAUGCCUCUCCCGACACCUUCAUCCUCCUAUGCUGCUGGCACCUAUGGAAGCACCGGAACGGGGUGGUCUUCCAGGCUAUGGUGCCAUCUCUGGAUCGGGUCCUAAGCUGCUGUCGAGAGGAUGCUGUUCUCUGGCGAGAAUGGCUACAUCCACGGAAUCGUGCGGAUGUUCAUGCGUGGGUGCGUGCGUUGACGCGGUGAUCUGAUCUUAGCUGAUGUUUGUAAAAAUGAGGACCUCCCCCUAGUGGUGAUUUGGCAAUAAAAUUCAGGUGGAGGGAUCGCUAUCCCUCCCCCGGUGACAGUUCAAAAAAAAAUAUUCUGGAAGAAGUGAUAUCAAAGAUGGCGAUCAAAGUUGUUCAAAAAUAUAGAUAAACCAGGAACUUAACCUCACCAUUCUCUCUUCAAUAAUUCUUUUAUAUUCAAGCUUUCCAACAGCAAUUUUCUGUUCAGGGAAGCGACAGUUCAUGAUCAUAUCAGUAAGCCUUUCGCUGACACCAGUACUUUUAUUAAUGGCCUUGGACUUGUCCUUAAAAGUUCGAAACUCUUCCAGCAAAACAGCCUGAUGAAAAAAUGAGCAUGUUCAGGUGCAAAAAGAAACGAUUAAUCAAGGAUCAUGUCAUGUCUCUCAAUCAGGAUAGGGGGCUGAUUCACUGGGCAUAUCUUAACUGUAACGAUAUACCCAUGUUACAAAUACUCGUUCAUCAAAUACUAGUGUGAUUCAGAUUAACUCAUAAAGCAAGGUCAUGAGAUGUAGUUUGGCAACAGACCACAGUGCUGCUCUUCAGUAGUAGCAGCACAUCAGUAACUGAUUUGUAAGAAGUCUUGUUACACCCAUGGCGGAUAUUUAGCCAAAGUAGUUUUUUGGGCGUGCAUGCAUUUGUGUCCAGGGCAAGGUUUCCAUUUUCAGUUUCAGCGAAAUUCAGUGAUUUGUUUGAAAUUCAAUUAAAUAUUUGAAACUUCUAAAUUAUUUUUGAAAAAUAGUUGAAUUCAUGUGUACUACUUGAAAUGGCUGAAAUAUUUUGGCCGAAAGGUAGAUAUUUCAGUGACUGCUAAAAUUAAUCAAAUCCAGUGAAAUUCAUCAAAAUCUCACUGAAAGUGAAAACCGCGGUCCAGUGUACAUGUUUUAGAUUUAUGGAGGAAAGUUGUGUUGGCCUCUCAAUUAUUUAGUAAUUAACCAUGUGUUUAUGUUCCUCCGUUAAUAGAAAAUAAAGUAAAUAAAUAAAUACUGAUGCAAUCAUGGAUGGUGCAAGAUAACUAGCAGGGUUAAUUUGGCAGCACAACAUAGGAAAAUAACAAUCAUAAGCAGGGAAUCGAAGGAAAGAAGUGGGCACUAACACGUUCUGCCUUCCAUCUAUCAGUGAAGUUAAGCCAUAUUUCCUGGAGGAGACAAAGAGAAAAGAGAAAAUUAGGUAAUUGACAUAGACAACAAGAGAAAAAAAAAACAAGAGAAAGCAAGCAAGCACAUCAUCAGUAACCAAGGAAGGAAGAACAUAUAUAUAGUACACCACUACACCUCCACAGCAUUUGGUCUGCUAAUAAGUAACGCACAAAAAGUGAAAAUUGCAAAGCCUGAGGGUGUCUCAAACAGAAUCAGCAUCAGUCCACUAUCCCCGCGGAUGGCAGCUGCAAAAAAAGAAACAAAGGAAAACUUAAGCAAGCAUGAUUACCAAGAAAAGAAGUGAAGAAUUCAAAUAUCAAACAUGAUGCCAGCCCUUGCCAAAGGUCUGUUGGCUGUGCUCUCUUCCACUCGGAUGCCACUACAGGUGCCUCCGGCUAGACCUUGACCACUAGAUAUUGUCGAGAUGUUCUAGCCAAAUGCACUCAAAGGUUCCAUCCCAAUUAUCUUAAAAAAAAAAGGUUCCAUUCCAACCGCUAGAAUGUUCCGGCCAUGGAAGGUAAUUGUUCCCACCAGUUGAAAUGAACUUUCCAUGGGCGCAUUGGGAGCAAGAGAUCCAGUGGGAACUGAGAGGUGUGCGCAGUGGCCAGGAUCAUGGAGCCGCUGCUGGGAAAAUGUGGUGCCAUUUUAGCGUGUGUCUGUUAUGAGGUUGGUACAGUUUUAUCUCCUGCAGGAUUUGGACAUGUUUUACUCUAACAAAUGAUUAAAAAUUCCUUGAUUUCUUGCAUAAAGAAUGAGAUUUAGUUAGGUUCCAAUGUCACAUUAAGAAUAUUUUCCCAAGAGCUAAAGAUUCAGAGAAACGACGCGAUGGUUAGGUACUUAGGUAAGUCUUAUGGAAACUAAGCUCGCCACUAUAAGGCUGGCUACUGGUCGUAAUGGUAGUAUCAUAGCUAGUAUUAUGCCUUGUACAAUGGGAGGUGCUUAGAGAGAUGCUUAGAAAAAUAAACCAGGUUUUUCUGAAGCCCCGGUGCCUAUUUCUACAGGAGCUUAAAAAAAAGCCUGGUUUAUUUCUCUAAGCACCUCCCUUUGUACAAGGCCUUAUGCAUGCCAACUAGGCAAUUUUGAUGAUGUGGCAUAUCAUUAAAUGAAGAAAGAGAUGGUGGAGUAUCAUAUCAUGAUACUGUAUCAUAAUAAAUGCUAUGCUACUUUGUGUCAUGCAUGGCAAUAAAUAGAGUACUACAUGAUACUAAUAUAUGAUACUAUGCAUUAGGAAGGUAGUACCAUACACUAGUAUCAUAUGUAUGAUACUAUUAUAUGAUACUCCUCAUUAGGCUGGUUGUAAUGGGGAGUAUCAUAUAGUAGUAUCAUACAUAUGAUACUAGUGUAUGAUACUACCUCCCUAAUGCAUAGUAUCAUAUAUUAGUAUCAUGUAGCACUCUAUUUAUUGUCAUGCAUGACACAAAGUAGCAUAGCAUUUAUUAUGAUACAGUAUCAUGAUAUGAUACUCCAUCAUCUUUUUCUUCAUUUAAUACUAUGACACAUCAUCAAAAUUACCUAGUUGACAUGCAUGAUACUAGAUAUGAUAUUACCAUUACGAUCAGCCUAACGAAAAUUUGACAUGGUUGUAGUACUAGUAGUACAGAGUUCUUAAAUAUAAGUCUUUUUAGAGAUUUCAAUAUGGACUACAUAUGAAUGUAUAUAGACAUAUUUUAAAGUAUAGAUUCAACCAUUUUGCUUCGUAUGUAGUCCAUAUUAGAAUCUCUAAAAAAACUUAUAUUUAGGAGCAGAGGGAGUAUAAAAGACUGGUACUGCAGCCUGCAAUUCUAUGAAUAUCUUAUUGCAAUUUUUGUUGCAUGGUUUGCCUCUUAUCAUUUCAAUUCAGCUGUUAACCAUUUUGGAUAAAUGCUUCAUGCGAUGUUUGACUUGAACAUAAGUUGGAUAGGCACGAGAAAGGUUUGCCCCAUUGUGUACAUGUCUCAAGCAAGGCACCGCCAGGCCAAUUAUGUGACAGUUGUACAAGUAAGUCGAGAAAGUUACUUUGUACAUAUGGUACUGCAUAUUUACUCCUGCUACUGCAGGGUAAUUGGCCAACUGCUAAUGCCAAGUUGCUGUGACUGAAGGUGUAUAUGACCUUUUGGACAUCUGCGUGAGAAGGAUAGAUAAACUGACAAAAUGUUUGGAGUGCUGAUGCUGAAGACCAACGUGAUACUACCAGAAAGGACCAGCGGUGCACCAGCAGCAAGUGAGAGAAAGCAAAUGAGAGCAUAAGAGCAUUUCCAUCAGACUCCUUACAAAUGGUCAAACCCGUAAAAAAAAUGACGUUUUCAGUUUUUGUUUUCAAAAAACAUCCCGGAUAGAGCCCGUAGAAAUGGUCAAACCCGUAAACUUUUUUCAGGCCCCUGAGAAUCCAUCCUCACGACCCCUUUAUUCACAGAUUUAGAGGCAAAACUAAGGAUGCCCUGAAAAUCAGUCAACAUAUGCUAAGCGACAAGGAAAUUUCACCGUGCACACGGGCUUCGAUGACCUUCCGCCACGAAACUCGUCGGAAUCUCGCCAGAAACUCGGCACUUAGAGCAGCUGCGCCGCCGGCCUGUGGAGGAGCUCGCAGGAGCGGCGGCGGCGGCUCCAUGACACCGAGAGGUUUCAUCCGCGCUGGUUCCUCAUCUGAUGCUGGCUGUCCCACAUCUGCCGCGGAGGCUUGGAUUUAUUAAGCAGUGACCGGAGCUAGCUAGGAUCGAUUCAGUUGAUCCAUUCAAGCAGCAACGGCGACGGGAGCUAGCUAGCUCCUGGAUCGAUUCAAUCGAUCCGUCGAAGCAGCUACGGCGACGGACACAGCGGCCGCUUUGUGCGAGAUGUCUUGACGCCGGCGGCUCCGUAUUUGGCCGCUUCGUGCGUUGUCCGCCAGCUCCGUAGGAGCGAGCUUAUUGAGCAUGGACACGGGCAAGAGGAAGAAGACAUGGGAAAAAAUAUAAGGGAAUAUUCAGUUUUACAGUUUAACUUCGAGGUUUCUACUUGGCCGCAGCUCAAACCGAUUCUUAAAACGUGUUUUCCGUAAACUGAAAACCAAAUUCUGCGGUUUAAGGGGUCUGCUAGAGAUGCCACCUCCAAUAUUAACCCGUAAAUUACUCCCGCAUCUGUUCGCGGACAUCCAACCCUAUGCCUCAAAUAUCCGCUUUCUACUAACUUAAAAAAUUGUUUACGCUUUUUAUUAACUUAAAAAAAUUGUUUAUUCAUCGGCUUCCGUUGAAACACAGUGUCAAAACACACACAUGCCAGCCUUCCACCAAAUGCAUACAAGUAGAUGUUAAUCACCUAGUCAAUUACACCUUCCGCCAAAUGAGUUACACACCUUCCGCCAAAUGCAUACAAAUCACUAAUGCUAAACGUAGUCCAAGUAUACCUUCCGCCAAAUGCAUACAAAUCACUAAUGCUAAUCGUAGUCCAAUUACACCUUCCGCCAACGAGUGCUAGACUUGCAUCACACCUUCCGCCAAUUGAAAAUCGCCUUCCACCCUUUAACCUUGCGUCAAACUAAUCACCUUCCGCCAAACAGCUGCGGCUUUACACCAUCCGGACAGAGAGACGGGCACGUGGUGCUUUUUGGUUGACCAGACGGAUGUCCAGACUCCCGCAAAGUUUAUCAUGUUUGUCUUCAGUUUGUCGAAAAAACGUGGUUCAGAUUGCUCGUCGGACCGAUACAGAACCACGUUGUAUGGCAAAUUAUGUCCAGACAACACGGUCUAGACGCUUGCGGGAUGUUUAAGGGUCCACCUUAAAGAUGCCCUAAAGGGGAUAAUAGCAGAGUGAGAGGCGGUGGGCGACGAAUAACAACUGCAUGGGAGAUGUGCUGCCCACAAACCCGUGCUCUGGGGGUGUGUUCAGAUUCUUUUGGCUUUAAUUGGAGCAUCUUCAACGGAUGAUGUAAAAGCACCGCGAUGAUAAAAUUUGGCCAUUCGGGGUACUUCGGUCAAAAACGACAUUCCAACACGUGAUGUAUAUGUAUCCAGUGAUGUAAUUUUUUUAGGACAGAUGAAACAAACGCCUCUCGCUGCUCCAUAUUUGCAGCAUUGCAAUGGCUGCCACAAAAUCCUCAUGCCCACGCACGCAAUUGCCCGCAGAAACUACCCCGUCUGCAGCCCGCAUCGUUGCCCACCACUGCCAUCGUCAAUUCCAUGUUGUAAUCACCACCCGACCAGCCGUCACUAGCCAUCUCGCCACCGGUUUCCACUCUGCUAGCCGACAAUUUCCACCUACCCACUGCAUCCACCCCGCCCACAAAUACAGCCUCCCCAUUCCCCGUCAUCGUCCGAUCAAUGACUCACCUCCUUGAUUUGUCGACUCUGGCGGCUGCUGCUUGGGUUGCCUCUAAGGUUUGUUCGUCGCGGUUGGGCUCAACACACCGCCGCUCAGCUUGGCAGCUCGGGGCCGACGACACUGUCAGUGGCAGAGCUAGCCAAGUAUGGCUGGGAGGCAGAUGACCACACUUAGCUUUAACUUAGCACCUAAUAAAAAUUCUUACAGAGAUUUUUCUAAUCUUNNNNNNNNNNNNNNNNNNNNNNNNNNNNNNNNNNNNNNNNNNNNNNNNNNNNNNNNNNNNNNNNNNNNNNNNNNNNNNNNNNNNNNNNNNNNNNNNNNNNNNNNNNNNNNNNNNNNNNNNNNNNNNNNNNNNNNNNNNNNNNNNNNNNNNNNNNNNNNNNNNNNNNNNNNNNNNNNNNNNNNNNNNNNNNNNNNNNNNNNNNNNNNNNNNNNNNNNNNNNNNNNNNNNNNNNNNNNNNNNNNNNNNNNNNNNNNNNNNNNNNNNNNNNNNNNNNNNNNNNNNNNNNNNNNNNNNNNNNNNNNNNNNNNNNNNNNNNNNNNGUUGUUGGACACUGUCGAGGAGAUAGCAUUGCCCAAGCCACCGCUACAUCACCGCUCUGCCGCGAGCGCCACCUCGUACCGUGGUGUUAGGCUAAGUGAGUCAGACGUUGCAAAAACCACUUGCAAGUGGCGGCUUAGGUGGCUCGGCGUCUUCAAGAUGCCCAAGCUUGCCGCACACGUGUACAACAAAGUUGCAUGGAGGCUCGGCGGUAGCCGGGCCGAGCUGAACUUCUCCGACAUGGUCUUAGCCUAGGAGGCACAAUUCCGCUCCCAUGAGAUUUGCAUUGUCUCCCACGAUGAGGAGAAAGCACACCGCCGUGUCGAGGCCUAACAAAGUGCCUAGGAGAAGGGUAGGGUUUACAUGGAGAGGUUUGCCUCGACAAAUCCACACCUCGUCGAGGCGGAGCUUCAAUUCUUCGCCGAGAAGGAGAAGGCUAAGCCAAAGGAGGAGGAAGAGAUGGAUCACAAACCCUCAUGUUUAAUUAUGUUGUUUCAAAUGCUUAAUGGACGUAGAACUAGAGUUUGAAAUUCCAAAAUGUGAAAUGAAUUUUCAAAUGAUGAUUUUUAGGGCACCACUUUACAUCUCACCUAUUAAAGCAACAGCCGUCUCGGUGGCGUAAAAUUUUCUCCCUCCUGCCCUAUAUGGGUUUUUACAUCACCAAUUUUUCAUCACCUGUUGGAGAUGCUCUUAAGCAAGUGGGUCCUCAUCCGAUUAGCAAGCACAUGCACCGUGGCGCUCCGGUGCAUCAAAGUUAGUUGGUGGUAAACCAAAGAGGGCUAUACUUUUUGCCAAAUAUUUGGACUUGGAAUGGCUACGAUCCAAACAAUAAUGGCUUACUGAAAUUUCGAUCAUACCCAUGCAUCGGUGAUGCCAACAUUUUGAUGUCUAGUUGUGGCUCAAAUUAAACAUACCCUAAGACUCCAUCUCCAACCGCCAACCCACGAAACCUACCCGGUGCCCGGAUCUGUUGGUUCGGACCCCAAAACGCGCGCCCCAUGGCAGGUAUAUGCUGCUAAAGAUUUAGGGUUUCUUUGCAUGCAGUCCAAUUAGCGACUAAAGUUUUCCCUCCCGAGUAGGUGAGACUGAGAGGCAAGGCAGGAUGACGGCGGGCGAGUGGCUCACCUGGACAGGGUGGGAAUCUCGACGGAGGAGAGCGCCCGCGUGGCCGCUUCACCGCCGGAGUAGAGGAUGUCGAGGAGGAGCGCCUCUGCUUCGCCACCGGAGGAGGACAGGAGGAUGUCGAGGAGGAGCGAGACCGAGUACACAUCGCCGGAGGAGAGGAUAUCGACGAGGAGCGAGUCCGCAUCGCCGGUUGAGGUUUGCGCUGGCGGCCGUGUGUGAAUUUUAUGGAGUCGGUUAGGUUUAGUAGAGAAUGGAUCAGUGCUUCGCGAACCUUUUUAUUUUUUGAGAACCUACAUGCACGCAGCCUUUUUUUAAGAUGACCUUAACUGGCAGAAAUUCUGGCAUUUUGUUAAAUGGCUCUUUGAAUUGCAGGAAUAUGGAAACGUAGGCAUAGUAAAAAAACAUAGAAUGAAGAUGGCAAUGGGUACCCGGAACCUGCGAACUGGACUUGUAAAAACUCUAUUAUUAGGGUAAGUAUAAGAAAUACAAACUCCCAUGACAUGUAAAUGAAAAAGCAAUUAUACCCACGGGGGUAUAGUUGGUUAGAGUACGUGAUACAAUAUUCGUACCCGCAUACUCAUAUAGUACUUGGCUGCAUGCAUUAGUAUGACAUGUAGGAUCAUGCUGUCAUCGAGUAAUUAACUACUCCCUCGGCCCAAAAUAAGAUACUUAUUAUGGAACAAAGGGAGUAUAAAAGAAACCUAGAGGCAAUUUAAUCGGUCACUUCUAUCCUAUGAUACCCUUGUCGCCAGCCCAACUCCUAUCCUCCCACUUGUCUUUCCCUCCUUGAUCAUCCCCGCCCUCCUGAUCCCGGCGCCAGUGUGUCCAUCCGACUAUGUCGACUGUCACCUACAGCCCUGCACCAUGGGUUGCCAUCGCCUGCCACUCUCCACUAGGAUCACGCCCGCCACCAUUCCCAUAGUCCCGCCUUAGUGCCUGCACGGCUGCAACUCCUUCACCACCACAAGACAGCCACAUCGCCUUGUCCCAGCCACCUUCCAUGCUCUAGUCGAUAAGGACAAUAUACUGUUAUAGUUGGUGAUGUAGGUGUCGCUGUUGUAUUCACCAUCCACAACUAACAAGGUCCUCCCUAUCGGAAAUGUGAAUUGGGUGAAGCCAUGAUCAUUUUUGAAAAUCAAGAACAUUUUGGAAAUUCAAGAACAUUUUUUGCAACUCAGGCAACCACCUAUAAAAUGUAGAAACAUUUUUCAAAUCCAUUUUUUUUGAAAUUCAGAAACAUUUUGAAAGAGCAUGAAUGUUUUUUGAAAAUCGUGAACAGUUUUAUUUUUUAAAUAUUUUUUAAAACUAAUUAAUGCUUUUUAAAAUUUGCAAAUAUUUUUAUAUUUUGAACUAUUUUCUAAAUUUUCGACUAAUAUUAAAUUAUUACUUUUUCUAAAAUUUCUGCAGUACUAGUGUUUUUUAUGGUUUUGGUGAAAAUACCCAGCCCCAAGUUUUUUUUGAUGGGAAAUACCCAGCCCCAAGUAAAUGACCGAAUGGGCCGACACAAUACGUGCCUGAGGCUUGAUAGAGGAAAUACCCAGCCCCAAGUAAGAUGUUCUUAAAAUUGUAAAGAAGAAUAAAAAAAUUAAGAAAGGAAAGAAAAUGAAAAAAAGGUGGANNNNNNNNNNNNNNNNNNNNNNNNNNNNNNNNNNNNNNNNNNNNNNNNNNNNNNNNNNNNNNNNNNNNNNNNNNNNNNNNNNNNNNNNNNNNNNNNNNNNNNNNNNNNNNNNNNNNNNNNNNNNNNNNNNNNNNNNNNNNNNNNNNNNNNNNNNNNNNNNNNNNNNNNNNNNNNNNNNNNNNNNNNNNNNNNNNNNNNNNNNNNNNNNNNNNNNNNNNNNNNNNNNNNNNNNNNNNNNNNNNNNNNNNNNNNNNNNNNNNNNNNNNNNNNNNNNNNNNNNNNNNCGUUGAUACAUCAAGUAGCGCACGACUUUUAACUGGUCCGGUCCGUUAGCUAAGUUCUAUGUCUUCCAGUUUCCUGGUUUUGGGAACAUUUCAGAAGGAUUUGUCAGGUUCAGGUAUUGUGUUCUUUCAGUUUUACUGAUGUUUCUUUUUCUGGGGUUUUUCGUGUUUUUUCAUUGUAAAUUUCAAUUUUUUUUCAAGUUUAUUUUGUUUUAAAAAAUUCAGAAAUUCCAAAUAAUAUUAUUUCCAAUAUUCAGUUUUAUCAAAAAACACGUUUUCAAAUAAUGUUGGUGUUUUAAAAAAAAUUUGGAAUUUUUAAAAAUGUUCCUGUUUUAGAAAUUGUAUUUUCGAAAAAUGUUCGAAACUUUUAAAUAAAUUGGUUUUUAAGAAAUACCACAUUAUCAGAAAAUAUUCGCGUAAAAUCUUCGUGUCUUCAAAUUUUGCUUUUAAAACUAAUCGAAGGACUGCAUUCUGCUUGGAAAAUUGGGUCGCUGCUGUAUUGUUACGGGAAAACCGAGUCGCUACAAGCGAGCGCCCUAUGAGCAUUCUGUCGCAUUGCACAUCUCACAUUGCACAUAGGAGAUCUGUCAUCUACCCAGUGCUACCAUGCCGGGAUAACAAUCUUUGCAGAAAUGUAUGCGACGCUUGAAAGUUGUCGCUUGGAGCCGGAUCGACGAUGCCCAGAAGUUCAUAAACCGCAUGACUGUGGAAGGUGGAAGACGCCCUAGCAGCCCCCGCAUGUGAGAUCACUUCCUAAAGUAGGAAGAGUACGUAGUUGAGGGGGAAGAAAUCUAUGUUUUCGAAGCUUCAAAUUGUUUUAGACAAUUUUUUUAUUAUUAUGUAAAAAUUGUACUAGAUAUUGUAAUGGAACUUGUACUAGAAAUCGAUGUUACAGAUCAAAUUCAAGGCUUAAUUAUUGUUUGAUGAGAUGAAGAAAAAAUAAAUCUUGUUAAGCCAAUGAGAAACAAGUCCACAUGGAGGAAAAUUUUGAUUAUGACGAUUUUGCACCCUCUAGGAACUUUCAAAAUAUUAACCUUUUCAUCAAAGAAGUGGCCGUUAGAUGACUAUGGAUUCAUUCUUGUGUCUACUACGUACUUUUAGGGCAACACCAACCAUGACGGGUGUCACCAAAACAUACGUCUUUAAAUGUCCGCGGACAUGUCUUCAAACAUCAAAAUAGGAGGCAGCUAUCCAACAAUAUUCACCAAGUAUACACCAUUUAAAUGGAGAGAAGGGAAUGAGAGGAAAAAAUGGGGUUAUGGUGGGAUUUGAUGCUGAGUAGGUAUGCUUGAACUCCCCUAGUUUGAGGAAGAUUUNNNNNNNNNNNNNNNNNNNNNNNNNNNNNNNNNNNNNNNNNNNNNNNNNNNNNNNNNNNNNNNNNNNNNNNNNNNNNNNNNNNNNNNNNNNNNNNNNNNNNNNNNNNNNNNNNNNNNNNNNNNNNNNNNNNNNNNNNUCAUGUUGGAGUUUUUUUUUAAAUUAGAAACUUUAUUGAUUAGGAAUAUAAGAAUAUGUACAAUUUCGUCCAUACGCUCCUCAAACCAAACCUUAGUCGCUGGAAAUUUAACCUACCAAGUUCAUGACCUAUCUUAUUCGUUUUCCCGUUACAAUGUUCAAACCAGUAAGAAGAAAAUCACAGGCGAAUAAAUAGCAAUCACAAAAAAAAAAAUGCCGCCGUCGCUCCGGUCGAACGUCCUUUAUUCUUCAUGGUAUUAUGUCUUCCAUAUUUUUAGAAUUAAUAACAGGGCGAUUGCAUCCUGCCUUUUGUGCAAGAAAUAAGCCGAGUCUCAUAGCCAAAGUUUCUAUCAUUAGGACGUCAACACACCAAUCAAUCUUUCAAUUUCUGCCAACAAUGAAUUUUUCUUUAUCAUCUCUGAAUACAACGUUAGCUGUGUCCCUAAGCACAUGAUCAAAAGAUGCAUUAACAUCGAGCUUUACAAAACUCAUAGGAGGUCUAAUCCAUCCUUCUCUUUUACUAGUUGCAUUGCGGGAGCAAGCAUUAACAACAUUUGCCGUUAUAGCAUGAAUCCCCAUAAAAAUGCGGAACGCAUCUUGAAACUUUUUUGUAUGAAUCAAUCUACGUCUAUCCCACCAUAAGUCCCAAGCGGUAAUAGCAAUCGAUUCACGAGCUUCCUGAGGCCCAAUAUAGAUAGACCCCGGUUUGGCGUAAGAAGUAAGAAUUCAAGGAUCGCCUCUCCCGCACGGUCAAUAACACAAGCUUUGUUAAUCCCUCGGUCCAUUCCCAACUUAUUGCAACCCCCCUUUGCUUUCCGAGAAAGAAACACCAUGUGUUUUGUAUCUUCUGGCCCAUUAAAACACGAGGGGCAAAUGGGCGAAAUUUCUAGAUGUCUAUUGGUAAGCGUAACACGCGACACGCAGAGUGCCAGUAUGCCAAACGGGUGACAUGACACGGAUUCACGCUGGAGUUGGCGUUGCUCGUAACAGAAAACACAAAACACAGAACAUGGGUAGCUGCAAACUACUCCCUCUGUAAACUAAUAUAAGAGCGUUUAGAUUACUAAAGUAGUGAUCUAAACGCUCUUAUAUUAGUUUACGGAGGGAGUAACUAACACGCCCCUUCAAAAAAAAAAAAAACUAACUAACACGCGUGGCCCACGUCUCAGAGAUGUACUUCCAGCUGGNNNNNNNNNNNNNNNNNNNNNNNNNNNNNNNNNNNNNNNNNNNNNNNNNNNNNNNNNNNNNNNNNNNNNNNNNNNNNNNNNNNNNNNNNNNNNNNNNNNNNNNNNNNNNNNNNNNNNNNNNNNNNNNNNNNNNNNNNNNNNNNNNNNNNNNNNNNNNNNNNNNNNNNNNNNNNNNNNNNNNNNNNNNNNNNNNNNNNNNNNNNNNNNNNNNNNNNNNNNNNNNNNNNNNNNNNNNNNNNNNNNNNNNNNNNNNNNNNUCCAGCUGGCCUCCUCCUCAAUCAUCCAUCCAUCCUCUCCCAAAUCCAGCGGAGCUUUGCUUCCUCUUCCUCUUCCUCUUCUCCCCUCAACCCAAACUCAAAUCCAAAUCCCCGAACCCACCGGCGAUGGCGCGCGGCGGCCGCUCCGAGAAGAGCGGCGGCGGGUGCGGGCGGUGCUGCCUGGGGUUCCUGCUCAAGCUCCUCGCCUUCCUGCAGGCCUUCGCCGCCCUCUCCGCCGUCCUCUACGCCGCCUCCAUCCUCUCCCGGUGGGCGCGCCACCAUGAGCUCCACAUCCACCACCUCCUCCCAGACCUAUGGUAUGUACUUCUAUCUCCUCUAUCUCCCUCCCGCCCUCCACUUCCCUUCCCGCCGGUAUGUAAUCCUGAUCCAACUUUUUGGCCCGCAGGUUCGCGUGCGCCGUCAUGGCCGCCGGCCUCCUCUACUGCGCCAUCCUCCUCGCGGGCUACGUCGCCGCCGAGGUCAGCAGCGGGUGCUGCCUCUGCUUCGUAAGAUCCACCACAACUCAUACUCAUCCAUCCAUUCAUUCCCCCUCGUGCUUGCUUGUGAAUAAGCAUAUUCAUAUUCAUUCCUAGUGAUUGGUGUAUCCGUACUAAUUAAUCAUUUGUUUCUGAUGAUAACAACUGAUUAUUCCAGUACACCGGCUUGGCAAUGGUGAUGAUGCUGCUCGAGGCCGCCGUGGCCGGACGCAUCCUCCUCAACGAGCACUGGAUCCAGGUGGGUUCAUUGGAUGCACAUUCAUUCCCCUGACAGCAAUAAGUUCAGUUCAGUUGAUAAAACCAGAGCACUGAUCGAUUCCUCUUCUUCUUGCAGGAUCUGCCGCAUGACCGCACCGGAGAGCUUGAGAACCUCGUCUCCUUUGUCAAUGCCAACCUCGACCUCUGCAAAUGGGCUGCUCUCGCUACCGUUGCCACUCAGGUGCGUCAGAUUGAUAUGAACAAGCAUUUUCAUCAGUUCAAACGGCACGCCAAGUAUACACAUGCCUUUAAGUUGCAUGCUCCAAUAAGGCUCUUCCACAGUAAUUUCCACUAGUAAUAACUAAUAAGAUAAACAAACCUACUCUGUUUUCCUUUCCACCUCGAGGAGGAUGAUCUGAUCUGUUUACAUGUACAGGCACUCUCGCUUUUCUUGGCGAUGGUUCUACGAGCCAUGGUUUCACCCACGAGUGGUGACUAUGACAGUGAUGAAGAUUUUGUGGUCAUAAGGAGGCCGCUGCUUAUUGCCCGAGGAGCUCCAUCCUAUCUCCCUACCACCGCCGACCCCAGGGGUGGUCAUCCGAACUUAUGGAGCUCAUCAAUGAGGCAGAAGGUGAGAAUUGCUUAUCCUCCAACGCUUGCUUGCACUGAUUUCAGAUGGGACUAUGCAACCUAAGCAAGAGUGCACUAUCGUUAACGACAAUAUGUUUGCUAUACUGUGCAACACUGUUCAUCCUAGCAAACUGAAGAAUGUUUUGAAUCGUUAAUCAAGCACAUAUUUUGCUACAUUGAAAAAAGCACAUAUUUUUUCCUUUUAGUUUCAAUUUGACAAGAUUAUUUUGCUGGAAACUUUUAUAUUUGCUCUUACUUUCAUGAGUCAUGGCCCUCAGCUGCUUGAUACCAUAAUUAUCUUGUACUCUACUACUAUAUGUGUAGUCCAGCGGAGGAUUUAGAACACAACCUGAUUGUAGCACACACCGUAGUUGAAGCAUUUCUAGAUGAGUACUAGUUCGUUUUGUUUACUCCUACAAGGCUAUAACCAAGCAAGCAAUCUGAAGAAAAAGGUGUUAAAGUUGUAUUGUUGUAUGCUGAUUAGUGAUUACACAUUAUCUGGGUUGGAUCAUAUGUUAGCUUUAGGGUCAAGUUAGUACUAUCCUUUAUACUUUUUCAAUACAUCAAAGACGCAAGCCUUUUGUGUCGUUGAGUUGUAAAGACUAAAGACAGACUAGUUGGCUGGAAACCGUUCGCAUACAUUUCUUUAGCAGAGAUGCAACAAUAAUGUGGAGCACGUUGAUUGCAAAAGUUACACGCCCCAAUAGUGAGUCCUGUAUUUCUACUUGAGAUUAUGUCUGCACAUCACUCUUCUCCCUAGCAAACUGAAAGAAUAUUUUGAACCAUUAAGGAAGCACAUAUUUUUCUAUUUGGCUUCAAUUCGUCAGGCUUAUUUUGCUGGAGACUUUUAUGUCUCAACAUUUGCUGUUACUCAUGAGUCAUGAUGCUCAUCUGCUUGAUAGCCUCUGUCAUAAGUUUUUUUUCUUCUUUUUUUCUACCGUAAUUGUUUUGUACUCUACUGCAUGAGUCUGACAAUCUAACCUUAUGCGAAAUCUUAUUAUCUUGCUUAUUAUUAUUAUUUUAUAGUAUGACUCGUUUCAUAUAUCAUGAAAGGCUAUGACGAUGUAACCUCAAGCCAAAUAGCAAAAAAAUCAUGGCGACUUUAUUAUAUGAACGAAUCGCGCCCUUCGUUCAACACUGAAAAUCUAUUCCCAUCCCACCAGCCCUGUGUUUCUUCUUGAUUACUACAUCAACUGAAAAGAGCAAUGUGAACUAAUAAUUUUUUUUCCUCCUUUGUGCCCUCUAGUAUGGACUGAACUCCUCGGGGGACUACACCUACAACACACUGGGUCAAAAUGCAGUGCCACCGCAGUGAGAAGCUUAUGUGCGACAGGUGAUGAAGGAAGAGCAUGCAUGGCUUUGUUGGAAGCACCUGUGCAGCAUAUUUGUAGUAUCUGGUUAUAUUCCAUGGUGUAAUGCGCACUAUAUAAUUUGUGCAUCCAGCCAAUCUCGAACUCAUUGUACAUAGUUCCAUCAUUAGUGAAGAUCAUGUAUGUGUGACCCUGGCUGGCUAGUUGGAAAGGACUUGUUGUCAACAUUUCGUUGGAUGUUUGUUAAGCUAGCUGGUGAUAGCAGUUUAUGAUGUGAAAAAAGAUCUUGUAAAGUAAUGUUACUAGCACAGUUUCACUUGUGUGGUGAGAUAGUAUUGAUAUGCCGCCAAGUAUUACAUGCUAUGUAUCUGUUCUUAAACCUCCUCUCUUGGGUGCAGCGGCACUUUGCAUAAAAAAUGAUCUUUCAGAAGUACUCCCUCCGUCUCAUAAUGUAAGACGUUUUUCGACGUUGAAAAAUGUCUUACAUUAUGAGACGGAGGGAGUACUAUGCUAAAUAACUUUGAGGUAAGGUUUUUUUGUUUUUGAAAUGGAGGCAAAAGAUUUGCCUCAUAUAUCAAUUAAGAAGAGGAUAUAAUUUUUGAUACAAGCCCCAAACUGCAUAGCACUCAUGCAUUGUCAUGCUGUAGCUCGCCAUUGUUCAAAUGUUCAUAUGAUGGAGCAACCCUGUAUUUUGUUUUUUGUUUUGAAAGGUCGUCCCUGCGUGCGCGCCCACGCUGCAGACCUCACCUACGUACGCCACGCACCCUCCCGCGCAGGGUCUCCUGUCGGUCGACGCUGUGGUUCCAACGCUUCCCCUCCAUGCUCCCACGUGCUCCUGCUCACUGAUUGAAUAGCAGCUCCUACCAGCUACCUAAAAGCCCCGCUCCAAACGGCCAAGCUAAGGAAGAUGAUGCCCACCCCACAUGCAUUUGCCCGCCCCGAUCUUGUGCUACAAACCUCUCUGUUUGUUUCGUCGUUUAGAUGCGUGCGCGUGCGUUCUAGGGCUAGUUCACUGAUCAGAGACAACGCGCACGUAUUCUGAAUUACAAGUUCAUGGCUGGAUUCAGAGGAAUAGCACUUUUUUUUUUCUCUUGUGUGCAUGCAGAUUGCAGAAACACACAAGAAAAAAGCCCUCUUCUUGUGCUCCUUUCCUUUGUACUCCCUCUGUAAACUAAUAUAAGAGCAUUUAGAUAACUACUUUAGUGAUCUAAACGCUCUUAUAUUAGUUUACAAAGGGAUUACUCUCUAAAUCGUUUAAUCAAGAUGAGUAGAUUCAGGACUCACGCACAAGACUAUUUGGAAGAAGAAAUUCAGGCACCAAAUCAAGGUGAGUGGAUUCAGGCCCGCACUCGGAGAAUAAUCAACGGCACGCACAUCGAUCAACACGGGUAUAAUUAACAACAAGAUAGACUUGCAACAAGAGAAUGACUUUAGCUUUACAGUCCGAUGGAAUUCAGCAGAAAUUGAGAUUAUUCUUCCACCCAACCCAACACGCAUCAGUCAGAAAAAUCCAGACACCAACCAAACGCCUACCACCACAGUAGCAGCCACUUGCCUGCCUUGAGCGCCGCCGAUCGAGGUCGAGGCUCCCACCACCGCACCACCACCAUGAUGCCACGUCAGUAGCACGGGACGACGACGCAGCGCCUGCGCCGGGGCUGCGGCGAGCAGACGACGAACAGCAGCAUGAUGACGAAGGCGGCCAUCACCAGCGGCAGCAGGUUGAACCCCGCCUCCUCCUCCUCCUGGCUGCAGCACAUCUUCCCCAUGGCCGAUCGCCCGCUCGCUUUUCUCACAGACAGAGCAGUUUCUUGGCUUGGAGGAACAAGGAGACUGGGCGAGGAACAAGGGAAGAAGUCCUUCUUUCGUGGUGCAGUGGGAUUUCUGCUGUAUCUAUCUGUCUUAAAGACCACUCCCCUCUCUCUUCCUCCCCCUCUCCGCGUCCGGUGGGUCUCUGAAUGAAACUUCUACACUAUUUCCCUAUGGCACUUGUGAAGUUGGCUCGCUUGCGUGGUUUGUGGCAUCAUGCAUGUGGCGGUGGUUGCGGCGUCGCCGUCGAGCUCUUCUAUUCCGCUUCCAUGAUGGGAUUUCUUUUCGCUUGUUGGGACCGUCUGGUUGGGGACGCGACAAUAGAGUCGAGUCCACCAAUCCAUCAAUCAAUCACCUACGCACCCACCGCGAGGACAGACCCAGAGCUAGCCCACUACCAACAGAUCGAUCAGGACGCUUGGGUGGGCCUGCUACGGGCAGCAGGUAGCUUCUAAAUACAUCCAUUUUCGAGACAAGUAAUUCCGAACGGAGGGUACAUCCAUUUCCAAGGCAAGUAAUUCCGAACGGAGGGAGUACGUAGGAGUGCAGCAUGCUUUAGUUUAGUUAGUUAAUUACCAACUGACACUGCAGGUCUGGUCAAUGCGUCUUCUCCUCUGUGUUGGUACUGUUGUUGAUAGUACAAUCGUACGUACUGUCAUUAUCGUCAGGCGAUUAGUCUAAACCUCGGUUGAUUUGGACGCCGGUGAAAAGCAUGGCUGGAAGCAGCCGCCGGCUCUACUGAAAAUUCCGUGAUGGUGAAAGACCCGACUUUGUGUUUUUGCUGCUCUGUUUAAUGCGUGUUGUUCAGCAAAUCAGCAUGAUUGUAUGCAGUAUAUAGAUAUCAUUGACAUUUGCACUGAAAGCAUGGUAUGUAUGCAUGAUUAAUUGAGCACGCAAGUGGCGAUUACUCUACGCCAAUUUGGGCACCGAUACGCGCAUGGAUAGUAUACUUUUAUACCAAGAACACCUUUGCUGUCAGGGUACGACCUUGAUCGGGUGCUUGCCGCGACUAGGUCAGGGCCUCCCACCUUACUAGUAAAUCUUAAUGUAAACAUAUACCAUCGCAAAUUCCCAAUGAUUGAGACGGCAAUGCUACUACUCCUGAUGCAUCAUUGUAUUGCCAUGCAUUUAUUCGUUUUGAGAAAAGGAGAAGCUGACGUGCACCGCAAAGGUACACGCCGGCCUAAAUUAUAGAUGUUUGCCACUCUUUUCUAUGUAAGUGUGGGCCAUUCGACAUUUCUAGGUCGGUUAUAUUUAAGGAAUUUUACCCUUUCUUUUGUACUCGUUUGUAUUUUUGACAGGAAUUACACCAUUUAAGGAAUAUUAAUCCAUUUUACCCCAUUUAGUGAGACGUGUGCCGCAUUUUACCCUUUUAUUGUUUUAAGUAUGUUCUAUCAAGCUGGUCUAAUUUCUAUCAAAAAAGUCAAAUGAGGGUGGUAGAGACUAGGAUUUGAUUUUUUGGGGUUUAUUUUUAUGUGAUAGCGGGUGGUAUAGGCUUGGAGCAAAUAUAUACUUAUAAUUCAUACUUUGCAUUUUGUUUAAAAGAUGGUGUCACGUUAAGUUCAGUUCAAUAGUUUUUCUCUUUUUAUUCAUCAUUCCGUCACAUACUUUCUAGAUUUUAUUGUUUUAAAAUACAAAUUUAGAACACUCUUAAAUUUGUUUUUCUAAUAGUUUUAGUUUUUUAAGUACCUAUUUAUGCAUUUGUUUCAACAUGGUUCCCUAGGCAGCGCACAUGACAUGAUCUAGUUUCAUCAAGAAUCAUCCCCCCAAGUUACCGGAACGUUUAUGCCUUUUAAUUUGUACCAGAAAAAAACCCUCCCAAUUUACCGGAACAUUUCUGCGUUUUAGUUGUACAAUUUUUUCUCUCAAAUACCAUAAGCAAUUGUAGGUUAAUUGAUAGUGAAUUCCACUUUACCUUCUAGAUUAGGUUGGUGACCCUUUUUACCCAUUUAGCAAAUUAAUUCCGCUUUUCCCUUUUAAAAGGUUUGUAUCGUUCUGUCGGGUGGGGGCCAACUGCCAUUGUCCCAUGGAGUUGCGAGUCAAAUGCCGCAUCGGUGUCACAUUCCUCCGAGCGGCAUCCGACGCAGUAGAUGGGACGCAGUUGGGCGACCUGGCUAGGCCAAACCACACCCGAGUUGCCCUAUCUCAAAUAAGUGACCUAGGGUUUUGGAGGCGAAAGUAGCAUGGCCUUGGAGGAAGCGGCAAUGAUAUCGGUUGAUGAUGAAGCAACCUUAAACUACAGGACGUCGCAGCCUUACAGGACAUGUGAUAGUGGGAAAUAGAUGAAUUUAUUUUAGUAUUUUCUCCGUUCCAUAAUAUAAAAGCGUUUUUGACACUACUUAUAUUAUAUAUUUGAGACGAAGGGAGUACGGACGUGUUUGGUUCUUGUCCACGUCAUUUUAUGCCUGGCCUGGAUGGUCCCUGGGAUGUGCCUGGGACUUGUUUGUUUUGCGUCCUCAAAAAGUAGAUGGCUGCCUGGCCUGGCCCUCCGCCAAGUGUGUGAUUAGCCUGGCCCAGGUAGGAUUAGCCCAGGCGCCGUGAUUAGCCAGAGCCAGGCGUCCUGUCCCUUGCGCCUGGCAUGCAGCAACAGCAGCCUGGGAGUAUUUUAAUACUUUCUCUGUUCAUUUUUAUAAGACUUUGAAGACAUUUCAGACAAUGUGCAAAACAGCCUAUUUUGAGUUGUCUGAAACGACUUACAAAAGUGAACGGAGGGAGUAUCAAGAACUGUACGGUCUGCUAUUUAAAAACAAUAUUAACAACCCACCAGGCAGCGGCAUGUAAGGACAGGAACCAAACACCCACACUACAGGCAGGCCUCGUCAGGAAAAAAGUUGCAUCUUUCCAGGCACUAACCAGGCAGCUCAUUCUCCCAGGCAAGCUCUCGAGGCCUCGAACCAAACUGACCCUACAUGCGUGCGUGUUCUUAGACCAUCGAUCACCCACACGCUGCGCCCUCUGCCUGCCCAACUGUUUGCCUCUGCUCUGAGACUCGCUCAACAUGGAGAAACAAGAAAAAAGGUGAUGGCUUGGGUCGAGUCACGUGACCUGGUGGUGCUGAACCAUGUUGCUCCACGUUGUGUGCCGCGUGGGAGACACUUCACAUGAAUGUGCCUCCGAACCCGAGGCUGACCCAGAUCGCUAUUUGGGAUUGGCAACAGGACCUGCCUAACAGGCGAGUUUUCCGGUUCCACUUGCAAUGGAGUCAAGAUCUUGGGAUCCCACUCCCACCCCCACGGGUGGAGUUUUUCUUCUAGUACUACAUUGCUUGCUUGCAUGAGUGACAGAGGCUCUCUAGCUAGAUGCGGGCUGGCCGUAACAUUGUCCCGAGGUGAAUGUUUUACGGCCAUUGAUCAGAGAAUUACUGAUCAAUGGAAAGUUAGAGAAUUACUGACAUUAGAUUACAAGUCUGGUCAAUGCGUCUUCUUCUGCUUUUUUGGGUAGCUGGUAGCUCCAAUACAGUGGUACCUACUGUCAUUGUCACCUGGCAAUUGAUUUGAACCUCGGUUGAUUUAGACACUGGUGAAAAGCAUGACUGCUGGUACUGCUAGAAAUGCCAUGCCGGACUGUUUUACUGCUCUGUUUCAGUACACAUAGUACAACAUACAUGAUUCUGGGUAUGGAUGUGAUCGACUUUUGCACCGAAAACAGGGUAUAUGCAUGAUUGACUCGGCAAGUAGCGAUUACUCUACGUCAAAUUGGGUGAUGCUACGCGCAUAACUAGCACUUCCGUCGAGAGCCACUUGCUGUCUUUGUACGACCUUGAUCGGGUCAUCCUUCACCGCGAUUAGGUCAGGUCAGGUCUCACUCCUACCAGACCUGACCUGACCUUCAGUCCUGAUGUAAACAAAGAGCACUGGGAAGAUGGCAACGCAACUCCCGGUGCAUCAUCCCCGCAAACAAAACUCCCGGUGCAUCAUCUAUUUGCCAUGCAUAGUCGUUUUGAUUAUAUCACAACCUGACGUGCACCACAAAAGGUACACGCCUGCUUGGAUCCGGAAUUUGCCUAUCUCCUUUGUGUGUGUGUGUGUGUGUGUGUGUGUGUGUGUGGCCUUCAACUUUUUCAGCGGCAAAUUGAUAGUGAGUUUCACUUCUACUCUCUAACAAUAUUGAGUUCGUGACACCUUUUACCCCCAUCUAUACCUGCCAUAUGUUGGGCCAGGCCGGGCCUAACAAAGCCCGUACCAGAAAACUUAGGCUUGUGCCUGGCCUAGCCCGGUCGUCAGGCCUAGAUCUCAGGCCCAAGCCCGCCCCAUCAGUGGAAAAGCCAUCUAGGCCUCAGCCCUCCCCUUCCCUAAAUCGCAAAUAUGACAAGCCCAAGCCCGACCUGGCUUGUCCAUCGGGCCUAGAUCUUAGGCCCAGGCCUGGCCCAUGGGCAAGCCUGGGCCGGGUCGAGCUUUUUUGGGCCGGACGGGCCGGGUUUCCCAUGUCCAGGUAUACCCUCAUCAAGCACGUAUUUUCAGAUAGACCCUAUUUAAGCAAAUUUGUCCAUUGUUUACCCCUUUUGAUGUUUUGCUUUGUUCUUUUCGUCGGGGCCAAUCACUCAGUCUCAGUCUCACGUGGAGAGGUGACUUAGAUGCUACAUCGGUGGCAUGCUCAUCCGAGAUGCGUAUGACAUAGUAGAUGGGAUGCAGGGUGACUAGGUUAAGCUCGACUAGCGCGCUCGACUCAAGUGCAGUUCGACUAGCUUAGUUAGGGAUUUGGAAGCAUAAAGCUCGGGCUGCGGUGACUUGUCCUCAAAGGAACUGGUAAAGGGUAGCGGUAGAUACUGAAGCAACCCUAAACUACAUGCCAACAUAAGACCCUUGCUAGGCUCCUUCUCCUCACCCCGCAAUUCACCUCUGCUCCUGAACUACCACAUGGCGAAACAAGGAUGGUCAUCAUUGACUUGGGUGAGUCGUGUGGCCUGUUCGGCCAUAACCUUGUUGUCCUACACCGUGUUUUGUGUUAGAGACGCCUCGAAUCAAUGCGCCUCCAAACUAUUGGUUGAUCAGCUCACCAAUUAGGACAAUCAAUGUGGUCCACCCUGUUAGGGCAUAAUUUUCCCUGGUUUGUUUUGGUGAUUGAUGACAAUACUUUUGCAGACUAAUCGUGUGCAUUAAGCUUUCCAGGUUAUCUAAUAUAAGGGCACUAUGCGAUUGUUUCCCCUCGAGGACUUCACUUUAGACGGAUUAUUUUCCCUCAUUUCUUUUUGGUGGAAUUGAGUCGUAGGGAUAACCAUACUAUCAAGAGGGGAUCCGUUUCGGAAGAGUAUGGGUGGAAUCAUCACGUACACACUCUCCUUGCACCCUCGCCUUCUUCCUGCUUCUUUGGAGUAUCUGUGCUGUGCAAAACAAGGGGUGCUGAGUGCUAAGCGGUAGUACCACGGUCAGGGCGGUAGUACCGCCUAGCGGCGGUAGUACCGCUUGUUAGUGCCGCUGGCACUAUCGCCCCUGCCGUGGUCUCGAUUUUUCAUGUCAGGUUUCCGUAAAGGACCACUCAGGGGAGCGGUAGUAGGGAAAACAGUAGGGUGCGAUAGUGCCGCUUAUAUUAGCGGUAGUACCGCUCCUACGUCCGCUCCAACUGCCGCUCAGCUCGCUGCCCUCCUCUAUUUUCCAGCGGCUGUAGGGAGCGGCAGUACCGCUUAUCGGCAGUAGUACCGCCCACAGGGAGGUAGUACCGGCCUAGUGCGUGUAUUUCUCCUCGCUCAGCCCUGGUUUCCCUAUGCCUUCUUGCCAUAGCGGUAGUACCGUUGUGGCAACGGUAGUACCGCUCCGAUAACGGUAGUACCGCCCAGAUGCGGGCUGCGGGCUGCAUAACGGUUGGAUGUGUCCGCCCUCUAUAUAUAGGGGUCUUCUUCUCCAAGAAGACUUACCCCUUCUUCCCCAAAACUCCAUUGUUGCUCCACAAGCUUAUUUUCGCCCGAUCUCUCUCCAUAGAUAAUCAAACUUGUUGAUUUUCUAGGGAUUGGUUGAGAAGGCCCAGAUCUACACUUCCACCAAGAUAAAUUUGAUCCCCCCACUAAUCCCUUGCGGAUCUUGUUAUUCUUGGGUGUUUGAGCACCCUAGAUGGUUGAGGUCACCUUGGAGCCAUAUUCCAUUAUGGUGAAGCUCCAUGGUUUCGUUGGGAGCCUCCAAUUAAGUUGUGGAGAGAGCCCCAACCUUGUUUGUAAAGGUCCGGUUGCCGCCUUCAAGGGCACCAAUAGUGGAAUCACGACAUCUCGCAUUGUGUGAGGGCGUGAGGAGAAUACGGUGGCCCUAGUGGCUUCUUGGGGAGCAUUGUGCCUCCACACCGCUCCAACGGAGACGUACUUACCCUCAAAAGGAAGGAACUUCGGUAACACAUCCUCGUCUUCACCGGCUCCACUCUUGGUUAUCUCGUGCCUUUACUUGUGCAAGCUUAUUUGUAUUAUAUCCCUUGCUUGCUUGUGUGCUUGUUGUUGUUGCAUCAUAUAGGUUGCUCACCUAGUUGCAUAUCUAGACAACCUACUUUGAUGCAAAUUUUAAAUUGGUAAAGAAAAGCUAAAAUUGUUAGUUGCCUAUUCACCCCCCUCUAGUCAACUAUAUCGAUCCUUUCAAUUGCUAUCAGAGCCUCAUCUCUUUAUUAAGGACUUCACCGUCCGAAGAGUAUGAUUGACAGCGUAGACGGUGAGGAGGAGCACUCCAGUGCGAAUCUGUUCUCGUCUAUGGCCGAUGGGGGAACCGCGGUCUCUCAUGAGGAAUUCAAUGUGGCUUUGGACUUGUUGAAAACCUCCAUGAUGACCGAGGUUGAAAGCAUGUUUAAUAAAUUCUUAGAAGGGCUUAAACUAUCUACCGCACCAAUGUAAGUGGGUGAUCCCACUAACAAGGUGACAGAUGCUAACUCCGACAAGGGGGAAGCUACUAGUGAAAAGGCUCCUUCUUCUAGUGGUAAAAUUGGCAACAACAUCUUUGCCCAUGUGGAGCCUCCACUUACUUAUGGUGGACCGAUUCCUUCCACUCAUUUGAAUCAUGCCGGUCCUCCCCCUAAGGUUGUGAAAAAUGAGGCCUUUGAUUCUUGGGUUUAUUGCUUUAAGCGUCAUUUGAACCAUAUUAAUACUAACCAUUGGAGAAUCAUUGAAGAAGGUUUUUAUCCGCAUGACCGAAGCAACUUCACCCCUAGAGAAGCUGCGGAUAACCAAUUCAGCGAGAAUGCUCUCUUCAUCAUCCAAGAUGCUAUCCCUCCGGAAGAUAUUGCGCAUCUCCGACCAUUCACCGUGGCAAAGGAAGCAUGGCACCAUGUUGUUUCCCUUUACAAGGGAAGUGCAAGCAUUUGACGCUCCAACUAUGAAGUGGUGCAAGAUGAAGCCGAUGAAUUUGCUAUGAAUGAAGGUGAAGAACCUCAUGAGCUCUAUCGGAGACUAACCACACUCGCGGUCUCACUCCGCGAUCAUGGGAGCAAGGAUACAAAUGACAAUUGGAUCAAGCGGAAAUUUCUCAAAGCCAUGACGCCUUACCAUAAGGCCGGAAUUCCACACCUUGUCCUCAAGCGAAGUGUUGGAUGAGUUUGUGGCAAUGAGUAUCUUGGACAAGACCGCCGACAAUGCGGUAUUGCAUUCUCAAAGAGCCAAGAAGCCCAAUCUUGCUUUGAAGGCCAAGGCUAGUGUGGAAGAAGAGGAGGAAGAGGAAGAAGAGGAGAGCAACCCCGAAGAUACAAAAUAUGAUUAUCAUGAGCACAUGGCUCUCUCUUCAAGACAAUUUUGGAGCAAGAAGAACUCAAGGCCCAACUUCAACAAGAGCAACUCAAGUGGCGUCAAGAGCAAGCAACGGGUGAGGACUUGCUACAAUUGCCGCAAUCUGAGCCACUUUGUUGCGGAAUGCCCCGAUGAGAAGAGGGAAGACAAUGGUGGCAAGCUCAUCCGGAAGGACAAGGCCAAGUCUUUCCCCAACAAGAACCACUUCACUAAGAAGACUCCUCCCAAGGGAUUGGUGGCACAAGAAGAGUACAAUGAGGAUGAUGAUGAAGAUGGUGAGACGGUUGCCAUGGCCUCCAUGGCCAUCGCGACAACACCCCGGGCGUCCCUCUUCAUCACCCAAUGAGAACAUAACCGCCAAAUGCCUCAUGGCUAAAGCCACCAACAAGGUAAACCCCAACAUCAAAACUACCAUCAUAACUCAUCCUUNNNNNNNNNNNNNNNNNNNNNNNNNNNNNNNNNNNNNNNNNNNNNNNNNNNNNNNNNNNNNNNNNNNNNNNNNNNNNNNNNNNNNNNNNNNNNNNNNNNNNNNNNNNNNNNNNNNNNNNNNNNNNNNNNNNNNNNNNNNNNNNNNNNNNNNNNNNNNNNNNNNNNNNNNNNNNNNNNNNNNNNNNNNNNNNNNNNNNNNNNNNNNNNNNNNNNNNNNNNNNNNNNNNAUUUGAGUCUUUUAUGAGUAAGCUUAAGGGUAAAUCCAAGAAGCACUUCGUUGCUCUCUUGGAACAACUUGGUGAAGCCAAUGACAUGAUCGAGGCUCAUGAAGACACCAUCUCUAAGAUGGAGGGGCAUAGUCGUGACUACGCCGAUGAGAUAUCAGAUCUCUCUAAUGCUCUCGAGGAAGAGCGUGGUCAUCGCUUGGCUCUUGAGGAGUCACACAACAAUGACCAUGCUAAACUAAAGAAAGUUCUUGAUCAUGCUCUUGUUGUGUCUCGUGUGCUAAAUUCCGAGAAGGCCAAACUUGGUGUUGAUCUUGCUAGACUCAAGGAGGAGUUUUAUUUCCUUGACAAGGCUCACAAGGCCUUGAAGAGUACUCACGCUAAUCUUAAAGAGUCUCAUGAUCAACUCCAAGUGAUGCUAACCAAGGAGAAAGCCACUUUUCCUCAUAUGGUUUUAACUGAUAAUGCAAAUGCUACUAACCCUUGACGAGGAGUCUCGAAAUGGUUGAGACGUAAAGAUCGAUUUACUAGACGACUAUAUUCAGACAUCGGAAAGGUUCCGAGUGAUUCGAGUAUUUUUCGGAGUACGGGGGAGUUACGGGAAUACGGGGAAGAAGUAUUGGGCCUCAUGGGCCAAGUGAUGGAAGAGAGGAGGCAGGGCGCACAACCACCCUAGCCCAAACCGAAUAGGACUAGGGGGGCGGACCCCUUUCCUCCCUCUCCUUCCUUCUCCCCUUCCCCCUUCCUUUCCUCCUAGUAGGAGUAGGAAAGGGUAGUCCUACUCCUACUAGGAGGAGGACUCCUCCUCCUAGAGAGCCCUAGGAGGGCCAGCCAACCUCCCCCUUGCUCCUUUAUAUACGGGGGCAGGGGGCACGCUAGAACACACAAGUUGAUCAUUGAUCCCUUAGCCGUGUGCGGUGCCCCCCUCCACCAUAAUCCACCUCGAUCAUAUCAUAGCGGUGCUUAGGCGAAGCCCUGCGUCGGUAGCAACAUCAUCACUGUCAUCAUGCCAUCGUGUAGACGGAACUCUCCCAUGAAGCUCUGCUGGAUUGGAGUUCAUGGGACGUCAUCGAGCUCAACGUGUGCUGAACUUGGAGGUGCCGUUCGUUCGGUACUUGGAUCGGUCGGAUCAUGAAGACGUUCGACUACACCAACCGUGUUCUCAUAAUGCUUCCGCUUACGGUCUAUGUGUUGGGGAAUGUUGCAGAAAACAAAAAUUUUCUACGGUUUCACCAAGAUCCAUCUAGGAGUUCAUCUAGCAACGAGUGAUUAGAUGCAUCUACGUACCUUGUAGAAGCGUUCAAAGAACGGCGAUGAGGGAGUCGUACUCGACGUGAUUCGAAUCACCAAAGAUCCUAGCACCGAACGGACGGCACCUCCGCGUUCAACACACGUACGGAACAACCAUGUCUCCUCCUUCUUGAUCCAGCAAGGGGGAAGGAGAGGUUGAGGGAUAUGGCUCCAGCAGCAGCAUGACGGCGUGGUGGUGAUGGAGCUGCAGUACUUCGGCAGGGCUUCGCCAAGCACUAUGGAGGAGGAGGAUGUGUUGGAGAGGGAGAGGGAGGCACCAAAGAUCAAGGUCAGAAGUCCUCCAUCUCCCCCACUAUAUAUAGGAGGGCCAAGGGGGGGGGCACCGGCCCUAGGAGAUCUAAUCUCCUAGGGGGGUGCGGCCAAGGGGAGGAAUCCCUCCUCCUCAAGGCACCGGCCCUAGGAGGUGCCUUCCCCUCCUAGGACUCUUCCUCCUUGAAACCCUAGGCGCAUGGGCCUCUUGGGGCUGGUGCCCUUGGACCAUGUAGGCCAAGGCGCACCCCCUACAGCCCAUGUGGCUCCCCGGGACAGGUGGCCCCACCCGGUGGACCCCCGGGACCCUUCCGGUGGUCCCAGUACAAUACCGGUGACCCCGAAACUUGUCCCGAUGCCCGAAAUAGUACUUCCUAUAUAUAAUUCUUUACCUCCGGACCAUUUCGGAACUCCUCGUGACGUCCGGGAUCUCAUCCGAGACUCCGAACAACAUUCAGGUUACUGCAUAUACAUAUCCCUACAACCCUAGCGUCACCGAACCUUAAGUGUGUAGACCCUACGGGUUCGGGAGACAUGUAGACAUGACCGAGAUCGCUCUCCGGCCAAUAACCAACAGCGGGAUCUGUAUACCCAUGUUGGCUCCCACAUGCUCCUCGAUGAUCUCAUCGGAUGAACCACGAUGUCGAGGAUUCAAGCAACCCCAUAUACAAUUCCCUUUGUCGAUCGAUAUGUUACUUGCCCGAGAUUCGAUCAUCGGUAUCCCAAGACCUCGUUCAAUCUUGUUACCGGCAAGUCACUUUACUUGUACCGUAAUGCAUGAUCCCGUGACCAGACACUUGGUCACUUUGAGCUCAUUAUGAUGAUGCAUUACCGAGUGGGCCCAGUGAUACCUCUCCGUCAUAGGGAGUGAUAAAUCCCAGUCUUGAUCCGUGUCAACCCAACAGACACUUUCGGAGAUACCCGUAGUAUACCUUUAUAGUCACCCAGUUACGUUGUGACGUUUGGUACACCCAAAGCACUCCUACGGUAUCCGGGAGUUACACGAUCUCAUGGUCUAAGGAAAAGAUACUUGACAUUGGAAAACUCUAGCAAACGAACUAUACGACCUUGUGCUAUGUUUAGGAUUGGGUCUUGUCCAUCACAUCAUUCUCCUAAUGAUGUGAUCUCGGUUUCAAUGACAUCCAAUGUCCAUAGUCAGGAAACCAUGACUAUCUGUUGAUCAACAAGCUAAUCAACUAGAGGCUUACUAGGGACAUGUUGGUGUCUAUUAUUCACACAUGUAUUACGAUUUCCGGAUAACACAAUUAUAGCAUGAAUAAAGACAAUUAUCAUGAACAAGGAGAUAUAAUAAUAAUGCUUUUAUUAUUGCCUCUAGGGCAUAUUUCCAACAGUCUCCCACUUGCACUAGAGUCAAUAAUCUAGUUACAUUGUGAUGAAUCGAACACCCAUGGAAUUCUGGUGUUGAUCAUGUUUUGCUCUAGGGAGAGAUUUAGUCAACGGAUCUGCUACAUUCAGGUCCGUGUGUACUUUACAAAUAUCUAUGUCUCCAUCUUGAACAUUUUCACGAAUGGAGUUGAAGUGACACUUGAUGUGCCUUGUCUUCUUGUGAAACCUGGGCUCCUUGGCAAGUGCAAUAGCUCCAGUGUUGUCACAGAAGAGCUUGAUCGGCCCCGACGCAUUGGGUAUGACUCCUAGGUCGGUGAUGAACUCCUUCACCCAAAUUGCUUCAUGUGCUGCCUCCGAGGCUGCCAUGUACUCCGCUUCACAUGUAGAUCCCGCCACGACGCUCUGCUUGCAACUGCACCAGCUUACUGCCCCACCAUUCAAAAUAUACACGUAUCCGGUUUGUGACUUAGAGUCAUCCAGAUCUGUGUCGAAGCUAGCGUUGACGUAACCAUUUACGACGAGCUCUUCGUCACCUCCAUAAACGAGAAACAUUUCCUUAGUCCUUUUCAGGUACUUCAGGAUAUUCUUGACCGCUGUCCAGUGUUCCUUGCCGGGAUUACUUUGUUACCUUCCUACCAAACUUACGACAAGGUUUACAUCAGGUCUGGUACACAGCAUGGCAUACAUAAUAGAACCUAUGGCUGAGGCAUAGGGGAUGACACUCAUCUCUUCUAUAUCUUCUGCCGUGGUCGGACAUUGAGCUGAGCUCAAUUUCACACCUUGUAACACAGGCAAGAACCCCUUCUUAGACUGAUCCAUGUUGAAUUUCUUCAAUAUCUUAUCAAGGUAUGUGCUUUGUGAAAGACCUAUGAGGCGUUUGAUCUAUCUCUGUAGAUCUUGAUGCCUAAUAUAUAAGCAACUUCUCCAAGGUCCUUCAUUGAAAAACUCUUAUUCAAGUAGGCCUUAAUGCUGUCCAAGAGUUCUAUAUCAUUUCCCAUCAAAAGUAUGUCAUCUACAUAUAAUAUGAGAAAUGCUACAGAGCUCCCACUCACUUUCUUGUAAACGCAGGCUUCUCCAUAAGUCUGCGUAAACCCAAAUGCUUUGAUCAUCUCAUCAAAGCGAAUGUUCCAACUCCGAGAUGCUUGCACCAGCCCAUAAAUCGAGCGUUGGAGCUUGCAUACCUUGUCAGCAUUCUUAGGAUCGACAAAACCUUCCGGCUGCAUCAUAUACAAUUCUUCCUUAAGGAAACCAUUAAGGAAUGCCGUUUUGACGUCCAUUUGCCAUAUCUCAUAAUCGUAGAAUGUGGCAAUUGCUAACAUGAUUCGGACGGACUUCAGCUUCGCUACCGGCGAGAAAGUCUCAUCGUAGUCAACCCCUUGAACUUGUCGAUAACCCUUAGCGACAAGCCGAGCUUUAUAGAUGGUCACAUUACCAUCCACGUCUGUCUUCUUCUUAAAGAUCCAUUUAUUUUCUAUGGCUCGCCGCUCAACGGGCAAGUCAGUCAAAGUCCAUACUUCGUUUUCAUACAUGGAUCCUAUCUUAGAUUUCAUGGCUUCUAGCCAUUUGUCGGAAUCCGGGCCCGCCAUCGCUUCUUCAUAGUUCGAAGGUUCACCGUUGUCUAACAACAUGAUUUCCAAGACAGGGUUGCCAUACCAAUCUGGUGCGGAACGUGUCCUUGUGGACCUUCGAAUGUCAGUAGGAGCUUGAUCAGAAGUAUCCCGAUCAUCAUCAUUAACUUCCUCUCUAGUCGGUGCAGGCACCUCAGGAACAUUUUCUUGAGUUGCGCCAUUUUCCGGUUCAAGAGGUAAUACUUCAUCAAGGUCUACUUUCCUCCCACUUACUUCUUUCGAGAGAAACUCCUUCUCUAGAAAGGAUCCAUUCUUGGAAACAAAGAUCUUGCCUUCGGAUCUGAGGUAGAAGGUAUACCCAAUAGUUUCUUUAGGGUAUCCUAUGAAUACGCAUUUUUCCGACUUGGGUUCGAGCUUUUCAGGUUGAAGUUUCUUGACAUAAGCAUCGCAUCCCCAAACUUUUAGAAACGACAGCUUAGGUUUCUUCCCAAACCAUAAUUCAUACGGUGUCGUCUCAACGGAUUUCGACGGAGCCCUAUUUAAAGUGAAUGCGGCAGUCUCUAAAGCAUACCCCCAAAAAGAUAGCGGUAAAUCAGCAAGAGACAUCAUAGAUCGCACCAUAUCUAAUAGAGUGCGAUUAUGACGUUUGGACACACCAUUACACUGAGGUGUUUGAGGCGGCGUGAUUGUGAAACUAUUCCACAUUUUCUUAAGUGUGUGCCAAACUCGUGACUCAAGUAUUCUCCUCCACGAUCUGAUCGCAGGAACUUGAUUUUCCUGUCACGUUGAUUCUCAACCUCACUUUGAAAUUCCUUGAACUUUUCAAAGGUCUCAGACUUGUGUUUCAUUAAAUAGACAUACCCAUAUCUACUCAGGUCAUCAGUGAGGGUGAGAACAUAACGAUAGCCACUGCGAGCCUCAACACUCAUUGGACCGCACACAUCAGUAUGUAUGAUUUCCAAUAAGUUGGUUGCUCGCUCCAUUGUUCCUGAGAACGGAGUCUUGGUCAUUUUACCCACGAGGCAUGGUUCACACGUGUCAAAUGAUUCGUAAUCAAGAGACUCUAAAAGUCCAUCAGCAUGGAGCUUCUUCAUGCGUUUGACACCUAUGUGACCAAGGUGGCAGUGCCACAAGUAUGUGGGACUAUCAUUAUCAAUCUUACAUCUUUUGGUACUCACACUAUGAACAUGUGUAGCAUUACGCUCGAGAUUCAUUAGAAAUAAACCAUUCACCAUCGGAGCAUGACCAUAAAACAUAUCUCUCAUAUAAAUAGAACAACCAUUAUUCUCGGAUUUAAAUGAGUAGCCAUCUCGAAUUAAAUGAGAUCCUGAUACAAUGUUCAUGCUCAAAGCUGGCACGAAAUAACAAUUAUUAAGGUUUAAAACUAAUCCCGAAGGUAAAUGUAGAGGUAGCGUGCCGACGGCGAUCACAUUGACCUUGGAACCAUUCCCGACGCGCAUCGUCACCUCGUCCUUUGCCAGUCUCCGUUUAUUCCGCAUCUCCUAUUUUGAGUUACAAAUGUGAGCAACCGCACCGGUAUCAAAUACCCAGGGGCUACUACGAGUACUGGUAAGGUACACAUCAAUUACAUGUAUAUCACAUAUACCUUUCAUUUUGCCGGCCUUCUUGUCCGCUAAGUAUUUGGGGCAGUUCCGCUUCCAGUGACCACUUUCCUUGCAAUAAAAGCACUCAGUCUCGGGCUUGGGUCCAUUCUUUGGCUUCUUCCCGGCAGCUUGCUUGCCGGGCGCGGCAACUCCCUUGCCGUCCUUCUUGAAGGUUUUCUUACCCUUGCCUUUCUUGAACUUAGUGGUUUUAUUCACCAUCAACACUUGAUGUUCCUUUUUGACUUCUACCUCUGCUGAUUUCAGCAUUGCAAAUACUUCGGGAAUGGUCUUUUCCAUCCCCUGCAUAUUGAAGUUCAUCACAAAGCUCUUGUAGCUUGGUGGGAGCGACUGAAGGAUUCUGUCAAUGACCGCGUCAUCCGGGAGAUUAACUCCCAACUGAGUCAAGCGGUUAUGCAACCCAGACAUAGUGAGUAUGUGCUCACUGACAGAACUGUUUUCCUCCAUCUUACAGCUGAAGAACUUGUCGGAGAGUUGAUAUCUCUCUACCCGGGCAUGAGCUUGGAAAACCAUUUUCAGCUCCUCGAACAUCUCAUAUGCUCCGUGUCUCUCAAAACGCUUUUGGAGUCCCAGCUCUAAGCUGUAAAGCAUGCCGCACUGAACGAGGGAGUAGUCAUCGGUACGUGCCUGCCAAGCGUUCAUAACGUCUUGUUCUGCAGGGAGAACAGGUGCGUCACCUAGCGGUGCUUGUAGGACAUAAUCUUUCUUGGCAGCUAUGAGGAUGAUCCUCAGGUUCCGGACCCAGUCCGUGUAGUUGCUGCCAUCGUCUUUCAGCUUGGUUUUCUCUAGGAACGCGUUGAAGUUGAGGACUACGUUGGCCAUUUGAUCUAGAAGACAUAUUGUAAAAUAUUUAGACUUAGUUCAUGAUAAUUAAGUUCAUCUAAUCAAAUUAUUCAAUGAACUCCCACUUAGAUAGACAUCCCUCUUCUAGUCAUCUAAGUAUAACAUGAUCCGAGUUAACUAGGCCGUGUCUGAUCAUCACGUGAGACGGACUAGUCAACAUCGGUGAACAUCUUCAUGUUGAUCGUAUCUUCUAUACGACUCAUGCUCGACCUUUCAGUCUUCUGUGUUCCGAGGCCAUGUCUUUACAUGCUAGGCUCAUCAAGUCAUCCUAAGUGUUUGCAUGUGUAAAUCUAUCUUACACCCAUUGUAUGUGAACGUUAGAAUCUAACACCCGAUCAUCACGUGGUGCUUCGAAACAACGUACUGUCGCAACGGUGCACAGUUAGGGGGAACACUUUCUUGAAAUUAUUAUGAGGGAUCAUCUUAUUUACUACUUUAGUUCUAAGCAAACAAGAUGCAAAACAUGAUAAACAUCGCAUGCAAUCAAAAUAAUAAUAGUGACAUGAUAUGGCCAAUAUCACAUAGCUCCUUUGAUCUCCAUCUUGGGGCUCCAUGAUCAUCUUGUCACCGGCAUGACACCAUGAUCUCCAUCAUCAUGAUCUCCAUCAUUGUGUCUCCAUGAAGUUGCUCGCCAACUAUUACUUCUACUACUAUGGCUAACGCGUUUAGCAAUAAAGUAAAGUAAUUUACAUGGCGUUUCUCAAUGACACGCAGGUCAUACAAAAAAUAAAGACAACUCCUAUGGCUCCUGCCGGUUGUCAUACUCAUCGACAUGCAAGUCGUGAUUCCUAUUACAAUAGCAUGAACAUCUCAUACAUUACAUAUAGAUCAUUCAUCAUUCAUCACAACUUUGGCCAUAUCAUAUCACAAAGCACUUGCUGCAAAAACAAGUUAGACGUCCUCUAAUUGUUGUUGCAAGUUUUACGUGGCUGAAAUAGGGUUCUAGCAAGAACGUUUUCUUACCUACGUGAAAGCCACAACGUGAUUUGUCAACUUCUAUUUACCCUUCAUAAGGACCCUUUUCAUCGAAUCCGCUCCAACUAAAGUAGGAGAGACAGACACCCGCCAGCCACCUUAUGCAACUUGUGCAUGUUAGUCGGUGGAACCGGUCUCACGUAAGCGUACAUGUAAGGUUGGUCCGGGCCGCUUCAUCCCACAAUACCGUUGAAGCAAGAUAAGACUAGUAGCGGCAAGAAAGUUGACAACAUCUACGCCCACAACAAAUUGUGUUCUACUCGCGCAAGAAGAACUACGCAUAGACCUAGCUCAUGAUGCCACUGUUGGGGAACGUUGCAGAAAACAAAAAAUUUCUACGGUUUCACCAAGAUCCAUCUAGGAGUUCAUCUAGCAACGACUGAUUAGAUGCAUCUACGCACCUUGUAGAUCGCGAGCGGAAGCGUUCAAAGAACGGGGAUGAGGGAGUUGUACUCGACGUGAUUCGAAUCACCGAAGAUCCUAGCACCGAACGGACGGCACCUCCGCGUUCAACACACGUACGGAACAGCCACGUCUCCUCCUUCUUGAUCCAGCAAGGGGGAAGGAGAGGUUGAGGGAGAUGGCUCUAGCAGCAGCACGACGGCGUGGUGGUGAUGGAGCUGCAGUACUCCGGCAGGGCUUCGCCAAGCACUAUGGAGGAGGAGGAUGUGUUGGAGAGGGAGAGGGAGGCACCAAAGAUCAAGGUCAGAAGUCCUCCAUCUCCCCCACUAUAUAUAGGAGGGCCAAGGGGGGGCGCCGGCCCUAGGAGAUCUAAUCUCCUAGGGGGGUGUGGCCAAGGGGAGGAAUCCCUCCUCCCCAAGGCACCUAGAAGGUGCCUUCCCCUCCUAGGACUCUUCCUCCUUGAAACCCUAGGCGCAUGGGCCUCUUGGGGCUGGUGCCCUUGGCCCAUGUAGGCCAAGGCACACCCCCUACAGCCCAUGUGGCCCCCCGGGACAGGUGGCCCCACCCGAUGGACCCCCGGGACCCUUCCGGUGGUCCCGGUACAAUACCGGUGACCCCGAAACUUGUCCCGAUGCCCGAAAUAGUACUUCCUAUAUAUAAUUCUUUACCUCCGGACCAUUCCGGAACUCCUCGUGACGUCCGAGAUCUCAUCAGGGACUCCGAACAACAUUAGGGUUACUGCAUAUACAUAUCCCUACAACCCUAGCGUCACCGAACCUUAAGUGUGUAGACCCUACGGGUUCGGGAGACAUGUAGACAUGACCGAGAUCGCUCUCCGGCCAAUAACCAACAGCGGGAUCUGGAUACCCAUGUUGGCUCCCACAUGCUCCUCGAUGAUCUCAUCGGAUGAACCACGAUGUCGAGGAUUCAAGCAACCCCGUAUACAAUUCCCUUUGUCAAUCGAUAUGUUACUUGCCCGAGAUUCGAUCAUCGGUAUCCCAAUACCUCGUUCAAUCUCGUUACCGGCAAGUCACUUUACUCGUACCGUAAUGCAUGAUCCCGUGACCAGACACUUGGUCACUUUGAGCUCAUUAUGAUGAUGCAUUACCGAGUGGGCCCAGUGAUACCUCUCCGUCAUACGGAGUGACAAAUCCCAGUCUUGAUCCGUUUCAAUCCAACAGACACUUUCGGAGAUACCCGUAGUAUACCUUUAUAGUCACCCAGUUACGUUGUGACGUUUGGUACACCCAAAGCACUCCUACGGUAUCCGGGAGUUACACGAUCUCAUGGUCUAAGGAAAACAUACUUGAUAUUGGAAAACUCUAGCAAACGAACUAUACGACCUUGUGCUAUGUUUAGGAUUGGGUCUUGUCCAUCACAUCAUUCUCCUAAUGAUGUGAUCUCGUUAUCGAUGACAUCCAAUGUCCAUAGUCAGGAAACCAUGACUAUCUGUUGAUCAACAAGCUAGUCAACUAGAGGCUUACUAGGGACAUGUUGGUGUCUAUUAUUCACACAUGUAUUACGAUUUCCGGAUAACACAAUUAUAGCAUGAAUAAAGACAAUUAUCAUGAACAAGGAAAUAUAAUAAUAAUGCUUUUAUUAUUGCCUCUAGGGCAUAUUUCCAACACUAUGAGGGUAUGUGGACGAUACUCUUCCCUCUUGUUGCUAUGCAUCACCAUGAUCUUGCGUGUGUGUAGCAAUUUUUUUUUGAAAUUACUACGUUCCCCAACACUUCGGGUCCAUAGUUAUUAGCUAGAUGGCUUCUUCUCUCUCUUUGGAUCUCAAUACAAAGUUGUCCUAGAUUCUCUUGGAGAUCUAUUCCAUGUAAUUCCUUUUGCGGUGUGUUUGUCCAGAUCCGAUGAAUUGUGGGUUUAUGAUCAAGAUUAUCCAUGAACAAUAUUUGAUUCUUCUCUGAAAUUUUUUAUGCAUGAUUUAAAUAUCUUUGCAAGUCUCUUCGAAUUAUCAGUUUGGUUUGGCCUACUAUAUUGAUCUUUCUUACAAUGGGAGAAGUGCUUAGCUUUGGGUUCAAUCUUGCGGUGUCCUUUCCCAGUGACAGCAGGGGCAUCAAGGCAUGUAUUGUAUUGUUGCCAUCGAGGAUAAAAAGAUGGGGUUUAUAUCAUAUUGCUUGAGUUUAUCCCUCUACAUCAUGUCAUCUUGCCUAAUGCGUUACUCUGUUCUUAUGAACUUAAUACUCUAGAUGCAUGCUGGAUAGCGGUCGAUGUGUGGAGUAAUAGUAGUAGACGCAGAAUCGUUUCGGUCUACUUGUCGCGGACGUGAUGCCUAUAUACAUGAUCAUGCCUAGAUAUUCUCAUAACUAUGCACUUUUCUAUCAAUUGCUUGACAGUAAUUUAUUCACCCACCGUAGAAUUUGCUAUCUUGAGAGAAGCCACUAGUGAAACCUAUGGCCCCCGGGUCUAUUCUCCAUCAUAUUAUUUUCAUAUCAACUUACUAUUUCUAUUACCAUUUAUUUUGCAAUCUUUAUUUUCCAAUGUAUACAACAAAAAUACCAAAAAUAUUUAUCUUAUUAUCUCUAUCAGAUCUCACUCUCGUAAGUGACCUUGAAGGGAUUGACAACCCCUCUAUCACCUUGGUUGCGAGGUUCUUGUUUGUUUGUGUAGGUACGAGGGACUUGCCUGUAGUCUCCUACUGGAUUGAUACCUCGGUUCUAAAAAACUGAGGGAAAUACUUACGCUACUGUGCUGCAUCACCCUUUCCUCUUCAAGGGAAAACCAACGCAAGCUCAAGAGGUAGCAUGCCCCCUCUCCUGGCACGCCCAGGUGGGUUGUGCCCACCUAGUGGCCCUGCAGACCCUGAAACCGACGUUAUAAAAUCCUAUUUUUCCAGAAAAAAAAUCAAGAAGAAAGAAUUAUUGCGACCCACGAGAAGGAGCCGCCAUCACCUCCUGUUCUUCAUCAGGAGGCCAGAUCUGGAGUCCGUUUUGGGCUCCAGAGAGGGGGAUCUUCAUUCUUCGUCAUCACCAACCCUUCUCCAUCGCCAAUUCCACGAUGCUCCCCACCAGGAGUGAGUAAUUCCUUUGUAGGCUAGCUGGUCGGUGAGGAGUUGGAUGACAUUCAUCACGUAACCGAGUUAGUUUUGCUAGGGCUUGAUCCCUAGUAUCCACUAUGUUCUAAUAUUGAUGUUGCUAUGACUUUGCCAUGUUUAAUGAUUGCCACUUUGGGCCCGGGUGCCAUGAUUUCAUAUCUGAACCAUUUAUGUUAUCACCAUUAUAUCCAUGUUCUAGAUCUGAUCUUGCAAGUUAUAGUCACCUACUACGUGUUAUGAUCCGGCAACCCCGGAGUGACAAUAACCGGGACCACUCCCGGUGACGAUCGUAGUUUUAGGAGUUCAUGUAUUCACCAUGUGUUAAUGCUUUGUUACGGUUCUCUAUUAAAAGGAGGCCUUAAUAUCCCUUACUUUCCAAUAUGGACCUGAUAACCCACAAGUAUAGGGGAUCGCAACAGUUUUCGAUAAGUAAGAGUGUCGAACCCAAAGAGGAGCUAAAGGCAGAACAAAUAUUCCCUCAAGUUCUAUCAACCACCGAUACAACUCUACGCACGCUUGGCGUUCGCUUUACCUAGAACAAGUUUGAAACUAGAAGUACUUUGUAGGUGUUGUUGGAUAGGUUUGCAAGACAAUAAAGAUUAUGUAAAUAAAAAGUAGGGGCUGUUUGGAUAAAUAAACAAUAAAUUAAAUAUAGCGAGUAUGGAAAAGUGGUGGUAGGAGUUGCGAAAUUUCCCCUAAGCAAUUGACUACUUUACUAGACCGAUAACAAGUAUUAUGUGGGAGAGGCCACUGCUAGCAUGUCAUCCCUGACUUGGAAUUCUAUGCACUUAUGAUUGGAACUAUUAGCAAGCAUCCGCAACUACUAACGUUCAUUAAGGUAAAACCCAACCAUAGCAUUAAGAUAUAUUGGUCCCCCUUCAAUCCCGUAUGCAUCAAUUUCUAUGGUAGGUUGAAGCUUCUGUCACUCUUGCCCUCCAAUACAUAGUCCUAUCAACAUACAACUAACCCUAGGGUGUAAUCCACGCGCGCUCUCAUAUGAUGGGCACGAAAGGACAGAAACAUAACCACAAGAAAAUUAAAUCAAUCAUAGCAAUUCAUCAACCACCGAUAGGGCAACGAAAAUCUACUCAGACAUCAUAGGAUGGCAACACAUCAUUUGAUAAUAAUAUGAAGCAUAAAGCACCACGUUCAAGUAGAGGGUACAGAGGGUUGCGAGAGAGUGGACCGCUGUAGAUAGAGGGGGGAAGGUGAUGGAGAUGUUGGUGAAGAUGGCGGAGGUGUAGGUGUAGAUCAGAGUGAUGAUGAUGAUGGCCACAGCAGCGUUCCGGCGCCACCGAAAGAGAAGGGGAGAGGGGGCCCCUUUGUCUUCUUCUUCCUUGACCUCCUCCCUAGAUGGGAGAAGGGUUUCCCCUCUAGUCCUUGGCCUCCAUGGCAUGGGAGGGGCGAGAGCCCCUCCGAGAUUGGAUCUGUCUCUCUGUCUCUCUCUGUUUCCGCGUUCCCAGAUUCUUCCCUUUCACCGUUUCUUAUAUUCGCGGAGAUCCGUAACUCCGAUUGGGCUGAUAUUUUACACGAUCUCUAUCCGGAUAUUAGCUUUCUUGCGGCGAAAGAAGGGCAUCAACCGCCUUACAGGUGGCCCACUAGGGUCAGGGGCGUGCCCAGUGGGGCAGGCGCACCCCCUGCCUCGUGGCCACCCCGGACACCGUCUCAUGUGGAUUUUUCUUCCCAAAAAUCAUAUAUAUUCCAAAAAAAAUCUCCGUUGGUUUUAUCCCGUUUGGAUUCCGUUUGAUAUGGAUAUUCUGCAAAAAACAUGCAACAAACAGGAACUGGCACUGGCACUGGAUCAAUAUGUUAGUCCCAAAAAUAGUAUAAAAAGUUGCCAAAAGUAUAUGAAAGUUGUAGAAUAUUGGCAUGGAACAAUCAGAAAUUAUAGAUACGACGGAGACGUAUCAGCAUCCCCAAGCUUAAUUCCAGCUCGUCCUCGAGUAGGUAAAUGAUAAAUUUUUUUGAUGUGGAAUGCUACCUAGCAUAAUCUUGAUCACAUAUCUAAACAUGGCGUGAAUAUUAAGAUACGAGUGAUUCAAAGCAAUAGUCUAUCAUUUGACAUAAAAACAGUAAUACUUCAAGCCUACUAAUAAAGCAAUCAUGUCUUUUCAAAAUAACAUGGCCAAAGAAAGCUAUCCUACAAAAUCAUAUAGUCUAGCUAUGCUCCAUCUUCACCACACAAAAUAUUCACAUCAUGCACAACCCCGAUGACAAGCCAAGCAAUUGUUUCAUACUUUUGACGUUCUCAAACCUUUUCAACUUUCACGCAAUACAUGAGCGUGAGCCAUGGACAUAGCACUAUAGGUGGAAUAGAAUGAUGGUUGUGGAGAAGACAAAAAGGAGAAGAUAGUCUCACAUCAACUAGGUGUAUCAACGAGCUAUGGAGAUGCCCAUCAAUAGAUAUCAAUGUGAGUGAGUAGGGAUUGCCAUGCAACGGAUGCACUAGAGCUAUAAGUGUAUGAAAGCUCCAACUGAAACUAAGUGGGUGUGCAUCCAACUUGCUUGCUCAUGAAGACCUCGGGCAUUUGAGGAAGCCCAUCAUCGUAAUAUACAAGCCAAGUUCUAUAAUGAAAAUUCCCACUAGUAUAUGAAAGUGAUAACUCAAGAGACUCUCUAUAUGAAGAACAUGGUGCUACUUUGAAGCACAAGUGUUAGAAAAAGGAUAGUAGCACUGCCCCUUCUCUCUUUUUCUCUCAUUUUGUUGUUUUUUUGGUGGGCUUCUUUGGCCUCUUUUUUUAUUUGGGCUUCUUUGGCCUCUUUUAUUUUUUUGUAAAGUCCGGAGUCUCAUCCCGACUUAUGGGGGAAUCAUAGUCUCCAUCAUCCUUUCCUCAUUGGGGCAAUGCUCUAAUAAUGAUGAUCAUCACACUUUUAUUUACUUACAACUCAAUAUUACAACUCGAUACUAGAAUAAAGAUAUGACUCUAUAUGAAUGCCUCCAGCGGUGUACCGGGAUGUGCAAUGAUCUAGCGUAGCAAUGACAUCAAAAAACAGACAAGCCAUGAAAACAUCAUGCUAGCUAUCUUACGAUCAUGCAAAGCAAUAUGACAAUGAAUGCUCAAGUCAUGUAUAUGAUGAUGAUGGAAGUUGCAUGGCAAUAUAUCUCGGAAUGGCUAUGGAAAUGCCAUAAUAGGUAGGUAUGGUGGCUGUUUUGAGGAAGGUAUAUGGUUGGUUUAUGGUACCGGUGAAAGUUGCGCGGUACUAGAGAGGUUAGCAAUGGUGGAAGGGUGAGAGUGCGUAUAAUCCACAGACUCAACAUUAGUCAUAAAGAACUCACAUACUUAUUGCAAAAAUCUAUUAGUCAUCAAAACAAAGUACUACACGCAUGCUCCUAGGGGGAUAGAUUGGUAGGAAAAUACCAUCGCUCGUCCCCGACUGCCACUCAUAAGGAAGACAAUCAAUAAAUAAAUCAUGCUCCGACUUCGUUACAUAACGGUUCACCAUACGUGCAUGCUACGGGAAUCACAAACCUCAACACAAGUAUUUCUACAAUCCACAACUACCCACUAGCAUGGCUGUAAUAUCACCAUCUUUAUAUCGCAAAACUAUUGCAAGGAAUCAAACAUAUCAUAUUCAGUGAUCUACAAGUUUUAUGUAGGAUUUUAUGACUAACCAUGUGAACGACGAGUUCCUGUCAUCUCUCUAAAUAGAUAGAAGUGAAGCAAGAGAGUUUAAUUCUUUCUACAAAAGAUAUGCCUGUGCCCUAAAAAAUCUAAGUGCAGCAAAAGAGCAUUCUACAAAUGGCGGUUUUCUAUGUAAAGAGAAAGAGGCAAUCCGAACUUCAAAUGAUAUAAGCGAAGCACAUGAAGCAUUCUAUAAAGCCAUACUCAAAAGAUAUAAGUGAAGUGCAAUGAGAAUUCUAUAAAUCAACCAAGGACUCUCUCAUACCAGCAUGGUGCAUAAAAUAAAGAUGAAAAAUAAAUGCAAAAGGCGCUCCAAGAUUGCACAUAUCACAUGAACGAAACGAAUCCAAAAACAUACCGAUACUUGUUGAAGAAAGAGGGGAUGCCUUCCGGGGCAUCCCUAAGCUUAGACGCUUGAGUCUCCUUGAAUAUUUACUUGGGGUGCCUCGGGCAUCCCCAAGCUUAAGCUCUUGCCUCUCUUCCUUCUUCUCACAUCAAGACCUUCUCGAUCAUCGAACACUUCAUCCACACAAAACUUCAACAGAAAACUCGGUAAGAUCCGUUAGUAUAAUGAAGCAAAUCACUACUCUAAGUACUGUCACAAACCAAUUCAUAUGUUGUUUCUGCAUUGUGUCUACUUUAAUAUAACUUUUUCAUGGCUUAAUCCACUGAUAUGAAUCGAUAGUUUCAUCAGAACAAGCAAACUAUGCAUCAAAAACAGAAUCUGUCUAAAACAGAACAGUCUGUAAUAAUCUGAACAUUCACCAUACUUAUGAUACUUGAAACAUUCUACCAAAAUUAGGAAAAAUAAAAAAUUUGUAUAGGAAGAGAGUGCAAAAAGAAUCAGAACCAUUUGACGUUCCAGCAAAAAAUUUAAAAUCGCGCACUACAGCCAAAGUUUCUGUCCUGCACCGUACAAACCAUCAAGCAAAUGUAAACAUCCUAAAGGCAAACCUUGGCACAUUAUUUUUAUAAUAAAAUGGAAUUGUACAAGGGGAUAAUUAUUUUUAUUGAAAAUUUUCUGUAAUCAAGAUUCACAAAGUUUCCAUGAGCAUGAACAAAGUUCAAGGCUAGCUCCCACUUCAACAAUGCUUGUCUUUCUCACUUUCGCUUUCCUUUUUGAAAAAGUUUUGGGUUACCCUCUUUAUUUUUGUUGUUUUUAAACUAUAUAAAAGCACUCAAAAGAAAUAAAUGACUCUCUAAAACUUCCGGGUUGUCUCCCUGGCGGCGCUUUCUUUAAAGCCAUUAAGCUAGGCAUAUGUGCUCAAGUAAUGGAUCCACCCGGAUCCCAAGGUAUAUCAAAGCCAAUUUUAAUUAACAAUGAUUUUUAAUUUAGUGGUCAGCACAAGGUAACAUAUAUCAUGCAAUGACGAAGUCUAACUCUCUUCCUAUGCAUCGGCAUGUCAUAAAAGAACAAUUCAUGCACACAAAGUAACGACAAAUGCAUAGUAUAAACAGUUUCUUGCAAUUUUAUCAUAUUGGAAACAUAGAGAGGUGGAGAUAUAGUUACUCUCUCAUAAUAAUUGCAAGUAGGAGCAGCAAUCACAUGCAUAUUAUAUUCAUCAAAAUCAUCAUGUGCAACGGUAAAAGGCAACCCAUCAAUAUAUUCCUUAAUAAGAGCAAACUUCUCCGAUAUAGUGUAGUUGGGAGAAUUCAAAAAGAUAAUAGGACUAUCACGCGUGGGUGCAAUAGCAACAAUUUCAUGUUUAGCAUAAGGAACUAUAGCAAGUUCAUCUCCAUAAGCAUAAUUCAUAUUGGCAUCUUGGCCACAAAGCAUAGCAAGCAUCACCAAAAAGGGAUAUUUCAAGAGAAUCAAUGGGAUCAUAGUAGUCAUCAUAGCAAUCAUCCUAUCGUAACCACGAAGGGAAAUUAAACAAUGUAUGAGUUGAAGAGUUACUCUCAUUAGAAGGUGGGCACGGGUAGCUAAUCCGCUCUUCCUCGUUUUGUUCUUUGCUCUCUUCCUCAUCUUUUUCAUCCAAUGAGCUCACAGUUUCAUCAAUUUCUUCGUUUCAAUCAAAGAAGCAAUUUCAUAAGCACCCUUAAAAGCAACAAAUUCUUCAAUUUGUCGAACAUCAUAGUAAUUAUAAGCACCCUUAGCAUACGAAGAUACGAUUCCAUUAUCACUAAACUCACUUUGAAAGGGAAGGUGUUUCUUAGGGUUUUCAGAACAACAAGUAAAAUCAUAUAUUUCACAUAAAUUCCAAGCAUAGCAUUGCAAACGAUGAAUUUGACCCAAUAAUUUUUUCCCUUUUUCAGAUAUUCAGUGUUGCACAUAAUAAGCAUGCUCAUCUAAGGAUUUGCCCUCAACUAAGCUAGUUGGGGUUUCAGCACGAGCACAUAGGGAUCGAAGAUGAUCCAAGUAAUAAGCUUUAGCAGUGUGAUAGAUUUUGAGUGGUUCUUCAACCAUUGGUUUAGUAGGCACAACUAAUUUUUUUUGGUAUUUUACGUUUCCUACCCAUAACUAAAGAUAUAAAACAACUAAGAACAUCAAAUAAAAAUUACUUAGUGAUAAAGCAAACAAGCACACACGAGAAUAUUCACCCCACGCUAUUGCUCCCCGGCAACGGCGCCAGAAAAAGGUCUUGAUAACCCACAAGUAUAGGGGAUCACAACAAUUUUCGAUAAGUAAGAGUGUCGAAUCCAAAGAGGAGAUAAAGGCAGAACAAAUAUUCCCUCAAGUUCUAUCUACCACUGAUACAACUCUACGCACGCUUGACAUUCGCUUUACCUAGAACAAGUAUGAAACUAGAAGUACUUUGUAGGUGUUGUUGGAUAGGUUUGCAAGAUAAUAAAGAUUAUGUAAAUAAAAAGUAGGGGCUAUUUAGAUAAAGAAACAAUAAAGUAAAUAUAGCGAGUAUGGAAAAGUGGUGGUAGGAGUUGCGAAAUUUCCCCUAAGCAAUUGACUACUUUACUAGACCGAUAGCAAGCAUUAUGUGGGAGAGGCCACUGCUAGCAUGUCAUCCCUGACUUGGAAUUCUAUGCACUUAUGAUUGGAACUAUUAGCAAGCAUCCACAACUACUAACGUUCAUUAAGGUAAAACCCAACCAUAGCAUUAAGAUAUAUUGGUCCCCCUUCAAUCCCGUAUGCAUCAAUUUCUAUGGUAGGUUGAAGCUUCUGCCACUCUUGCCCUCAAAUACAUAGUCCUAUCAACAUAAAACUAACCCUAGGGUGUGAUCCACACGCACUCUAAUAUGAUGGGCACCAAAGGACAGCAACAUAACCACAAGCAAAUUAAAUCAAUCAUAGCAAUUCAUCAACCACCGAUAGGGCAACGAAAAUCUACUCAGACAUCAUAGGAUGGCAACACAUCAUUUGAUAAUAAUAUGAAGCAUAAAGCACCAUGUUCAAGUAGAGGGUACAGCGGGUUGCGGGAGAGUGGACCACUGUAGAUAGAGGGGGGGAAGGUGAUGGAGAUGUUGGUGAAGAUGGCAGAGGUGUUGGUGUAGAUUGUGGGGAUGAUGAUGAUGGCCACAGCAGCGUUCCGGCGCCACCGGAAGAGAAGGGGAGAGGGGGCCCCUUCGUCUUCUUCUUCCUUGACCUCCUCCCUAGAUGGGAGAAGGGUUUCCCCUCUGGUCCUUGGCCUCCAUGGCAUGGGAGGGGAGAGAGCCCCUCCGAGAUUGGAUCUGUCUCUCUGUCUCUCUCUGUUUCUGCGUUCCCAGAUUCUUCCCUUUCAUCGUUUCUUAUAUUCCCGGAGAUCCGUAACUCCGAUUGGGCUGAAAUUUUAACACGAUCUCUAUCCGGAUAUUAGCUUUCUUGCGGAGAAAGAAGGGCAUCAACUGCCUUACGGGUGGCCGACGAGGGUCAGGCCUCAUGGCCACCUCGGGCACCGUCUCGCGUGGAAUUUUCUUCCCAAAAAUCAUAUAUCUUCUAAAAAAUCUCCGUCAGUUUUUAUCCCGUUUGGACUCCGUUGGAUAUGGAUAUUCUGUGAAACAAAAAACAUGCAACAAACAGGAACUGGCACUGGAUCAAUAUGUUAGUCCCAAAAAUAGUAUAAAAAGUUGCCAAAAGUAUAUGAAAGUUGUAGAAUAUUGGCAUGGAACAAUCAAAAAUUAUAGAUAUGACGGAGACGUAUCAGGACCCCGCUGCCAGGGGAGGGUAGGACAAAAGAUGUCAUGCAAGUUCUUUCCAUAAGAACAUAUGACUAUUUAGGGAAUACAUGCCUACAUUAUAUUGAUGAAUAGGAGCUAGUGCCGCAUCGCCCUAGGUUAUAACUGUCUCAUGAUGAAUAUCAUCCAACAAAUCACCGAUCCAAUGCCUACAAAUUUAUCCUAUAUUGUUCUUCCUAAGUUACUACUGCUUUCAUUACUAUUGCACUUGUUACAAAACUAUUGCUACCACUGUUACUGUUACCAUUGCUACUGCUACUAUUAUCAAAACUAUCAUAUUACUUUGCUACUGAUCACGUUGUUGCAGAUAAUUAAUCUCCAGGUGUGGUUGAAUUGACAACUCAGCUGCUAAUACCUUCAAAUAUUCUUUGGCUCCCCUUGUGUCGAAUCUAUAAAUCUAGGUUGAAUACUCUACCCUCGAAAACUGUUGUGAUCCCCUAUACUUGUGGGUUAUCAAGAACUACCAGGAAUGCCACCAGACCGAGAGCUUGAGUUUGCAAUUGACCUUGUGCCCGGGACCGCACCGUAAUACAAGAAGUAUUAUCGGAUGCCUUCCUAUGAAUUAGUGGAAUUAAAGAAACAGCUUGAUGAGAUCCUUCAAGGACACAUCCGUCCAAGGUCUUCACCAUGGGGAUCACCCGCAAUCUUCAUGGACAAGAAAGACGACAGUCUCCAAAUGUGUGUGGAUUACCGUUAGUUGAAUGAUGUCACUAUCAAGAACAACUAUCUGCUUCCGAGGAUUGAUGAUUUGUUCGACCAACUUAGUGGGGCAAAAGUAUUCUCCAAGAUUGAUUUGAGGACUGGAUAUCACCAACUCAAGAUAAAGAAGGAGGAUAUUCCUAAGACCGCGUUCACCACUCGAUACGGUCUUUAUGAAUAUAUAGUCAUGUCAUUUGGCCACACCAAUGCCCCCGCUUUCUUCAUGCACUUGACGAAUAAAGUGUUCAUGGAUUUCUUGGAUAAAUUUGUGGUGGUCUUCAUUGAUGACAUCCUCAUAUACUCGAAAGGUGAAGAAGAGCACAAGGGACAUCUCAGAGCAGUCUUGCAAAGAAUCCGUGACCAUUAGCUAUAUGCGAAAUUCAGCAAAUGUGAAUUUGGGCUCAAGAAAGUCGGAUUUUUGGGGCAUGUUCUUUCAGCAGUAAAGCAUAGCCAUGGAUCCAAGCAAAUUGAAGGACGUGCUUGAUUGGACAGCACCCACGAUAGUAACUGAGAUCCGGAGUUUCCUUGGAUUAGCCGGAUAUUACCAUCGGUUCAUCGAAGGCUUCUCUAAGAUCGCCAAGCCCAUGACAGAACUCCUCAAGAAUGAUAAGAAGUUUGUACGGUCUGAGGAUUGUGAGAAAAGUUUCAAUAAAUUAAAGACCCGGUUGACGUCAGUACCUGUGUUGACCCUCCCAGACAUCUACCGCAGAUUUGAUGUAUACUGUGACGCAUCCAGGGGAGGUAUUGGAUGUGUACUCAUGCAAGAUGGCAAGAUUGUGGCAUACGCAUCUCGACAGCUAUGACCCCAUGAAGAGAACUACCCGACCAUGAUUUGGAAUUGACCGCAGUUGUGCACGGAUUAAAAUUUUGGAGGCACUACCUCAUUGGCAAAAGAUGUCAGAUAUUUACCGACCACAAGAGUCUCAAGUAUAUAUUCACCCAACCAGACUUGAACCUCCGACAGUGAACAUGGCUCGAAUUGGUCAAGGAUUAUGAUCUUGGGAUAAAUUAUCAUCCCGGUAAGGCCAAUGUGGUUGCUGAUGCCCUCAGCCGCAAACCUGCCAAUCUAAAUGCCCUGAUGGAGUCCUUGCCUCCCGAACUCCAAGAAGAGAUCGCUCAGCUUAACCAGGUUAUUGUUGAGGCUUACCUUGCCAAUAUAUUGGAAGUUACCCCUACCUUCGAAGAAGAAAUCCGCAUGGCCCAGCAAGAUGAAUCAGUCCUGCAACACCAUGUCAAGCAUAUGCAAGAAGGCAAGACCCAGGAUUUCUCGAAGGAUGAGUAAUGUACUCUAUGGUUUCCUGGACGGAUUUGCGUAAUUGAGAAAGCAGACCUAAGAAAGAAGAUCUUGACAUAAGUGCACGAAUCUUUGUACUCGAUUCAUCCAGGAGGUAUCAAGAUGUACGAAGAUCUUCGUCAGGCAUUUUGGUGGGAUGGAAUGAAGAAGGACAUCGCCUAUUUUGUCGCUUGUUGUGAUAUAUGGAACAAAUUAAAGGCGGAACAUUAGAAACCCGCCGAACUUCUUCAACCUUUGCCCGUUCCACAAUGGAAGUGGGACGAUGUCAACAUGGAUUUCAUCACAGGUUUACCAAAGACUCAACGAGGCAAUGAUGCAGUAUGGGUUGUGGUGGACAUGCUGACAAAAGUAGCUCACUUCAUUCCCAUCCGAACCACCUAUCGAGCCGAUCAACUCGCACAACUAUAUGUGUCUAGAAUCGUCAGUUUGCAUGGAGUACCAAGAACUAUCACUUCCGACAGAGGUUCUCUCUUUACCUCAGCAUUCUGGUCAUGGUUCCAUCAAGCUUUGGGGACCACACUAAAGUACAACACCGCCUAUCAUCCUCAGAUUGACGGGCAGACUGAGCGAGUAAAUCAAAUACUUGAAGAUAUGCUCCGAGCAUGUGCUUUGGCCUAAGGGCCCAAGUAGGAAGAUUGUCUGCCUUAUGCCGAGUUCUCCUACAACAACAGUUUCCAGACCAGCCUCAAGAUGUCACCAUAUGAAGCUCUGUAUGGCCGUAAGUGCCGCACUCCAUUAAAUUGUUCUCAAACCAGAUAUAGCCGCAUUUUCGGAACUGACUUAAUGAUGGAGGCUGAAAAGCAAGUCAAGGAUAUCCGAGAUAGACUGCAAUUGGCUAAGUCCCGAGAAAGGAGCUACUAUGACUCAAAGCACCGCCAGAUCAGUUUUGAGCCCGGAGAGUAUGUUUACAUCCGAGACACACCCAUGAAAGGAGUCAAGAGUUUUCAGACCCGAGGAAAACUUGCACCCAGAUAUAUUGGUCCGUUCCCAGUUAUGUCCAGAGUUGGUACAAUUGCUUAUCAGUUGGAACUACCAUCAGAAUUGUCAGAAGUGCAGAAUGUGUUCCAUGUCUCACAGUUGAGAAGGUGUAUCUCGCCACCCAAGAAAAGGAGUGAUAUGGUAGAGAUAGAGAUUGCUAAGGACUUCACCUAUGAAGAGAAACCGUUCAGAAUAUUGGAUGAAAUAGAAAGAUUCACUCGCAGUAAGGUGAAUUUUUUUAUAAGGGUACAGUGGGAACAUCACACCGAGGAAGAAGCAACUUCGAAAAGAGAGGACUUUUAAGAGCAGCCUAUCCGGAAUUGUUUUCUCGAGCAACCAAAUCUCGAGGACGACAUUCAUCCUAAGUGGGGGAGGUUUGUGACACCCUGGUUUUUGCUCUUUAUCUUUUUCUGGAUUUCAUUGCCUUUUGUUUGACUUCGGAUUUUGAAUCAACUCAGUUGGACUUAACCACUUGUGCAUUUACUUGAUUUUCACCCAAGAGAACCACCUCCCUCUCAAACACCUCAUUUCCUCUUUGAUAUAUCACAAAAUGGCCAUAGGAAUAUUUUUCAUAAAUGAAAAAUAUUCAUUUCUUCGCUGAAAUCACACUUAAGUCACUUAUGCUCCAAAGCAAUUCUCAUUAUUCUUGCCAACAAAAAUAUGAGAACCAUUCCUGAAUAUUCCUUAGACUUUGGCACACCUCCCUGUGCAACAAUAUUUCAUAGUUAUUUGGAAUAUUUUUGCUACAGAAAAUAUUUGCUGUUCUGGCUAGAAAAUGCAGUUUGUACAGGAAGUGCAUUUUUCCAUGACCCAAUGAAGCUGAAAUUUUUAGGGCUUCAUUACCCUCCUAAGAAACCCUUAACCUCCAAAGAUUAUCCCUAAACUCCUUCUAGAUUUCUCACUAUUAACAUCACAAGUUUCUGUCCAGAAACAUGCCAGGAUGCUACACUCCCACGCAAUUGACCUGUGCUCAACUCAAGAGCUUGGAUCAACCCAACCUAGUCAGGACUACACGCCAGACAUGAUUUUAAUGCGCUGCCUGGCGUGAUACCAGAGUUCACAUGGUGACCACGCGUGUGCAUGAUGCCAGGAAACUAGUCGACGCCCUCUGGAUGCCACCGACGUCUCUGUGGCGCUCGUGCUCGCUUCCCCGCUCGUCGCAGCUUGCCAAACCGUGCCACCAUCCUCAUCCCGAAGCCAUUAACUUCCCCUUGGCACUCGCCGACACCGGAGCUCGCCGCAGUGAGCACGGGCAUGACGCGGCCAAGCGUACAGUGCGCCCGUGCCCCUAUGCUCGUCUCCACCCGAGACCCUGUGCUCGUCUCCUCCCUCUCACAGUGGCUGCAUGAACCCCGGCCUCGUCUCCCCCUCUCACUGGAGCUCUUUGUCACUGUGCACGAUACGUCUCCAACGUAUCUAUAAUUUUUGAUUGCUCCAUGCUAUUAUAUUAUCUAUUUUGGAUGUUAAUGGGCUUUAUUUUACACUUUAUAUCACUUUUGGGACUAACCUACUAAUCGGAGGCCUAGCCCAAAUUGCUGUUUUCUUGCCUAUUUUAGGGUUUGGAAGAAAAGGAAUAUCAAACGGAGUCCAAACGGAAUGAAACCUUCGGGAACGUGAUUUUCUCAACAAACGUGAUCCAGGAGACUUGGAGUGGGCGUCAAGAAACAACAGAGGAAGCCACGAGGCAGGGGGGCGCGCCGUCCACCCUCAUGGGCCCCCUGUUGCUCCACCGACGUACUUCUUCCUCCUAUAUAUAUCCACGUACCCCUCAAACAUCCAGGAGCACCACGAAAACCUAAUUCCGCCGUUGCAACCUUCUGUACCCGAGAGAUCCCAUCUUGGGGCCUUUUCUGGAGCUCCACUUGAGGGGGCAUUGAUCAUGGAGUGCCUCUACAUCAACUCCAUGGCCUCUCUGGUGAUGUGUGAGUAGUUUACUUCAGACCUUCGGGUCCAUAGUUAUUAGCUAGAUGGCUUCUUCUCUCUCUUUGGAUCUCAAUACAAAGUCCUCCUCGAUCUUCUUGGAGAUCUAUUCGAUGUAAUCUUCUUUUGCAGUGUGUUUGUUGAGAUCCGAUGAAUUGUGGGUUUAUGAUCCAGUUUAUCUAUGAACAAUAUUUGAUUCUCCUCUGAAUUCUUUUAUGUAUGAUUGGUUUAUCUUUGCAAGUCUCUUCGAAUUAUCAAUUUGGUUUGGCCUACUAGAUUGAUCUUUCUUGCAAUGGGAGAAGUGCUUAGCUUUCGGUUCAAUCUUGCGGUGUUCGAGCCUAGUGAUAGAAAGGGAACCGACACGUAUUGUAUUGUUUCCAUCGAGGAUAAAAAGAUGGGGUUUAUAUCAUAUUGCAUGAGUUUAUCCCUAUACAUCAUGUCAUCUUCCUUAAAGCAUUACUCUAUUCUUAUGAACUUAAUACUCUAGAUGCAUGCUGGAUAGCGGUUGAUGUGUGGAGUAAUAGUAGUAGAUGCAGAAUCGUUUCGGUCUACUUGUCUCGGACGUGAUGCCUAUAUACAUGAUCAUACCUAGAUAUUCUCAUCACUAUGCUCAAUUCUAUCAAUUGCUCGACAGUAAUUCAUUUACCCACCGUAAUACUUAUGCUCUUGAGAGAAGCCACUAGUGAAACCUAUGGCCCCCGGGUCUAUCUUCCAUCAUAUUAAUCUUCCAAUACUUAGUUAUUUUUUUGCCAUUUAUUUUACUUUGCAUCUUUAUUCCUCUUUAUCAUAAAAAUACCAAAAAUAUUAUCUUAUCAUAUCUAUCAGAUCUCACUCUUGUAAGUGACCGUGAAGGGAUUAACAACCCCUUUAUCGCAUUGGUUGCGAGGUUCUUAUUUGUUUGUGUAGGUGCGUGGGACUUGAGUGUGAUCUCCUACUGGAUUGAUACCUUGGUUCUCAAAAACCGAGGGAAAUACUAAAGCUACUUUUCUGCACGACCCUUUCCUCUUCAAGGGAAAACCAACGCAGUGCUCAAGAGGUAUCAAGAAGGAUUUCUGGCGCCGUUGCCGGGGAGAUUCGCGCCAAGUCAAGUUAAGCACAAGUCAAGAGAUACCAAGUACCCUUCACAAACUCUUAUCCCUCGCAUUACAUUAUUUGCCAUUUGCCUCUCGUUUUCCUCUCCCCUACUUCACCCAUGCCGUUUUAUUCGCCCUCUUUUCCUCUCUUCCUCUCUUUCCGUUCCCCUUCUCUUUUUCUAUUUGCCUUUUUUGACGCGCUUCUUGUUUGCUCGUGUGUUGGAUCGCUUGUUUGUCACGAUGGCUCAAGAUAAUACUAAAUUGUGUGACUUUGCCAAUACUAACAAUAAUGAUUUUAUUAGCACUCCGAUUGCUCCUCUUACCGAUGCCGAAUCUUGUGAAAUUAAUACUGCUUUGCUGAAUCUUGUCAUGAAAGAUCCGUUUUCUGGCCUUCCUAGUGAAGAUGUCGUUACCCAUCUAAACAACUUUGUUCAUUAGUGUGAUAUGCAAAAGAAGAAAGAUGUGGACAAUGAUAUUGUUAAAUUGAAGCUAUUUCCUUUUUCCCUUGGAGAUCGUGCUAAAUCUUGGUUUCCGUCUUUGCCUAAAAAUAGUAUUGAUUCAUGGAAUAAGUGCAAAGAUGCUUUUAUCUCUAAGUAUUUUCCUCCCGCUAAGAUCAUAUCUCUUAGAAACGAUAUUAUGAAUUUUAAGCAACUUGAUCAUGAACAUGUUGCACAAUCUUGGGAGAGGAUGAAAUCAAUGAUACGUAAUUGCCCAUCACAUGGUUUGAAUUUAUGGAUGAUUAUACAUAAUUUUUAUGCCGGAUUCAAUUUUGCUUCUAGAAAUCUUUUAGAUUCGGCGGCCGGAUGCAUUUUUAUGGAAAUCACUUUAGGAGAAGCUACCAAACUCCUAGAUAAUAUUAUGGUUAAUUAUUCUCAAUGGCACACUGAAAGAUCUACUAGUAAAAAAGUGCAUGCAAUUGAACAGAUCAAUGUUUUGAGUGGAAAGAUGGAUGAACUUCUGAAAUUGUUUGCUAAUAAGAGUGCUCUUGCUGAUCCUAAUGACAUGCCUUUGUAUACUUUGAUUUAGAAUAAUAAUGAAUCUAUGGAUGUGAAUUUUGUUGGUAGGAACAAUUUUGGUAAUAACGCGUAUAGAGGUAAUUUUAAUUGUAGGUCGUUUCCUAGUAAUUCCUCUAAUAAUUAUGGUAAUUACUACAACAAUUCUUAUGGAAAUUUUAAUAAGAUGCCCUCUGAUUUUGAAUCUAAUAUUAAAGAAUUUAUUAGUUCGCAAAAGAGUUUCAAUGCUUUGGUUGAAGAAAAAAUGCUUAAGAUUGAUGAGUUGGCUAGGAACGUUGAUAGAAUUUCUCUUGAUGUUCAUUAUUUGAAACUUAGAUCUAUUCCACCUAAGCAUGAUAUCAAUGAGUCUCUCAAAGUCAUGAGAAUUUCCAUUGUUGAGUGAAAAGAAAGAACCGCUAGUUUUCAUGAUAAUAAGGAUGAAGAUCUAAAGGUGAUUGAUGUGUCCCCUGUUAAAUCUUUGUUUUGCAAUAUGAAUCUUGACAAUGAUGGGACUAGAGAUGAGUCAACUUUACUUAAAAGGCGUUCCAAUGAUUCAGAGUUUUUAGAUCUUGACGCAAAAAUUCUUAAAAGUGGGAUUGAAGAGAUUAAAACAUUAGAUAGCAAUGAACCCACUAUCUUGGAUUUCAAGGAAUUUAAUUAUGAUAAUUGCUCUUUGAUAGAUUGUAUUUCCUUGUUGCAAUCCGUGCUAAAUUCUCCUGAUGCUUAUAGUCAAAAUAAAGCUUUUACUAAACAUAUCGUUGAUGCUUUGAUGCAAUCUUAUGAAGAAAAACUUGAGUUGGAAGUUUCUAUCCCUAGAAAACUUUAUGAUGAGUGGGAACCUACUAUUAAAAUUAAAAUUAAAGAUCAUGAGUUCUAUGCUUUGUGCGAUUUGGGUGCUAGUGUUUCCACAAUUCCAAAAACUUUGCGUGAUUUGUUGGGUUUCCGUGAUUUUGAUGAUUGUUCUCUAAACUUGCACCCUGCGGAUUCCACUAUUAAAAAAACCUAUGGGAAGAAUUAAUGAUGUUAUUAUUGUUGCAAAUAGGAAUUAUGUGCCCGUAGAUUUCAUUAUUCAUGACAUAGAUUGCAAUCCUUCAUGUCCUAUUAUUCUUGGUAGACCUUUCCUUAGAACGAUUGGUGCAAUUAUUGAUAUGAAGGAAGGGAAUAUUACAUUCCAAUUUCCAUUAAGGAAAGGCAUGGAACACUUCCCUAAAAAGAAAGUUAAAUUACCAUAUGAAUCUAUUAUGAGAGCCACUUAUGGAUUGCCUACCAAAGAUGGCAAUACCUAGAUCUAUCCUUGCUUUUAUGCCUAGCUAGGGGCGUUAAACGAUAGCGCUUGUUGGGAGGCAACCCAAUUUUAUUUUUAUUCCUUAAUUUUUGCUCCUGUUUAGUAAUAAAUAACUUAUCUAGACUCUUUUUUGGUUGUGUUUUUUGUGUUUAAUUAGUGUUUGUGCCAAGUAGAACCGUUGGGAAGACUUGGGGAAAGUCUUUUUGAUCUUGCUGUAAAAAAUAGAAACUUUAGCGCUCACGAGAAUUGCUCCAUUUUUAUUUGGAUAGUGAUAUUUAGUUAAUUCUUUUUGAAUAUGAUUAAUAGAUAAAUUCCUCACGUCCAGAAAUUUAUUUUAGAAUUUUUGGGGUUCCAAAAGUUUGCGUUAGCUACAUAUUACUAUAGACUGUUUUGUUUUUGAUAGAUUCUGUUUUUCGUGUGUUGUUUGCUUAUUUUGAUGAAUCUAUGGCUAGUAAAAGAGUUUAUAAACCAUAGAGAAGUUGGAAUACAGUAGGUUUAACACCAAUAUAAAUCAAGAAUGAGUUCAUUACAGUACCUUGAAGUGGUGUUUUGUUUUCUUUCGCUAACGGAGCUCACGAGAUUUUCUAUUUUGAGUUUUGUGUUGUGAAGUUUUCACAUUUUGGGUAAAGAAUUGAUGGAUUAUGGAACAUGGAGUGGCAAGAGCCUAAGCUUUGGGAUGCCCAUGCACCCCAAGGUAAAAUUCAAGGACACCAAAAAGCCUAAGCUUGGGGAUGCCCCGGAAGGCAUCCCCUUUUUCGUCUUCGUCUAUCGGUAACUUUACUUGGACCUAUAUUUUUAUUCACCACAUGAUAUGUGUUUUGCUUGGAGCGUCUUGUAUGAUUUGAGUCUUUGCUUUUUAGUUUACCACAAUCAUCCUUGUUUUACACACCUUUUGAGAGAGACUCACAUGUUUGGUAAUUUAUUAGAAUACUCUAUGUGCUUCACUUAUAUCUUUUGAGCUAUAUAGUUUUUGCUCUAGUACCUCACUUAUAUCUUUUAGAGCACGGCGGUGGUUUUGUUUUAUAGAAAUAAUUGAUCUCUCAUGCUUCACUUAUAUUAUUUUGAGAGUUUUUUAGAACAACAUGGCAAUAAUAAAAACUUUCAUAUAAGUGCAUUGAAUACUAUGAGAAGUUUGAGACUUGAUAAUUGUUUUGAGAUAUGGAGAUGGUGAUAUUAGAGUCAUGCUAGUUGAGUAGUUGUGAAUUUGAGAAAUACUUGUGUUAAAGUUUGUGAUUCCCGUAGCAUGCACGUAUGGCUAACCGUUAUGUGAUGAAGUCGGAGCAUGAUUUAUUUAUUGAUUGUCUUCCUUAUGAGUGGCGGUCGGGGAUAGGGAUGUCAAUGGGUAGGGUAUGGGCGGGUACAACCUCCUUCUACCCAAACACAUACCCAUAGAAACUUUUUAUACCCACCCACUUCAAUACCCAUGGGUAUAAACUGACACCCAUGCCCAUACCCAUCGGGUAUCCUAUACCCAAUUGGUAUCCAUUGUGUACAAUAUAUAGCAUUCAAAUUCUUAAGAGGUAGAGAAAUGAGUUCAAAAUUCAAGUGAUCAUGGUAGAGUAGUAUAGCACGUAUGUGGCCUCCUCCAGUGGGUGGCCUCUUGGAGGCAUCAGGGGAGUAUGAGCAGCGGUUGGUGGAAGGCCGACGUAGUGGAAGGCGGUGGUGGGAAUUCGGGAUCGCUGGAUCGAGUGUUCGACAAGAGUCUGGUAGCUAAGAGUCGAUAUUUCAUCUUUUGAGGAGUCACAUAGGACAUAUGAGGAGUGGCGACCAGGUGAUUAUGAGCCUAUGAGCUAUGACUUGUUUAAGGAAUACGAGAUUUAGGGUUGGACCAUAUGAGUUGGAUGUUAACCCCACAUGUUAUAGGAGUUAUUUUCAUUUAUUAAUUUUCUGGGUAUCCAUUGGGUUACCCAUGGGCAUAAUUUCUUACCCAUGCCCUACCCUUAUAUUUUGCGGGUAUGGGUACCCAUUACCCAUGGGUAAAAAAUCUCUUCAAGUCUUGCCCAUACCCAUUGUUUUCGGGUAGGGUACUCACGGGUACCCAUACCCAUUGUUUUCGGGUAGGGUACCCACGGGUACCCAUACCCAUGGGCAAAACUGCCAUUCCUAGUCGGGGACGAGCGAUGGUCUUUUCCUACCAAUCUAUCCCCCUAGGAGCAUGCGCGUAAUACUUUGCUUUGAUAACUUAUAGAUUUUUGCAAUAAGUAUGUGAGUUCUUUAUGACUAAUGUUGAGUCCAUGGAUUAUACGCACUCUCACCCUUCCACCAUUGCUAGCUGACGAAGCUAUGUACCUAGGGUAGGGUCAUGGACCUGUCCAAACUGCCCUACCCAAGGACAUCUCUAGAAGAAAUCACCUUUCAAUCGACUUGGAGGUGUUCCACUCGACAGACUCGAAGACACUCGACCAAGAAGCGAUCACUCGACCAAGACCAAACCACUCGACGGCCAGGAGACCUAAAGGCACUCCGCAUGCUAACGGUCGGUUAUUAAGUAGCCUUUAUGGUCAUCAUAGCACUUUAUUAGGGGCGUUAUCAGUAACUCCCGACCUUAAUGUAUUUAAAACCCUGCAUAACUGAGGGCCGGAGGGGUCCGGCGAACUCUAUAUAAGCCACCCCCUCCUCAGUGUAAAGGGUUCGCACCCCUGUAAUUCAUACACGCAUAAUCUAGUCGACCGCCUCCGGGCUCCGAGAAGUAGGCCUAUUACUUCCUCCGAGAAGGGCCUGAACUCGUAAACCUCGUGUGCUUACAACUUCUCCAUAGCUAAGAUCUUGCCUCUCCAUACUUACCCCCCUACAUUACUGUCAGACUUAGAACCACGACAGUUGGCGCCCACCAUGGGGCAGGUGUUUUAGCGAUUUGUUGGAGGAGUUGCGUUCUUUUCCGAUCCGAAUCAUCAUGGUUUCCGGCGGAGUUUUGGUGGAGGGCCGUGAGAUCCGUCUCGGCGUGCUCACGUUCAUCGCCGACGACUCCGCUUGGCUUCAGGAGGCUCCGCUCGACGUGGACGCGCUCCCUGUACGCGGGGCGACGCACUUUCACGCGUGCGUCCACGGCAUCCUUUUGCGGCAACCGUCGACCCACUAUCGGUCGGCUCCUGUGAUCUCCUCCCUCCCCGUUUCCCGCCGGCGCAAGCGCUCCGGUCGGUCGAGACUUCAGCGGUGGGUGAGACACGCGGUGGCACGCCAGUCGGCCACCCCUCAAGUCGCGGCGAUUGAGCCCGACGAAUCCCUCUACAGCCUGUUCGAUCUGUCGACUGGCUCUACAGAGACCGCCUCCGAGUGCGACAGCAGUGAUCCGGCAGCGGAGGUUCUGAUGGUCGAUGGACCGCCCAGUCCUCCCGGUUUUCUCCGCACCGACGGAGGCGCGGGUGGAGGCGACCCGUCGCGUCCCCAUGAGGAAUAUCUCCCCGAGCCUCUCACGUCGUUACAGAGAGAAGAACUUCGUCGCUGGAACAUGGAUGCGCUGCACACUCCUAUCAUCGGAGAAACCCCCAAGGCUCGUGCCUUGGAGGACGCGCGCCUGGCAAACUUGGCCGAGCGCACUCGAUUGGAGAACCUCCAGCGAGCACUCGACGAGCGUGCGCGACAACGGAUUCCCGAAUCCAGUCGACGUCAGCUCUUCCCGCCCUCGCAGGUAUAUCGAACUCCGAUUCAGAAUUUAGCAGCUGCAGCCCGUAUAGCAGAGUCGAUUCAGCCUUCCCAGUCGGAGGCUGGCAGAGGCUUGCUGCAGAUCAGAGCGUUACUCCGGGCAGCAAGAGACCAGAAUUCCGCUAUUUCUCAGUCGUGGAACAAGAUUCACAGCAGAUCCGUUGCUGCAGACACAGUCCAGUCGGCUCAUAGCCCAAGAUCGCCCCCGAGGCGUGAGGGACGUGGGGACUGACAUAAUCAGUACGGGAACCGUGAGCAAUAUGAUCACCGAUUCGAUGUGAUGAUCGACGCCGAGUGCCCACCCCUCCCCCGAGGAGCGGGUCGUAUGCGCCUCGACAGUAGGAUGACAGGCGUCCUCAUAGUGUUGGGCGAAGGAUUCCAGUCGACUCCAGGGAGCCAGGCUUUGAUGCGAGAUCCAUUCUUGUUCAAGGUUUGGCCGACAGGAACAGAGCUCACCGAGAAGGUCAUGACAGAGAUGCACCUACCAGCAGCAGAGCACAUGUUUUAGGGCCAGAGUGCUUUAGUAGAGCCAUCAGGGCCGCUGUGAUUCCUCCCAACUUCAGGUUGGCGACUGGAGUCAGCAAGUUCACUGGUGAGUCCAAGCCCGAUACUUGGCUUGAAGACUACCGAGUGGCCGUCCAGAUUGGCGGCGGCAAUGAUGAAGUGGCCAUGAAGCACCCGCCUCUCAUGUUGGAGGGCUCGGCCAGAGCGUGGCUGAACCAGUUAGCACCCAACAGCAUUUACACUUGGGAAGAUCUCGCCCGAGUGUUUGUCACCACAUUUGAAGGAACAUGCAAGCGACCGGCAAGGCUGACUGAAUUGCGGUCUUGCGUGCAGAAGCCGAAUGAAACUUUGAGGGAUUACAUCCAGAGAUGGAUCAUGUUACAUCACACGGUAGAGAAUGUGCCUGACCACCAAGCAGUCUGUGCCUUCAAAGAAUGCGUCAAGUACAAAGAAUUGAAUCUGAAAUUCAGUCGGACCGGAGAUAUGUCUCUGAAUCGGAAGAUGGAGAUUGCCACCAAGUACACUAAUGGUGAAGAUGAGGAUCGACUCAGGAGUGGCAAGCUCAAGUCAGUCGCUCAAGAAACCGGAGAAAAUUCCAAUCGGAAACAGAAGCGGAAAGCCGAGCCAGCUGCUCCUAGGGAAGCCUUGGCUGUAACCCAAGGAAUGUUUAAAGGGAAACCCAAAGGACCUUGGAACCCCAAGAAAGUUAAAGACCAGGACGGAAAUGAUGUGUUGGAUUUGCCAUGUCUCGUCCACACCAAGAAAGAUGAAGAGGGUAAUUUCAUUUACCCAAAACAUACCACUCGACAGUGCCGACUCUUGAUCCAGCAGUUCUAGGGCAAGCAGUCCAAAGAUAAGGAAAAGGAGUCGGACAAAGUUGAGGACAAGGAACAUAGUGACGAUGGAUACCCUCAGGUCAAUUCCACCCUGAUGAUUUUUGCUGAUGUUGAAAGCAAAAGUCGACUGAAAGUUAUCAACCGAGAGGUGAAUAUGGUUGCUCCGACGACACCCAGCUAUCUGAAGUGGUCUCAGACUGCCAUAACAUUCGACCAGUCCGAUCACCCAACGCACAUCGCCACCCCUGUGAGGCAAGCUUUGGUGGUCGACCCAGUUGUUGAAGGCACUCGACUGACCAAAGUCUUGAUGGAUGGUGGCAGUGGUUUGAACAUAUUAUAUGCUGAGACGUUGAAAGGGAUGGGCAUUCCGAUGUCCAGACUCAGUACCAGCAACAUGAGUUUCCAUGGAGUCAUUCCUGGGAAGAAGGCUGAAUCACUCGGCCAGAUUGCUCUUGAUGUGGUUUUCGGUGAUUCCAAGAAUUACCGCAAAGAAAAGUUGACGUUUGAAGUUGUAGACUUCCAGAGUGCCUAUCACACUAUUUUGGGAAGGCCGGCUUAUGCACGCUUCAUGGCCCGACCAUGUUAUGUGUAUCUCAAACUGAAGAUGCCUGGCCCCAAAGGUGUGAUCACUAUUACGGGCAAUCGGAAGAAAGCGGAAGAAUGUUUUCAGAAAGGUUCAAAGAUUGCUGAUGUUCAGAUGGCAGUGGUGGAGCUGCAGGAAUACCAGAAGACUGCAGACCCGAGUGAUUUGUUGCGAGCCAAGAAGCCCGCUACAGAAUCAGCUUUUCAGUCGUCUGGCGAAACGAAGACAGCUCACAUCCACCCGACCGAUCCCAGCGCUGCUCCAACUCAUAUCUCAACAACACUCGACUCCAAAUAGGAAUAAGCGCUCAUCCAGUUCCUCCGUGAGAACUGGGACAUUUUCGCAUGGAAGCCUUCUGACAUGCCGGGUGUUCCCUGGGAGCUGGCUGAGCACCGCCUAAGAGUCGACUCAAAAGUAAAACCUGUCAAGGAACAUCUCCGACGGUCCGCCAUCCAGAAGAGAAAGGCUAUUGGCGAGGAGGUGGCUCGGCUCUUAGCAGCGGAGUUCAUCCGAGAAAUCUACCACUCCGAGUGGCUCGCCAACGUUGUCAUGGUCCCCAAGAAGGACAAGUCACUUCGCAUGUGCAUUGACUUUAAACAUAUCAAUCGGGCCUGCCCGAAAGAUCAUUUUCCUCUCCCCCGCAUCGAUCAGAUAGUCGACUCGACUGCGGGAUGUAAGCGACUGUCUUUUUUAGACGCCUAUUCCGGGUACCAUCAGAUCCGUCUGUAUGGACCUGACGAGAUCAAAACAGCUUUCAUCACUCCAUUCGGGUGCUUCUGUUAUAUUACCAUGCCGUUCGGCCUCAAGAAUGCCGGAGCCACAUUCAUGAGGAUGAUUCAGAAGUGUUUGCUCACUCAAAUCAGUCGGAAUGUGGAAGCGUACAUGGAUGACAUUGUGGUCAAGUCACGGAAGGGUUCCGACCUGCUGGCUGACCUUGCUGAAACCUUUGCCAACCUCAGGAGGUAUGAUAUCAAGCUUAAUCCAUCAAAGUGCACAUUCGGAGUUCCUGGCGGAAAAUUACUCGGUUUUCUCGUUUCCGAACGGGGAAUCGAUGCCAAUCCAGAAAAAGUCGGUACUAUACUCCGAAUGAAAAGUCCUGUGUGAGUGCAUGACGUCCAGAAGCUUACUGGUUGCUUGGCCGCUUUAAGUCGAUUCAUAUCUCGUCUUGGUGAAAAGGCAUUGCCUCUUUACCAAUUGAUGAAGAAGUCCGACAAGUUCGAGUGGACUCCCGAAGCUGAUGCAGCGUUUGCAGAGCUCAAAGCUCGGCUCUCCACCCAGCCGGUGCUUGCUACCCCAAUCAGCAAGGAGCCUUUGCUGCUUUACAUCGCAGCCACGGGACAAGUCGUCAGUACGGUACUUAUGGUCGAGCGGGAAGAAGAAGGAAAAGCCUUCAAAGUUCAGCGCCCAGUAUAUUAUAUUUCUGAAGUUUUGACCCCGUCGAAGCAAAGAUAUCCUCAUUAUCAGAAGCUUGUAUAUGGGAUUUAUAUGACCACAAAGAAAGUUGCUCACUACUUCUCUGAUCAUUCCAUUACAGUCGUCAGCGACGCUCCAUUGUCAGAGAUCCUGCACAACAGAGAUGCAACUGGUCGAGUGGCAAAAUGGGCUAUUGAACUCCUUCCUCUAGAUAUCAAGUUCGAGGCAAAGAAAGCUAUCAAGUCCUAGGCAAUAGCAGAUUUCGUCGCCAAGUGGAUUGAACAGCAACUGCCGACUCAGGUUCACUCGGAGCAUUGGACCAUGUUCUUCGAUGGUUCCAAAAUGCUGAAUGGUUCCGGUGCCGGGGUGGUGUUGGUCUCCCCCCGAGGAGAUAAGCUUAGAUAUGUUCUUCAAAUCCACUUUGAUUCCUCCAAUAACGAGGCGGAAUAUGAAGCACUUUUAUAUGGGUUGCGCAUGGCCAUUUCACUCGGCGUCUGACGCCUCAUGGUCUAUGGCGACUCAGGUUUGGUGGUUAAUCAGGUGAUGAAGGAAUGUGACGUCAGAAGUCCAGCCAUGACUGCUUAUUGCAAUGCAGUGAGAAAGCUGGAGAAGAAAUUCGAGGGGUUAGAGCUUCAUCACAUACCCCGACUGAAAAAUCAAGCAGCUGAUGAUUUGGCAAAAAUAGGUUCCAAAAGAGAAGCCAUUCCCAGCAAUGUGUUUUUGGAACACAUCCACACACCAUCAGUUCAGGAGGAUCCCUUCACUGAAGAGGCCCCGCAGCCAAAAAGUGCCACGGAUCCGACUGAAGUUGAAGUUCCAGCUGUGGUCGACCUGAUCAUGGAAGUCUUGGUCAUCACUCCCGACUGGACAGUACCGUACAUCGCGUACAUCCUAAGGAAAGAACUCCCAGAGGACGAAGAAGAGGCUCGACAGAUCGUCCGUCGAUCCAAGGCCUUUAGAGUCAUAAAGGGACAGUUGUAUAGAUAAAGCGUGACUGGAGUCAGUCAGAAGUGUAUAACACCAGAAGAAGGUCAGAUGAUCCUUGACGAUAUCCACUCGGGGACCUGUGGUCAUCAUGCGUCCUCUCGGACCAUUGUGGCUAAAGCAUACCGAGCAGGAUUUACUGGCCAAGGGCCAAUGAAAUGGCAAAAUAGAUAGUCGACAAAUGUGAAGGAUGUCAGUAUUACUCCAAUAUGUCGCACAAGCCUGUGUCAGCUCUGAAAACCAUUCCACUCGUUUGGCCCUUCGCUGUUUGGAGACUGGACGUGGUUGGACCACUGAAAAUGGGCAGGAGCGGCUUCACUCAUGUGCUAGUAGCAGUCGACAAGUUCACCAAAUGGAUUGAAGCUAAGCCUAUCAAGAAUCUUGAUGCUUGCACUGCUAUCAGUUUCAUCAGAGAGUUGAUAUUCAGAUAUGGAUUUCCGCACAGCAUCAUCACUGACAAUGGGUCAAAUUUCGAUUCCAACAAAUUCAGGGCCUUUUGCGCCUCUCAGGGCACACGAGUCGACUAUGCUUCGGUCGCUCACCCUCAGUCGAAUGGACAGGCGGAAAGAGCAAAUGGCCUAAUUCUCAAAGGACUGAAACCUCGAUUGAUGCAACGAUCUCAAGCACGUAGCAGGUGCAUGGGUCGAUGAGCUUCCAUCAGUUCUUUGGGGAUUGAGGACGACCCCGAACCGAUCGACCGGAAGAACCCCAUUCUUUCUGGUCUACGGAGCCGAAGCAGUCUUGCCGAGUGACAUGCUUCACAACGCCCCUCGAGUCGAGCUCUACUCUGAAGAAGAAGCAGAACAAGCCCGGCAGGACGCAGUCGACCUCCUGGAAGAAGAAAGAGAAAUGGCCAUGAUCCGAUCCGAGAAAUGCCAGAAAUGUGAAGAGUCGAGCCUUCCAAGAAGGAGACUUAGUCCUCCACGUGGAUCAGCAAAAACCGCACAAACUCGCUCCUACUUGGGAAGGCCCCUUCAUAGGGACCAGAGUCCUCCACAAUGGAGCGUACCACCUCUACAAUGUCGAUCGCCAGAUUGAUGAGCCACGAGCCUGGAAUGCGGAGCUACUCCACCCCUUUUAUACUUGAAUUCUCACUCGGAUGAGAUGUAAUAAGAAAAAACUCCUGUAGUUUAUUUAUCAAAGACAAGAGCGUUAUAAUUUUCCCAGUGAUUGUUAUUGUUUUUUGUUUGCAUAAGAAAUCCCCCAGUGGGUGGCUUAGCUGCGAAUCCGCUUCGCCUAAGUUUGCAAAAAUAAUUUCCUACCGAGUGGUGAGCCAGCCUCCCACUCGGGGGCUUAGCUGCGAACCCGUUUCGCCUAAGUAUUUAAAAAUACUACCGAGUGGAGAGAAAUCCUCCCACUCGGGGGCUUAGCUGCAGUCCAGUACUCGCCUAAGUUCUCUCACUCGGAGACUUAGUUGCAGUCCGGCACUCGCCUAAGUUUGAAAAAAUCCUACCGAGUGGGAGCAACCCUCCCACUCGGGGGCUUAGCUGCAGUCCAGUACUCGCCUAAGUUUGAAAAAAUCCUACCGAGUGGAGAGCAACCCUCCCACUNNNNNNNNNNNNNNNNNNNNNNNNNNNNNNNNNNNNNNNNNNNNNNNNNNNNNNNNNNNNNNNNNNNNNNNNNNNNNNNNNNNNNNNNNNNNNNNNNNNNNNNNNNNNNNNNNNNNNNNNNNNNNNNNNNNNNNNNNNNNNNNNNNNNNNNNNNNNNNNNNNNNNNNNNNNNNNNNNNNNNNNNNNNNNNNNNNNNNNNNNNNNNNNNNNNNNNNNNNNNNNNNNNNNNNNNNNNNNNNNNNNNNNNNNNNNNNNNNNNNNNNNNNNNNNNNNNNNNNNNNNNNNNNNNNNNNNNNNNNNNNNNNNNNNNNNNNNNNNNNNNNNNNNNNNNNNNNNNNNNNNNNNNNNNNNNNNNNNNNNNNNNNNNNNNNNNNNNNNNNNNNNNNNNNNNNNNNNNNNNNNNNNNNNNNNNNNNNNNNNNNNNNNNNNNNNNNNNNNNNNNNNNNNNNNNNNNNNNNNNNGGGGCUUAGCUGCAGUCCAGUACUCGCCUAAGUUUUCUCACUCGGAGACUUAGCUGCAGUCCGGCACUCGCCUAAGUUUGAAAAAAUCCUACCGAGUGGAGAGCAAUCCUCCCACUCGGGGGCUUAGCUGCAGUCCAGUACUCGCCUAAGUUUUCUCACUCGGAGACUUAGCUGCAGUCCGGCACUCGCCUAAGUUUGAAAAAAAUUCUACCGAGUGGAGAGCAAGCCUCCCACUUGGGGGGCUUAGCUGCAGUCCANNNNNNNNNNNNNNNNNNNNNNNNNNNNNNNNNNNNNNNNNNNNNNNNNNNCUAAGUUUGAAAAAAAAAUCCUACCGAGUGGAGAGCAACCCUCCCACUCGGGGGCUUAGCUGCAGUCCAGUACUCGCCUAAGUUUUCUUACUCGGAGACUUAGCUGUAGUCCGGCACUCGCCUAAGUUUGAAAAAAUCCUACCGAGUGGAGAGCAACCCUCCCACUCGGGGGCUUAGCUGUAGUCCAGUACUCGCCUAAGUUCUCUCACUCGGAGACUUAGCUGCAGUCUGGCACUCGCCUAAGUUUGAAAAAUCCUACCGAGUGGAGAGCAAACCUCCCACUCGGGGGCUUAGCUGCAGUCCAGUACUCGCCUAAGUACGAAACACAUCUCAAUACUCAAGGACGACGAGGUGCAGGUCGACUGCCGCCUUCUCCUUAGGAGCCUCGCCACAAAUACAACGUGCGCUUCCUCUCACUCCGCAAGGACGACGAGGUGCGGGUCGACUGCCGCCUUCUCCUGGAGAGCUUCGCCACAAAUACAAUGUGCGCUCCAUCCCGCUCUGCAGUAACGAGGCGCGGGUCGACUGCCACCUUCCCCUGGAGAGCUUCGCCACAAAUACAACGUGCGCUCCAUCCCACUCCGCAAGGACGACGAGGUGCAGGACUACUGCCACCUUCUCUUGAGGAGCUUCGCCGACCCGCAAGGGCAACGAGGCGCAGGUCGCAGGCAAGGACAAUGAGGCGCAAUGAGGAGCUUCGCUACAAAUACAAAAGUUGUCUCGAAUGAAGAACGAGUUCACUCGACAGGGGAUUCAUGAAGAUAUUCAACGAUAAACCAAGUUCAGAUAAAUCCUAAAAGUUUCGGACCACAGAUCGAAGUGCUCGGGCAUUCAGCCCAAAAUAGUUUAACGGUUACAAAAACCACUCGGCAUUCCGAGGCAAAUUUAAGGUGAGGCAUAAAAGUUUGUUCACUCUGCGGGAGGAGGACUAGCAGGCUCGACGAACUCGUCUAAGUCGACGCCGUCGGUGAUCCGAGUGGCUGCAGCGAUGAAAGUCUCCAUAAAAGAUCGAAAGUCAUGCUUCUGGGUGUUGGCGACCUUGAUUGCUGCCAGCUUAUCUUGUCGCACCUCCUUGCAAUGGACGCGAACCAGAGACAGAGCCACAUCAGCGCCACACCGGGCAGAAGACUUCUUCCACUCCUGCACUCGGUCAGGGAUUUCGUUAAGUCGAGUCAUCAGCGACUCAAGAUCAUUUUGGAGUGUGGCCUCUGGCCAAAGUGCCGGGUCGAUCCGUGACAUGGUGACCUUCAGUCGAGCCAAGUAGUCCACGACACCGUCGAUGCGGGAUUCCAGUCGGAGCAGAUUCAUGGCAGUUUCAUCUUUCACGGGAGAAUUGAUUGGAUCCAAACCUGGUUCGAUCCGCCCAGUCUCCUCCUCGAAGUCUUGGCAAAACUCUGCAUUCACGAUCCAAGGAUAAGUCAAUUUUCAUACGCUGAGUCGACACAAAAAUAAUCAGUCGGAACAAAAUGUGCACCUUCAAACUUGAGGAACAACUUCUUGGCAAGGCUCCUCAGAUAGCUCUCCAGAUCGUCCCUCCUGCGAGCGAUGCCUUCCAUCUUCUCGCACAGGUUGAGGUUCUCCUUCUUCCAGCACGAGCACUCCUUGUUGGCUUCGUUCAAAGCAGAUUUCAACUUGGUAUUCUCUUCUUCCAACUGGCCGACCGAAGCCAGUUUUUGUUCAGCCAUAGUGGUCCUGUCGUCAGCCUCCUUUCGAGCAGUAGCCAAAUCCUGAUCCUUCUUCACCAGAGCUUCUCUCAGUUUUUCUGCAAAGAAAUGAUGAUUGAUUCAGAAAGAGCAGAAGGGUACUCAAGCCCAAGACAGACCAGUCGACAAACUCGUCUUACCAGUGGCGCCGUCCUUGACCUUUUGCAGCUCUGUCUUGGCUAGCUCCAAGUCAAGGUUCAGUUGAAUCUGCUGUUUCUCCAAGUCAGCAAAGUGAGCUCCAAGAUCACAUGAUUUCUGAAAUCGAAGGAGAGAAGUUAUUUUACAGCGAAAAACGACAAAGACAUUAAGUACUAAGACUACAGUCAACUGCCCGUAGUCCACCAUAGUCUCGGGGACUACACCCAGUGGGUGCACUUUGCAUGCCCGCACCGGUUCUGAUCCCACUCGACCGGCCCGCCGGAGUCGAGUGCAGGGAGUAAAAAAAGGAGAGAAAGUAGAACUCAGACCACAGUCGACUGCCAGCAGUCAACCGCGGUCUCGGGGACUACACCCAGUGGGUGCACUUGGUGUGCCCCCACCGGUUCUGAUCCCACUUGACCAGAUCGAGUGGAAGAGACAAACUACCAGUUCGGUUUACACUCGACAAAAUACAAAGACUACAGUCGACUGCCAGUAGUCUACCGUAGUCUCGGGGACUACACCCAGUGGGUGCACUCAGCGUGCCCCCACUAGUUCAAAAAUUCAAUCGACGCACCCAGUGGGUGUACAGAUGCAAAGAUUUUCAGAAAGAGUCUUCAAAUAGCAUAUCCUAACAGAACAAGCGGCGACCAACUAACCUGAACGUUGCUCUGGAGAGCCGGGCUGGCAUCGUAGGCGGCUUGGCUGGCGUCCUACACCUUCUUCAUCUUCUCCAUCAUAAUGCCCGCCUGGCGUAUGGCUUCCCUGGCAGCAUUCACCUCGUCCUCUAGGACAUGAUGGGUCACAAAAACUGAAGGCGGGUCGACAGGGGCCUGAGCAGUCGACGAGGAAGGCAAGGCACUCGACAAUGGCACGACGAAGGUAACAGAACCCCGAUUGGCAUCACCAGCGUCCUUAACGACUGGCUCCGCCCUCGGCGUCGAUUGUGGCACCUCGCUCGCAGGAGCUUGCCCAUUUUUCCUCGUCAAAGGCCUCUCGGGCUCUUCAUCAUCAUCAUCAGCGAGGUUAAUAAUGUUAGGGGCUGUUCAAAGUUCAAACGACAAAAUCACAUCACCCAAUGGUACACAUUGUAGUUGAAUCGACCAAAAUAAAGAUAGCAUGGCAGAAAUCAUACCCAGAUUAGAAGUGACCGCAUCCUCCAUCACCUCAUCAUCGUCCCUGUAAGCUGAGGUCCCGGAAGUAGCAGCGCUGACAGUUCCAAAGUUCAUCCGGUUAAAACAAGAAAAACAAACAGCACAGGGCGUCGAGUAAAUAUGAAGGGAGACACUCACGCGGAAGCGAUGGGGAUGUCAAUCUUAAUCUUUGGCAACGCCUUCCGAAGCUUCGGCUCUGCGACUUUGGGAUGCUUUGACGCUUUUUCAGUUGGAGUUGGCGAAGAGGUCCGAGGACGCUUUGAAGACUGACCAGCUUGAGCAAUCACCUUUUCACGGGCGCUCGGUCGUUCUUGGUCAAGUUUGGACGGCCUCUCCCUACGAGGAGGCGACUCGACUUCUUCUUCCUCACUUGAAUCGUCGCUUUCUUCGUCUCCUCCACCGUCAGAAUCCCAUUCGCCACUGUCGCCGCCGCUCGCCUCUCCUUCCGGGUCCUGCUCUUGCACCUCGUUGGGCAUUGAAUACAUUUCAAUAAUGGCCUGAAAGAAAGCAGGAAGAACAAAGUCAGUCAACUCAGUAUAGGCAACUGCGCGAGUGAAUUCAGAUUACAAACAAAAGCUCAGAAUCAGACCUUCUCUGGUACAUGAGACUGGUCGAAUGGAGGAACUCUCAUGGCUCCCCUGGGGUUGUCCUUGUUCCCGGUCAUGCCGGACAGCCACUUCUCCAGUGUGUCGUCAUCGACCUCCUCCGGGUGAAUCCGAGUGGAGUCUUCAAGACCCGAAUACAUCCACAUCGGAUGGUCUCGGGCUUGAAGAGGCUGGAUGCGCCGCUGAAAGAAGACCUCCAAGAGAUCCAUAUCGAUGACCCCGUCACAGAUAAGCUGGACCACUCGCUCUACCAGCACCCUCACCUGCGCCUUCUCCUCCGGGAGCACCUUCAAAGGGGAGGGUUUCCUCACUUGGUCCAUGGUGAAAGGAGGGAGGCCAGUCGACUGCCCUGGCGUCGACUGGUCUUUGCAGUAAAACCAGGUCGACUGCCAUCCGCGAACUGAGUCGGGAAGAAUCAUGGCCGGAAAGGAGCUUUUCCCUCACAUCUGGACAUCAAGACCCCCACACAUCUGAAUCACUUGAGUCCUCUCGUCACUCGGAUUAGCUUUUUUCACCGUCUGGGAGCGACAAGUGAAAAUGUGCUUGAGAAGGCCCCAGUGAGGCCGACAACCCAGGAAAUUCUCACACAAAGAAACAAAAGCGGCGAGAUAAACGAUUGUGUUGGGAGUGAAGUGGUGGAGUUGUGCCCCAAAGAAGUUCAGAAAUCCCCGAAAGAAAGGGUGAGGAGGCAAGAAAAAUCCACGGUCGACAUGGGUGCCAAGGAGAACGCACUCACCCUCCCGAGGUUGCGGCUCGGAUUCCUUCCCCGGAAGCCGCGCAGAUUCAUAGGGGAUUAGCCCUCCUUCGGCUAGGUCGUCGAGGUCUUCUUGGGUGAUCGUUGAGCGGAUCCAGUCGCCCUGGAUCCAGCCCUUCGGCAGGCCGAUUCGCGAGGAGGAUCCGCCCGACUGGUCGCCUUCCCCUUCGACCUCGCCGUCACCUUCUUCGCCCGCUCUAGAGCUGCCGUCUUCCCCUUCCCCAUCGUCGCCGGCGAAACGCGUACGGAGCGGUGGCGCUGGGGCGAGAGCGAGCGUGGCGAGGGAGCAUGAAGAGGAGAAGAGAUAAUGGGGACGCACUGUUCGAAGAGACCCCGGUCUGACGCCUUAUAUGAGGCCGCUUCCGAGUGGUUGACUGGUAGGCCUGGGCGGCCCUGUCAAAUCCCGUAACAAUCGCGCGCGCGAUACAUGGCGAAAAAGGUGGCGCAGGGAUCGAGGCAGCUCCGCUCUAUCCCAUCCGAUUACUGCGGCCUCCCCCGUCCCGCGCGCUUCCCAAAAUUCGGAUCCCGCGAAAUCUGCAGGCAGCAGAACAAACUUGUCAGACCGAAGAUCUCCUCUGCACCGUCACUCGGAGCCUUUCAAGUAAAGAAACUCACUCGACAAAAAGCUAAGAAUGGAUCAAGGCGACUGAAAAGGAAGUUGCUGUCAUCACUCAGGUUCAUUGAUCCGAAACCAGAUAUGCUCAUGGCAUGAAAAAUGAGCCGGGAAAAUUCUCAACUCCUUCCCCACUCAAACCUCGAUCCAUUCGGGGGCUAAUGACGAAGCUAUGUACCUAGGGUAGGGUCAUGGACCUGUCCAAACUGCCCUACCCAAGGACAUCUCUAGAAGAAAUCACCUUUCAAUCGACUUGGAGGUGUUCCACUCGACAGACCCGAAGACACUCGACCAAGAAGCGAUCACUCGACCAAGACCAAACCACUCGACGGCCAGGAGACCUAAAGGCACUCCGCAUGCUAACGGUCGGUUAUUAAGUAGCCUUUAUGGUCAUCAUAGCACUUUAUUAGGGGCGUUAUCAGUAACGCCCGACCUUAAUGUAUUUAAAACCCUGCAUAACUGAGAGCCGGAGGAGUCCGGCGAACUCUAUAUAAGCCACCCCCUCCUCAGUGUAAAGGGUUCGCACCCCUGUAAUUCAUACAUGCAUAAUCCAGUCGACCGCCUCCGGGCUCCGAGACGUAGGGCUAUUACUUCCUUCGAGAAGGGCCUGAACUCGUAAACCUCGUAUGCUUACAACUUCUCCAUAGCUAAGAUCUUGCCUCUCCAUACUUACCCCCUACAUUACUGUCAGACUUAGAACCACGACACUAGCCUCUCUAGUAUCGCGCAACUUCCGCCGGUACCAUAAACCCACCAUAUACCUUCCUCAAAACAGCCAUCACACCUACCUAUUAUGGCAUUUCCAUAGCCCGAGAUAUAUUGCCAUGCAACCUUCCAUCGUUCCGUUGUUAUGACACGCUUCAUCAUUGUCAUAUUGCUUGCAUGAUCAUGUAGUUGACAUCGUAUUUGUGGCAAAGCCACCGUUCAUAAUUUUCAUACAUGUCACUCAUGCAUCAUUGCACAUUCCGGUACACCGCCGGAGGCAUUCAUACACUAUUAGGGAAAACCUUAUACACAGAUGUUUAUCAGUAGCACGGUUUAAAAGUGGGCGCUACUGCUAAUUAGUAGUAGCGAGGGGUAUAAAAACCGCGCUAUUACUAAGUUGAUAGUAGUAGCGAGGGGUAUAAAUCCGCGCUGCUAUUAAGUGGUCUCCAACAAUGCUUCUGGAUAGGUCAUAGUAGUAGCGAGGGGUAUAAAACCGGCGCUACUACUAAGUAAGAACGUGUCCACCCCGGCCCGAUCCACACUCCCACCCCACCACUCUCUCUCUCUCUCUCAUCCCUAAAAAAUACUCUCUCACGAACUCACAUGUUCCUCGGUCCACCCCACCCCGGCUCCUCUCCCCACGAUCUCCUCGCCGCCUCCACCACCCACGCCGGCCGGUUCCGGCGAGCAUCGGUCGCGCGGAAUACUCCUCCAAGCUCCGCCCCUCCCUCCCCUCCGUCGAGAUCCGACAUGGCUGCAGUUCUUACACGGCCACCCUCCCCUCCACCGUGCUCUCGCACCACUUCAUCCCGCUCCUUCGCCGCCAGGCCCGCCGCCGCCGCCUCCUUUGCCUGCGGCCCGCUGCGCGCCGCCGACCGCCGGGAGAUCUGAGGCUCCAUCCCAUCCCGGCCGGGCCAGAUCAGAUCCGCGGCGCGAUGGAGUGGGAGACGGUGCAGCACUUGGACCUCCGCCACGCCGGCGGCCGCCGCGGGGCCGGCCCGCUGCAGCCGCACGCCGCCGCCU
rnacentral:lncRNA from 1 species